rnacentral:lncRNA from 1 species
GUUCAAUGAGUUCAAGGAUGAAAAGGGUAACUUCAAGAAAGCUUUAGUCAGUGAUGUAAGAGGCAUGCUAGGCUUGUAUGAGGCUGCACAUCUCAGAGUUCAUGGAGAGGACAUACUUGCAAAAGCACUUGCUUUCACCACCACUCACCUCAAGGCCAUGGUAGAAAGUUUAGGAUAUCAUCUUGCAGAACAAGUUGCUCAUGCCCUGAACCGGCCCAUUAGAAAAGGUUUGGAGAGGCUAGAGGCAAGAUGGUAUAUAUCUGUCUACCAAGAUGAAGCUUUCCAUGAUAAAACUUUACUAGAGCUAGCAAAAUUAGAUUUCAAUCUAGUGCAGUCACUGCACAAGGAAGAGCUAAGCAAUCUUGCAAGGUUGGUUUUAGAUCACCCCACAUGUACUUGGCCAUUGUUAUCACUUUCCUGUAUGCUGAUCAUAUUAAUGUCUUUUAGGUGGUGGAAAGAACUAGACUUUGCUACAAAGUUACCUUUUGCACGAGACAGAUUGGUUGAAUGCUACUUUUGGAUGCUUGGGGUGUAUUUUGAGCCUCAAUACUUACGGGCUAGACGAAUUCUAACCAAAGUAAUUGCCAUGAUAUCCAUUCUAGAUGAUAUCCAUGAUGCAUAUGGCACACCUGAAGAACUCAAGCUCUUCAUAGAAGCCAUUGAGAGGUUUGCUCCUUGCACAUUACCAACCUUGAUUGUGUAUAAUAGAUGUAUUUAUAUAUACUUAAAUCAAGGAUCAUUAUUUUAUUUUCAGGUGGGAUAUUAACAGCAUAGAUCAGCUUCCAGAAUACAUGAAACUCUGCUAUGCGGCACUCUUAGAUGUGUACAAAGAAAUCGAGGAAGAGAUGGAGAAAGAAGGAAACCAAUAUCGGGUUCACUAUGCCAAAGAAGUAGUAGGACAUCUUUAACUCUGGAUCCCCACCUUUUUCAUUGAUGAUAUUUUAUAUGGUCUCAUAUAUACAUAGAUAUAACUUGGAUGAAUGUUCUUUAGAUGAAGAAUCAAGUUCGAGCUUACUUUGCUGAGGCCAAAUGGUUACAUGAAGAACACGUACCAACAUUUGAAGAGUACAUGCGUGUUGCACUAGUAAGCUCUGGAUACUGCAUACUUGCAACCACGUCCUUUGUGGGAAUGGGAGAAAUAGCAACAAAGGAGGCCUUUGAUUGGGUGACCAGCAAUCCUAAGAUUAUGUCAUCUUCAAAUUUCAUUGCGAGGCUCAUGGAUGACAUCAAAUCACAUAAGGUAUGAAGAAUAUAUGAUUCAAAUGGGGAGAAUAUAACACACUGGUUUUUUCUCAACUUUUGUAUUAUACAUGCAGUUUGAGCAAAAGAGAGGGCAUGUGGCCUCAGCUGUUGAAUGUUACAUGAAGCAAUAUGGUGUCUCUGAGGAACAAGUAUACAAAGAAUUUCAAAAGCAAAUUGAGAAUGCAUGGCUGGAUAUUAACCAGGAAUGCCUCAAACCUACUGCUGUUUCAAUGCCUCUCCUUGCUCGUAUUCUCAAUCUUACACGAGCCGCGGAUGUCGUUUACAAAGAGCAAGAUUCGUACACACAUGUUGGGAAAGUGAUGAGGGAUAACAUUGCGUCUGUCUUGAUCAACGCUGUAAUAUAACCAAAUGGAGUAGUUGAUUGCCUUGUGGAAGCCGUAAUAUCUAAUAAAUCACUAUAAAAGGAAAAAAGAAAAGAAAAAAGGUCCAAUUCAUACCUUAGCCGCCCCUAAUGGUUUGGGCUUUUGCGUGAAUAAAAACUAUUGUAAUAAUAUGGGAGAGACAUAUAAUGUUUCCUACUAGUUUCUCUCUCGGUUUGGUAGUGCUUUACAUCAUACUAUCACUUGGCUAAAUGUAUUAAUGUUGCUGCGUUGUAAAAACUCCAUCCUAAGAUGCAAACAUAACCAGGUUUGAUAUUGAUUUUCCUUUUCUAUUUCUUGCAUCCAUUUUAAUAUAUGUUUAAAACACUUUGAUCAAGUUUGACACUUUUCUAUUAUUCAAAGAUCACGUGAUGGAGAAAAUUCUCCAUAGAAAAUCACUUCUUGUAGAAAUGGUCUAGAACAUACAAAAGAGAUAAAAAAAUCUUAAGAAUUCAUCCUAACGGGUAAAAUAUUAUUAUUAUUAUUAUUAUUAGACAUGCUAAAAGUUUUAUUAUAUACCUGUUAAAAAUAAAAGUUAUGAUAUUAUAUGAGGUUGGAAUUUGAAGUUCAUUUGCAACUUUUUUUCUUCCUCGUUAUUUUUUUAAUAUACGUAAAGUAUUUUUUUUUAAAAAAAAGACUUACUAAAAGAAUUGUCAUGAGAAGGUUUUAUUUUUAUUUUUUAAUAAUAAGUUAAAAUAAAUUUGAAAAAAAAAAUAAAUUAAUAUUUUUUAACAUUUUAUUUUAAUAUUUAAUUUUGUGCAUGGAUAUGUCAUAAGAUUAGGUUACGUACAUAUAGUACAUGUAAUUAUAAACACUAAGGGAAAGUAGCUCAGGUGCAAAGUUGUCACCUCCCUUCCUACAUGCACUUUCAAGUUUUUUUCAGCAAGCUGAUGUAGCCACUUACGAGAUAAGAUUACCAUAAAUUGCAAAAAAUUAGUGAUGAAUAAAAAAAAAAUAACAAAAUGUCAUGAUUAAUCAAGAUAGAUUAUCAAAAUUUCAACAAAAAAUCAUUGAGUGAAAUUCUUUCAUAAUUUCCUAUACCAGUAAUAUUUCGAAUAUAUUAAUCACGAUUUCCAAGUUUACAAGUUUACCAUAUCUACAAAUUAACAUGUUGAAGAAGUUCGAGAAUAAUUUUUAGAGGAUUAUAAAUGUCUUUUAUUAUUAAAUUUACUUUACAAAUAGCCACAUGUUUAAUUAAGAGUAUAUUCUAAUGGUGCUGAAAACAAAUUAAGACAGGCUUCAAAUCAAAUGUACUUUGCAAUAAAGACUUUAGUGAAUGCAACUUCAAAUGACCAAUAAUGCACGGUAGCAGUACAUUAAUUUUGACUUCAAGGCAUUAAUUCGUAUUUUAUCCAUUACACAACAGAAUAUAUAUAAAUAUCCUUAUAAAAAAUAUAUAUGAUAUUUAUAGGUAACAGCUUUCUUCUUAAGCAAAGCAGCCAAGUAAGACUACAAAAUCUAUACCAAACAGAAUAUCUACUAGGACAAAUUUGGAUAAUUAUUUCCAACACUUAAAUUGAUUGGGCUUAGGUUAAAGUAUUCUUCAACUCCUAGUCAGUUUUAGUUGGGCUCUUACCAAGGUUGUGACAUCUCGAAUCUAACCAAAAGUUUAUAUAAUAUUUAUAUAAUAAUUAUAAUUUAUAUUAUUAUGGACUCAUGCACAUUUUUCACAUGUGCCUACUCAAUGAGGAUACUCAUUUAUUAUGAAAAAUGAUUAUUUGAAAACCCUUUUUAGGUUUUUUAGAGUGAACAUUUAUUUAAAAAAAAAAAAAAAACACAAUAAGAAAAAAAGAAGAGAAAAACCUUAUAUAACUCCUUAUUUGAAAAAAAGAAAAAGAAAAAAGACAAGUUCAUAAACCAAGAUUGAGUUAAAAGUCAAAUUACCUACUGAGAAAAUACGACGAUAAGUCAUACAAAACAACCCUCUAAGCUUAUAUACCUAUAAUCUUUACUAAGCAAAUGAACUGAAUUAUGACGAUUAAAUAAUUGAUUAUGGAUACUCAAGAAAAGAAAAACACAAUUAUAAAACAAGUCAUGGUGUUUGUUAUGUUACAAAAAUGUAAAAAAACAAAUGAUAAGAGAAUUUGCAUAAGUUGAUUUACGAAACUAAUUAAAAACAUGGGUUUAAUUAUUUCUAAAUUCAAAGGAUUAAAAAAGUUAUUUCAAUUUGAUGAUUUCAAUCGAUUUUAAGUACAAAAGAAAGUUUUGAUUUCAUUUUUUUUUUAAAGAAAAAAAUGCUUCAAAUUAUUCUAUUUAUAAAGAAAUGAUUUUUAUUUACUUUUUCUUAAAAAAAAAAAAUAUAAUUUACACAAAUUUUAUUUACCUUAACAUUCCUUUUUGAUUUUUAUGCAAAAGAGAAUACUUUUAUAAUUUUUGCUACAACAUGAUUUUUACAAUUUUAUUUUAAAAGAAAGUAUCCAAAUCUAAUCUUAUGUGCAAGAGAAUCUUUUUACAAAUUAUUUAGGAAAAGGAUUUUUAAAAAUUUAUUUACAAUUUUAUUUAAAAAAAUAUUUACAAAUUACUUUAAAAAAGAUUUGUACAAAUUUAUUAACAAAAAAUAAAUAUUCAGAUCCAAUUUUAUUUACAGAAAAAAAAAGAUUUUUUUUUAUAGUUUUUAUUGAAAAUAAGACUUUUACAAUUUUAUUUAAUUAGUAUGAAAAUCCAAUGUCAUUUUAUUAAUACUAGAAAAAAUUUAUUAUUAUUUUUAUUAAGACAUGAUUUUUAAAAUGUCAUUUACAAAAAAAAAAAAAAAAAAAAAAAGUUUACAAUUUUAUUUUAAAAAAUAUUUUGCAAUUUUUUUAAAAAAAAUGGUUUCAAUGUUUUAUUUAAAACAAAUUGCUUUUUAGAUUUUAUUUUAAAAAAUGAUUUUCACAAGUUAAAAAAAAAUUAUAGUUUUAUUUUUUUACAAAAAAUAAUGAAUUUCCAAAUGUAUUUAAAAUUUAUUUAAAAAUGGAUUUUAUAGUUUUAUUUAGAAAAACACUUUAUUGUUUUAUUUCAAUCUUAUUGUUUAUUUUUUUCUUUAAAAAAAAAAGUUCAAAUUUCUCUCUCUUUCUCCCUCUCUCUGUCCAUACGCUCAUUAAUUUUGAUGUUAAGGUAUCAGCCCAAUUGACAUGAUUUAUACUGACUUAGUCUUUUGGUCUAAUAGGUAACUUAAUGUAAUAUAGGAGGUCAUGAAGGUGAACUGUGAACCUUACUGAUAUUACGCAAACCCUACCAUUUAUUUAUAAUAUUGUUGUCAUAAUAUUGAAAUAUGGGAAAUUUUAAUAGACCAGACAGACACCAAUAGACCAAAGCCACCAAGCAAGAAUUGAAGAAACCAGAAAGCGUUUGUUCCAAACAUAGUAUACUGUAGAACAUGAAACAGAAGCUAGAGUAUACUAUCUUUAUUUGUGUCACAUAUAUCUCCACUCUCAUAUUGGCACAAGGUCUAUGAGCAGCAUUGAAAUAUUAUUUUUUGUCACUUCUCCAGGAUGUGUGAAUAUAUCAUUGUGGCUCUUGUACAUCACAUCUCCUGAUCGAGCAAAAUUGAGAAGACGACUAAGGAGAAGCAUUGGAACUGCAGUAGGUCUGAGGCACUCUUCAUUUAUAUCCUUCCAUGCAUUCUCGAUUUGUUUGUGAAACUCAUCAUAUGCUUGCUGCUCCGACACACCAUGUUGCUUCAUGUAACAUUCGAUGCUUGAUGCAAUAUGCUCUCCCUCUUGCUCAAAUUGCAGAAAUAGAUAGUAAUAGAAGGUGUUAAAAAGAAAUUGAUAUACAUUAGAUUUUCUUUAUCUUUAAGGGAUUGAUAUCCAAGUAUCAGUAGAAAGUGUUGUUUCAUUGUACCUUGUGGGAAGCCAUGUCAUCCAUGAGCCUAAUGAUUAUGUAGGUAGCUCUAACAAUCUUAGGGUUUUGUAGCAGCCAAUCAAAGACUUCCUUGGUUGCAGUCUCUCUCAUGCCAAUAAAAGACAUGAUUGUUAAUCUUCAAAUUGAUAAAUGGUAGUUUUUUCAUUCAUUCUUUCAUUCAUUCAUGUACAGAAUAUAUAUAGAGGGUAAUCACCAUUCUAAGAAUGUGAAAGAAUGAUACAAGGAAAUAAUGAUAUAAGGAAAUAACAACUAAUAUCCUAAUAUCUCAACAUUCUUAAUAUCUCUACUUUCCUAAUAUCUAAACAUUCCUAAUAUCUCAACACUGAAUGAUAUAAGAAAAGAAUGAUAUAAGGAAAACAUUCAUAAUAUCUCAACACUCCCCCUCAAGUUGGUGCAUAGAUGUCACACAUGCCCAACUUGUCUAAAAAAUUUGAGAACACUUGAUUUGAGACAGCUUUGGUGAGGACAUCGGCCAAUUGAUCUUUUGAUCAAAUCUUACGCAAUUCCACAAUCUUAUCAUCCAACUUUUCCUUAAUGAAAAAUCUAUCCACAUCGACAUGCUUUAUACGAUCAUGUUGUACUGGAUUAUGAGCAAUGUCACAUGCGACUUUAUUGUCACAAAACAAUCGGAUUGGUUGCCUAGAUAGGUAACCUAAAUCUUGUAAGAGGAGUCUUAGCCAUAAUGCCUCACAAAGUCCUAGAGCCAUACCUUUAAAUUCCGUUUCUACACUUAAACAAGCGACGACAUUCUGUUUCUUACUUUUCCAUGUCACAAGAUUACCACCUACAAAGGUAAAGUAACCAGAUAUAGAUCGCCUAUCAUCCACUGCACCGGCCCAAUCAGCAUUAAUAUAUACUUCUAUACUCUGAUGAUCAACAUUUUUAGCGAACAAAAUUCCCCUCCUAGGAGCAUUCUUCAAAUACCUCAAAAUACGCAUGACUGCAUUCAUAUGUUGCUCUCCAGGAUUAUGCAUGUAUUGACUCACUACACUCAAUGCAUAAGCAAGAUCUAGUAUUGUAUGAGCUAAGUACAUUAAUCUCCCCACAAGUCUCUGGUAUCUUCCCUUAUCGGUUGAUACUUGAUUAGGCUCAACACAUAAUUUCAGACCUUCUUCUAUUGGUGUAUUAAUAAGUUGACAUCCCGACAUUCUAGUCUCCUGUAAAAGAUCUAAAACAUACUUUCUUUGAGACAGAAAAAUUCCUUCACUUAAUCGAGAAACUUCAAUCCCAAGAAAGUAUUUCAGAGAACCUAAAUCUUUCAUUUCGAAUUCUAUAGAUAGAUAAUUUUGCAGAGCUUUUCUUUCUUUAGGAUCAUUUCCUUUAACUACCAUGUCAUCCACAUAUACAAUGAGUGUCAUAAUCUUACCAUGUUGCUUUUUCAGGAACAAAGUGUGAUUUGAAUUACUUUGACGAUAGCUAAAAGCUCUCAUUAACUUUGUGAACCUUCCAAACCAUGCUCUCGGGGAUUGCUUCAACCCAUACAAUAACUUCUUCAAUUUGCACACCUUCUGACAUUGCUUUUCUGACACCAUGCAUCCUGGUGGAAGAUCCAUAUAUACUUCUUCAGAUCACUCGCCAUACAGAAAGGCAUUUUUGAUAUCGAACUGUUGUAAUGGCCAAUCUAGGUUUGCAGCUAAAGACAGUAAUACUCGAACUGUGUUGAUCUUAGCUACAGGUGCAAAUGCCUCUGUGUAGUCAAUUCCAUAAAUUUGAGUGUACCCUUUUGCUACUAAUCUUGCUUUAUCGUUCAAUACUACCAUCUGCCUUGUACUUCACAGUAUAGAUCCAACGACACCUAACUGGUUUCUUUCCUGGUGGACAUUCUACAAGGUCCCUUGUUUCAUUCUUCUGCAAUGAUUUCAUCUCUUCAUUCAUGACUGCUUUCCACCUUGGAUUAGCUAAGGCUUCCUGCACACUGUUAGGAAUAGCUACAGUAGAUAAUUGAUUUACAAAUGACUUAUUUGAUUCAGACAAAUGAUGGUUAGACACAUAGUUGCUCAUGGGAUAUUUGACUUUGGUAGACAAUUUAGGUUCAUAUGUGGGUUUAGGAAUACCUCUAUUAUGACGGUAUGGUAACCGUUUCAUGAAUAGAUCAGGUUCCAAAUUAAGAACACCCUCAACAGACGAUGAUUGGUUUGGUAUUUCAGUGAAGACAUCUUCGGACCCAAAUUGUUGACCACUCAUAUCCAACUCACCCGCUUCCUGGUUCACUAGUUCAGAUUGUCCAGAUUCAUCCUCCUCAGAGAUAUGAUAAUCAUAAUUGAGAGUUUGAAUUUCCUUAUGGUACUCCCCCUGAAGUUCAGACUCAGAUGAAAAAUGCAUCAAAUCUUCAUGAAACACCGCAUCCAUUGUAAUAUACAUUCAUUGAGUUGGAGGAUGAUAACAUCAAUAUCCCUUUUUGUGUAAUGCAUAUCCAACAAACACACAUUGCAAUGCAUGGGAAGUUAACUUGGUGCAUUGGUGUUUGUGUAGAUGCACAAAUGCCACGCAACCAAAAACACGAGGAGGUAGAUUUGGGGUAGUUGGGACAACUACGACAUUAGUAAGAGCUUGGAGAGGUGUUUGGAAGUUAAUUGAGCUGGAAGGAAGUCGAUUGAUCAACUAUGCAGCAGAUGUGAUUGCUUCUCCCCAAUAAGAUAUCGAUGUUUUUGCUGCUAUCAAGUAAGCACAGACAACCUCUAACAAGUGCCGAUUUUUUCGUUCAGCACAACCUAAGCCUUACUCUUUCAAGGGAAUGUUCCUAAGUCCUAUUGGGGAGAAGUUGUUCUUACUACCACAUACAUGAUAAAUAGAAUUCCGUCACGAGUUUUAGACAACAAAAGCCUCGUAGAGAUACUUAAGAGUUUCUAUCCACACUUCAGAACCUCAAAUGGGCUCACUCCUAGGGUAUUUGGGUGCACUGCAUUUGUUCAUGUCCACAGCCAACAUAGAGACAAGCUAGACCCCCGAGUCAUAAAAAUUGUCUUUCUUGGUUACUCAUCCACUCAAAAAGGAUACAAGUGUUACAAUCCCACAACAAAAAUUUUUUACAUCUCUGCAGAUGUCACCUUCACAGAAAAUAAACCUUUUUUCCCAAAGUCCUAUUUUUAGGGGGAGAUUUCAAUGAUAGAAGAUAGUCCUGAGUCCUUUGAACCUCUUGACCUUCCUCAUGUCUCAACCCAUGGUGAUGAAAUACCUAAGUCAUCCGAGUCAAUCACACUUGAGUCACCCAAUUUUACCACUAAACCCGUGUCAUCUAAUGUUCCAGCCAGUGUCACUCACAAUUUUCCAUAGUUUCCUAAGGUGUAUUCAAGGGAAAAGGCCAUUCCAGAACAAAAGUAUGUCCAAAAAUCCAACUUAGACCCUGGGAAUGAAAUCACGCUAAGAUCAGACCCACCUUUACAUACACAACCUGGUGAAACUUCUACUAACUCAACCUAGACCUAGACCUUCCCAUUGCUAUCAGAAAAGGCACCAGAGAAUGCACUAAUUGACCACUCUAUCCACUAUCACACUAUGUGUCUCUUAAGCACCUAUCACUAGCCCACAAAAAUUUAAUUGUGAGUCUAAACACCACUAUCAUCCCUAACACUGUUUCUAAGGCAUUGACAAAAAGGGAAUGAAAUGAUGCUAUGAGAGAGGAGAUGAGUGCCUUAGAAAAGAAUAAAACAUGGGAGAUUGUUGAAAGACCGAAAGGGAAAAACAUUGUUGAUUGCAAGUGGAUUUUCACACUGAAAUAUAAGACUGAUGGAUCUCUUGAGAGACAUAAAGCAAGAUUAGUAGCCAAAGGGUACACUCAAACUUAUGGAGUAGAUUAUCAGGAGACUUUUGCUCCAGUUGCAAAAAUAAAUGCUAUAAGAAUCCUACUGUCAUUGGCUGCCCACUACAAUUUGGAACUCCUAUAGUAUGAUGUUAAGAAUGCAUUUCUUCAUGAUGAUUUAGAUGAAGAGAUUUACAUGAACAUCCCCCCGAGAUUUGAGGGAAACACGGGUAAUAAGGUGUGCAAGCUAAAAAAGGCCCUUUAUGGGCUAAAACAAUCUCCUAGGGCUUGGUUUGGGAGAUUUGCAAAAGUCAUGAAAGAGUCUGGGUACAAACAAAGCCAAGGUGACCACACUCUCUUCAUUAAGCACUCGGUUGCAGGGGGAGUAACUGCUCUUCUAGUCUAUGUUGAUGACAUCAUAGUGACUGGAAAUGAUGAGAGAGAAAAACAUGAAGUGAAGCAGAGAUUAGCAAUAAAGUUUGAAAUAAAGGAACUAGGGAAACUAAAGUACUUCCUUGGUAUUGAGGUGGCAUAUUCCACACAAGGGAUCUUCAUCUCUCAACAAAAAGUAUGUGAAUGAUUUAUUGGCAGAAACAGGGAAGAUUGGGUGUAAACCAGUGUCUACCCCAAUGGAUCCAAACCACAAGUUGGGAGAAGCUAAAGAAGAACUAGUGGUGGAUAAAGAAUGUACCAGAGGCUGGUUGGUAGGCUCAUAUACCUUGUUCACACUUGGCCAGACAUCGCCUACUCGGUGAGCAUGAUCAGUCAAUUCAUGCAUGCUACAAGAGAACCUCAUCUUCAAGCUGCUUAUAGGGUGCUGCAUUACUUGAAAGGCAACCUCGGGAAAGGAAUUUUGUUCAAGAAGAACAAUACUCUUGCUCUAGAGUAUACACUGACGCUGACUAUGCAAGUUCCUUAGUGGAUCGAAGAUCAACUACAGGGUAUUGUACUUUUCUUGGAGGUAAUUAGGUAACAUGGAGAAGUAAAAAGUAGAAUGUGGUAGCAAAAUCGUCUGUAGAAUCAAAGUUUAGGGUCAUUGCUCAAGGGUUGUGUGAACUACUUUGGCUGAAGAUUAUUCUAGAUGAUUUGAGAAUCAAGUGGGAUGGUCCUAUGAAACUCUAUUGUGAUAACAAGUCAACUAUCAAUAUUGCUCAUAACCCUAUACUACACGAUAGGACAAAACAAAAUAAGAUCGAUAGGCAUUUCAUCAAAGAAAAAUUGGAGAAAGGAGUAGUGUGUAUGUCCUAUGUUGCAUCAGAACAUCAAUUAGUUGAUAUCCUAACAAAAGGGCUGAACAGUUCAAUGUUUCACAGUCUUGUAUUCAAGCUGGGAAUGGAAGACAUCUAUUCCUCAGCUUGAGGGGGAGUGUUGAGCUAUAAAUAGAUAGGAGAAUUAUUUUCCUAUUAUGUUAGUUUCCUAUUUAUGUAAAUAGAUAGUUUUAUUAGUUUCCUAAUUCUGUAAAUAGAUAGUUUUAUUAGUUUUCUAUUUCUAUAAAUAGAUAGUUUUAUGAUUUAGGAAUAAAUUAGUUUUCUAUUAUGUCUCUUGUUUUCUAUUUCUUCUCUUGUAAUCUUCUAUAUAAACUGUGUGUAUGGUCAAUCUAAGAGACAAAAAUUAUUAUUUUCCAUCCCAUAUUUCGUAUCAAGAUGCAUGCCAUAAAAAUGGUAAGAUGAACAACAACAAGCCAAGCAACAAAAAAAAAAAAAAAAUGGAGUUUUUCCACCUUGUCCUCAUUGCAAGAAGACAAAUCAUUCUCCACAAAAAUGUUGGUGGAGACCAGAUGUGAAAUGCAACAAGUGUGGUAAACAAGGACAUGUGAAGAGGAUUUGCAAAAAUCAACAACAAAAAGAAACUAGUGCAACAAUUGACUAUUGUCAAGAGGAGCAAUUAUUUGCAGCAACGUGUUUUGCUAAUAAAAGCACCUCUGAAAGCUAGCUUGUGGAUAGUAGUUGUACAAACCACAUGACAAAUAAUCAAGAUCUCUUUAGAGAACUUGAUAGAACAACUAUUUCCAAAGUCAGAAUUGGAAAUGGUGAGUAUAUUCCAGUUAAGGGCAAAUGAACGGUUGCUAUCAAAAGCCAAAUAGGUUUGAAACUCAUUUAUGAUGUUUUGUUUAUGCUUGACGUUGACCAAAACUUACUCAGUGUUGGACAGCUCGUUGAGAAAUGAUUUAAAGUUUAUUUUGAAGAUAGGAAUUGCAUUAUCAAGGAUGUUGAAGGCAAAGAGGUGUUUAACAUAAAAAUGAAGGGCACGAGUUUUGCCUUGAAUUUACUAUAAGAUGAGCAUGCUGCUAUUUUACAACAAUAUAGCACAACAAUGCUUUGGCACAGAAGGCUUGGGCACUUUCAUCAUGAUGUUGUGCUCUACAUGAAGAAAAAUAAAAUAGCUGAAAGACUUCCCGACUUAGAAAAAGAUCUUCCUAUAACUGCUACUUGUCAAUAUGGGAAGCAAACUAAACUUUCCUUUCCAAAGAAAACAUCCUAGAGAGCAACCCAAAAAUUGCAACUAGUGCAUACUGAUAUUGGUGGACCUCAAAAGACGUCAUCCUUGAAAGGGAAUGUAGGCAUUGUUCACCAGCUCACUGCACCAUAUAAUCCACAACAAAAUGGAGUCGUAAAGAGAAAAAAUAGAACGAUUUUGGAGAUAACAAAAUGCCUUCUGCAUGAAAAAGAUCUACCUAAAGUUUUUUGGGCUGAAGCUACAAGUACAGUAGUAUAUUUGCUUAACAAAUUGCCAACAAAAACGUUAAAGAAGCAGACCCCUUUUGAAGUUUGGUUUGAGUUUCUACGUGGAAGACUUGGAGUUUGCAUCUACUAAGUCAAGAAGGAGUGUUGAAUUUUGACCUAGUAUCUACUAGAAUUUGAAUUUUGAAGUUAAAUAUUGCAGUUGGAGUCUUGCACAAAAUCUAUAACAUCCAAAUAUUUUCUUGUUUUUAUUUGGUCAAGAUUUGGUUUCUAUUUUAUAGGAAGUAGUUGUUCAUCAUCUAGUAGCUUGAUUUUAUGCUAUUCUAAUGUCAUUUCAGUUACAAGCUCAUGUAUAAAUUCAACACUCUUCAUCAAUAAAAUGUGUGUUCCAGCAACCCAAAAUAUAUAUUCUGCAUAAGUGUUUAAAUCUUAGACCAACACAUCCUCGUCACUAGUAGUUGUGCCUCUCAGGUUACCUUUUUUAUCUCUCAGCUCAGCUCCACCUUUGCUCUUCAUGAUCUUGGUUCCCUUUACUAUUUCUUUGGCAUUGGGGUUUCUCAUAGUACUGAUUCUCUUCAUCUCUGCCAACAAAAAUAUGUGAAUGACCUGCUCACUCGUACUGCCAUAACUGAUGCUAAACUUGUUCUUACAUUGGGUUCCUUGGCCAAACCUCUCUCUCUCACUGACGGUGAUCUACUUCAUAUCAUAACAUUGUUGGCGCAUUACAGUAUGUUACUGUUACAUGUCCAAACCUUUCUUUUGCAGUUAACAAGGUAUGCCAGUUUAUGGCUUCCCAACGACUACCCACUAGCUAGCUUUCAAGAAUAUAAAAAGUAGUUAAAAAUAAAAUAAAAAUAUAGACUUAAAAUAAAAAAUAAAUUAAAAAUGAAUAAUUAAAAAUUUUAAAAAUGAUAAAUAUUUUUUUUUUUUUUAAAGUUUUCAAAAAAAUCUCAGAUAUUUUCAGAUAUAUCGGCAAUGUAUCCGAUAUAUCUCUAAUAUUUUGAUAGACUUCCUCUAUUGCUUUGUGCGUCACUUCACACUCGAUUUUUUCGCCGAUUUAUCGAUUUCAAAUUAACCGAAAUAUCAACAUAUUUCGGGGAUUUUUCUGAUAUUCCUCCGUUCAAUAAUGUUGCUUAAUAUCCUUUUAGGGUAGUCCGAUAUCCGAUAUAUUGGCGAAAUAUCACCGAUAAAAACCGAUUUUUCAAUCCAUGCUUAAUAGUGGGUUUCCCUUUUGUUUGGCCUCUUGUAGACCCCCAUUUUGGGGCUCGGUUUUUUUUAUCUCUAUUUUCUUUGUAGGUGUCACCACCCCAGGGAGCCAUGCGUCGCCUCUUUGGUGGUUGAUAGGGAAUCAACAUUGCUUUUCGGGGACCUAUGGUAGGUUGACACGUGGAAGAAUAUUCUGGAGAGCUAAUUUCCGUUAUGGGGGAGCAUAUGAGAGAGGAUAUUCUGCAGGCAUUUUGAUUCUCACAUGUGCAUGAUCACUUUGAGUAUUCAUUGAUUUCCGCAUCAAUUGUCACAUCAGCUUCAUUUUAUUUGUAGAGACCCGACUUUAGGGACUUAGAGGGGUGCUACGGUCUUUACCGUACCUUCCCGAUAAGUAAUCUGACCCCCGAGCUCAAUCCAGUUUUUCACGGACCACCUUUUCCAAAUAAGGAGUCACACUUAGGGUUUUCUUUCUUAUUUUAUUUACCCUUUAAAAAUAAAACAAAAUUAAGUGGCGACUCCAAGUCAUUUUUCUUAAUCAGUAAAAUCAUUUUCAAAAUAAAAAUUGAGCUCGCCAUCGAGUGAAAAACGCAUUAGCUGAAAUGCGGGGUCCACACCUCUGUUUUUUUUAUAAAAAAAAAAAAAAAUCCUUUCCCAUUCUAUGGCCUUGAGUGAGCAUUACGUAUUUCAACUAUUUUGACAUGUUCAAAAUAAAAUACUAAGAAUUUAAAGGGAAUUUGUUCGACAAGUACUUUUUUUUUAACAUAUUUAUUUAUACAUUAUUUAGUUUAGGUUGCAUUAUUCUAUGUAAAUAAUUUAUUGGGUAUGGGAAUUAUUUUUAUAAAUGGCUGAGUAGAUUCAAUUUUAGAUAUUUAUUUAUUGAUCAUGAAAAAUAUUUAUUAAAACAUGGUUUAACAACCAUGCGAUGGAAUCAACCUAUUAAAAAAAAUAAACUAAUACUAUAUUAUUUUAACUUAAAUUAUUUCUUGAUGGUAGCAAUGUUGAAAAAACAAAUAUCAAUAAAGACUAAUCUUAACGAGAAAAUAGUAAUUAACAUAAUUUUAUAUUAACUUGUAAAAUUGGGUCAACAUAUAAAUAUAUUAAUUGUAACAAGAAGACCUACAUUGAUAAUGAAACGUCAAUAUUAGUCUAUAUUGCCAACUUUGAAAUAUUAAUAUAUGUAUAUAGCAUAUGUUUUCAUGAUUAGGAAUUAGAGAAAAUUUUGUAGAAGAUUUUUCCAAAUUUGAAAAUAACUAUGGAAGAAAUUCAACUUAAACACGUUUCUUUGUGGAAGAGUUGCAUGUCUACUCAAGUCUCAGCAUGUUCCCUAGCCCAAAUUUCUAAACCCAAAAAUCACCCUGUGGCAAGCUUGAAGGUAAUUCAAUGAAAAUAUGCUUAAAGCUCAACGGCUAAUUUACUUAUUUGGAAGUCAUUUUUCUCUAUGUGUUGGAUGAUAAAAUUUGUUGGUCUAGGUUACACGUUCCUGCAAAGAAGAGCAGACGGAGGAUCUGAAAAAUGAAUUGAAACUGGAAUUAAUACGUAGUGUUAUUAUAUAUCGAUGGAAAUUAGUUUAAAGUUGGAUAUAUUAAUACUUAGGAUGUUUGGUAAAACUUAAUACUUAUUAUUUAAUUAUUUGAGUUGACUUUAAAUUAAAUUAUACUUAAAUUACUUACUUAAAACUUAUUACUUUAAGUAUUAAGAUAUAAAAUUAACUUAAAGUUUAUUUAAAAUCAUUAAGUUGACAUAUUUAUUCUUAUAAAUUAUAAUUAGAAUAGAAAAAGUUGAGUUUAUAGAGUUGUAAAAGAGAUCAUGAAGGUAAUUAAGACAAAUAAAGAUAAAAAGAUAAAAUGAAAAUAUAAAAUUAAAAAUAAAUUAAUUAUUUUUACUUAUUAUUUAAAGUUAUUUUUUUUACUUUAAAUCAUAUUAUCAAGUUAUUUUAUUAAAUAUGCUUAAUUUACUUAAUGACUUAAAUUAAGUUAUUAAAUUAUUUUAAGUUAUUAAGUUGAUUUAUCAAAUUUCUACUUAUUGAAUACAAAUAUAGAAGGAAAUUAGGAAAGCAAAGUAGAUGGGUUAUUAGGUGAAAGCUUAUCAAAUCCGCCUAUCAACAUAUCACACUUUUACCAAAAACCCACCUCAUGCCAAGCCUAUAAGUUGUCAAGUCCUUAUGAUCCAACAACUUUCUUAUGGUUCCCACACGGAUUUCUAUUGUUAUCAAAACAAAAAGUUUAUAAUAAAAUAUAUAUAUAUAUAUAUAUAUAUAUAUAUAUAUAUAUAUAUAUUAUAAUUCAUAAAUAAUCUGACAAUUAAAUAAAAAGAUAAACUCAUUUGUGGAAUAUAAUUAAUAAAAAAAAAAGAGAAGUGUUAAGAGUUUUAAAUUAUUAUUAUUUUAUAUUUUUUAUAUUUUAAAUAAAUAUAAUUAAAAUAAUGGAUAAAAAAUGUGCACUUUGUACCUUCAACCUAUAAGAGUUGUAAUAUUUUCAAGUUGGUAUUCUUUAACAUAAGUCAAAUUCUAACUUAUUCAACUUUGACAAUUUUAACCUAAUCCUCAUAUUGGUACAAAUUAGACUAUUCUACCUUAUUUAAGUUUUAGUCCUAAAAAAAUCAUGAGAAUUAUGGACCGAAUGAUGUAUAUUAAAUUUCUAAGAUUCAUAUUUUAAAAUUAAUAAAAUUGAAGUAUUUUCCUUCUGGAGAUUAUUUAUUAUGAUUUAUCUUUACUUUAAUUAAUUAAUUAAUAUAUAUAUAUAUAUAUAUAUAUAUAUUUCAUUGGUAGAAUUGUCCUUAAUGGCCUUUGUACAUAGAGUACAUUCCUGGUCAUAAGAAUACGUGUCAAAUAUAAAUAUGCUUUUCAAAUUUAAUCAUUCUUAUUAUAAGUUUAUUAUUAUUAUUAUUAUUUUAUUAUAUACCUUGUAAAAAUAAAAGUUAUGAUCUUACGUAAGGUCGCAAUUUGAAGUUCAAGUUCAUUAAACUGUGCAGAGUUUAGCUUUCUAUAUAUAUAUAUAAAGAAUCAAUUCCAUCAAUUCAUUAUUUUUUAAGAAUUGAAAAUUACAUAAAUAUUGAUGGUUAUAUUUUACAAAAACAUUGAAACAAAACAAUAAUAUAUUAUUAAAGUUGUUUUACUAAAUAAAAUAAUAUAAUCAUCGUUAUAUAUAUUCUUGUACUUUGUUUAUUAACAAUUUUAUUAUAUUUUCAUUUUAACUUAAGAUAAAGACAAAGGGUUGAAUUGAAAAUUUUAAUUUGCAUAAUUUAAUUAAUUUGAAAAGAAUUUUAAAUUGAGAAUUUGAAAAACAAAUUCCAAAUAAUAAAAAUAAUUUGGAAAUGAAUUUUAAAUUAAGGAUUUAAAAUUUAAAAUUUGCAAAAGGAAAUUUUUUAUAAAUCUUUUCUAAUUUUAAAUAUGAAAUAUUUCCAAAUCUUUUUAAAACUCUUAAGUUUCUAAAUUGUUUUUCAUAAAAUAUAAUCUUUAAAUUAAUUGCAACUAUAUAAAGUUUUCUCCUAUAUAUAUCCUACCUAAAUGUAUAUUUGAUGACGGUCUGACUUGUUUUUCUAUUCUUAAUCUCUAAAGAAAGAAUUCAUUACAAGUACCUACAUCCCCUCAGAAGCUUAGAGGAGUUAGAGCAUUUGGAGGUACUACAUUGUGGAUGUGGAUUAAGGUGUAGGUUCUAGCUAGUGAAUCAUUAAGGUAAAACGGUUAUUAAAUAUGUGUACUUUAAUUUCAAAUAGUGGAUUAUAAAUUAGAGGUUUUAAAUCUUGUGAUUUUUUAUGCCCACAAUUAGCAUUGAUAUUUUCAAAUUAAAAUUUCUUGUGUCCCUUAUUUGAUUAUUUUUAUUAUUUUGAUUAUCCCUAUUAUCUCUUAGUUUAAAUUGAGUUAAUAUUAUUUAACUCUUAUAUUAUUUUCUUUAAAAAUCACCCCACUCUCAAUGUCAUCCUCUUGGACAAAAGCGUGUAUAUAUAUAUAUAUAAUUCACAAAUCUUGAAAAUAUAUUUAAUAUUAAAAUAUCAUUCCAUGUAAUUUGGAAGUAUUCAAAGAUGUAAAAGAUAUGAUAAUAUAUGUAUAAUUAUUUUUUAUUUAAAAAUAUUAAUAAUUACAUUUGCAACUUUAUUUUGUCCUCAUUAUUUAAUUAAUAUACAAAAAGAUAUGGGAAUAGAAUUAUCAAAAGAAUUGUCAUAAUAAAGCUUUAUAUUCUUCAUAAUAAGUUAAAUUAAGGUGAUAUUUAUUUAUUUUACUUAAAUCUAAAUAAAAAUUAAUUUAACUUAAUUGUAAAUAUAACUUAAUAGAAUUAAUUAUUAUAUUUUUUUGUUUUUUAUAAUUUUAUUUUUGUUAAGCGUUAAAUAUUAAUUGGGUGAGAGUCCUACUAAGGUUGUGCUUUGACUUAUUCAAAAAAUUAUUUUUAGUAAUGAGCAAAAAGUUAAAUAUUUUACUUUUAUCUAUUCAUUAAAAAAAUCUUAAAAAUUAAUUUUUUUUUUGUUUUAUUUAAAAUAGUGAAUGGAGUUUGAGUCGAAUUUUAAUUAUUUGGUAAAAUAAUAAAAUUAGUUUUUUAUUUAAAAGAAAAAAUAAAGGUAAGUCAAAGAUAUAAAGAUAAUUAUUUUAUUUUAAAUAAGAAAGAUUCAAAUAAAUAAAAAAAGAAAAAGUUAAUGAGCUACAAAUUUUAGGAUUAAUUGAUUAAAAUGGGUGAAAAUAUCUCAAAUUUGUAAAACUAAUCUCUUCCAUUUUUUAACUUAAAGAGUAACACUUGUUUGACAUAAAUACCCUUCAACAUUUUCAUUAUUUACAUAUGUAUUUUAAAAGAAAAUGUAAUUUUUGUAAGAAAAAAGUGAGAGUAUUCUUAUGUAUUUUUUGGAUGAAAAAAAAUGGUUUGCAAUUUGAUAUUUCUUUUGUCCUUUUUAAUCGGUUAUCCCCAAAUUUUUUUUACGGAAAAUACAAAUUCUAAAAAUAUUUGGUUUUAUUGCUAUUUUUAAAUUUAAAUAUAUUUUUACCUUAAUUAUAUUUUUAUUUCAAAAUAAUUGAUGAUGAUUUAGUUGAAUUCUAACAUUUAAUGGAGUUUUAGUUGAAUUCUAACACUAUAAUAUAAAGUGACCCGAUAAAAUUAUAAAAUCAAUUUUAUUUAAAAAUAAAUAAAGUUGAGUUAAAAAUAGUAUUAAAUAAAUUAAAUUUUAAAAAUAAAAUUUAAUAGUUUUACCUUAAAUAAAAAAUAUUAAAAGAAAAAAUAAUUAGAUAGAUAGGCUUUAAAUUUUAUUAAGAGAAACAUAAAUUUUUUUUUUUAAAAUUGUUUUUAUUUAUUUUCAAUUUUAAAAUUUUAUUUCUAUUUUUUAUUUAAAUGUAUUUUCAAAUUUUAUCUAAAAAUAGUUAAUAGAGUUUUGGUUGAAUUUUAAGACUAUAAGAUAAGCGAAUAGUUGAAAUUAUAAAAUGAAAUUUUUUAUUAAAAUGAAAAGAAAGUUAAGUUAAAGAUACUAUAAAUUAUGAUUAGAAGAAUGAAAAUCAAUAUAAAAAAAAAAAUGGUUUUAUCUUAAAUUAGAAAUAUUUAAAAAAAAAAAGAAUAAUGUAUUGAAAAAUAUAACUUUGUGGUAGAAGAGCAAUGACUAUGCUCUUUUGAAUACCCUAGUUUAUGUUCAUUUUUUAAAAUUUAAAAAGAAUAAACAUCUUUUAGAUAUUAACAAAAAUAAAUUUAAAUAGAUUCUUUAACAUAAAACCUAAAAAACAUUUGUUGUUGGCCAAAAAAUCCAACUAUGAGCCCUUUUAUGACAAGUGAAACUUCCAAAUCUUCUGAAGAGUUUUUUAUCUUAGUAUUAAAAUCUAAAAGCAGAAUAUUUAUACUAUGAGUUGUCUUUUUAACAACUAAUUUAUUUUAUUAAAUGUAAUAAUAUACAUUAAUAUGUUGUAAAUGAAAAGUAAUGAAUGACCACAUUGAUGGCCAUUAUGAACUCCAUUUACUCAUCUUUAAGAUGAGUAAUGGGAGUUCAUAUUAUGAAGCCUAUAAAAGGCUUCUUACCCCCCCAUGUAAAAGGAUCCCGAGAAAAGAAAGAAAGUUCUUCCUCUCAUUCUCUCUCUCUCUCUUUCUUUCACUUUCUCGAUUCUCUUAUUUGAUUCCUUCUUCCAUAUUAUAUAUCAAAGUAAGAUAUAUUUUAUCUCUACUACUUUGAUUUGCAUUAUAUUUGUCCUUGUUUUACAACACGUUAUCAGCACGAAUUGCUCUGAAGGUAAUUCUCGUAUCUUAAACUUGAAGUUAUUUAUAUAAAAUAAAAUUUUACAUAUUUAUAUUAUUGUUGAUUUGUUUUGUUACAUAUUGUUAAAAGUUAUAAACAAAUUAUUUGAUUUUGUUUAUAAUCAAAGUUAUACCAAUGCUAUCAAGUUAUUAUAACUGAUUUUAAUAAUAUUGUUUUGUCAUAUAUAUGAAGUUAUUUGACAAUGUCGAAUAUUACAAAACUCGAAUUUGUGGCACUUGACAUUUCGGGAAAGAACUAUCUAUCUUGGAUCCUUGAUGCUGAAUUACAUCUUGAUGCAAUGAACCUUGGAGCUACGAUCAAACAAGGAAAUCAAGCAUCCCUGCAGGAUCGCGCAAAAGCAUUGAUUUUCCUUCAUCAUCACCUCCAUGAAGGUUUAAAAAAUGAGUAUCUUACGGUAAAGGACCCUUUUACUCUAUGGAGUAAUUUGAAAGAAAGAUAUGACCACUAGAAAACUGUGAUUCUCCCAAAAGCUCGAUAUGAUUGGAUGCACCUAAGGUUGCAAGAUUUUAAAACUGUUAGUGAAUACAACUCUGCACUUUUCAAAAUCAGCUCUCAAUUAAAGCUGUGUGGAGAAAAAAUCACAGAGGAAGACAUGUUAGAGAAAACUUUUACUACGUUUCAUGCCUCGAAUGUGCUCCUGCAGCAGUAAUAUCGAGAGCGUAGAUUUACAAAAUAUUCUGAAUUAAUAUCAUGUCUUCUUGUUGCUGAACAAAAUAAUGAGCUUUUGAUGAGAAAUCACCAGUCUCGUCCAACUGGAUCUGAACCAUUCCCUGAAGUGAAUGCAAUAUCGUCCCAAACUCGUGGACGUGGACGAGGACGAGGACGUGGUCGUGGUCAUGGAAGAAAUCCUCGAUACCAUGGUUCUUAUAGUAAUAAUUCUCAUAAAAUGAAAGCCUCAUUGCACCACCAGAAGUGGAACAAUACUGAGACAAUACAAGAAAAUGGGAAGCGUUUACAAGAUAAACCUCCUAAGAACCAUGAGAAUAAUUGUUAUAUAUGUGGUAUGAAGGGGCAUUGGUCGCGUACCUGUCGUACGCCCAAACAUUUGGUCGACCUUUACCAAGCAUCAAUAAAAGCUAAAGGAAAAGAGAUAGAGAUGAACUUUACCGAUGGUGAUGGAUUGGACCUAACCUACUAUGACAUUGAUUUCUUUGGAGGUCCCAAUGAAAAACCAGACCAUUUGAUAAAUGAUGAAAAAAUUAACAUUGAUUGAUGUUACUCUAUAUAUACAAUAAUAUAUUAUUAUGUCUUAUAUUUACAUCUGAUUUACUUUGUUAUUUACAUUAUGCCUUUUUUUUUGUUAUAUCUGAAAUCCAUGUGUUAUUUGGUCUCAAGAUGAAUGAGGAUGAUGUAUGUCUCGCAGACUGUGCGACCACGCACACAAUUCUUCAAGAUAAAAGAUAUUUCCUUGAAUUGACAUUAAUAAAAGCUAAUGUAAGUACCAUAUCUGGUACUACAAACUUAGUUGAAGGCUCUGGAAGAGCAAACAUAACAUUGCCAAAUGGAACUAGAUUCCAUAUAAAUGACGCGUUAUAUUCUAGCAAAUCCAGAAGAAAUUUGCUCAGUUUUAAAGAUAUCCGCAGAAAUGGAUAUCAUAUUGAAACUAUGAAUGAAGAUAAUGUAGAAUAUCUUUACAUUACUUCCAUUAUAUCUGGCCAGAAGCUUAUAAUGGAAAAAUUGCCGGCUUUUUCCUCUGGGUUGUAUCAUACAACUAUAAAGCCUAUUGAAUCAUAUGUUGUCGUGAACCAGAAGUUCAACGACCCAAAAGUUUUUGUCCUUUGNNNNNNNNNNNNNNNNNNNNNNNUGGUCACAUGUUUGUCUCCUUUCUACACGUAACGUAGCCUUUGCUAGACUCCUUGCACAAAUAAUCAGAUUACGAGCACAAUUUCCAGAUUAUCCAAUUAAGACAAUACGUCUUGAUAAUGCUGGCGAAUUUACUUCUCAAACAUUCAUUAACUAUUGCAUGUCAGUAGGGAUAAAUAUUGAGCAUCCUGUUGCUCAUACUCAUACCCAGAAUGGUUUAGCAGAAUCCUUCAUCAAACGUCUCCAAUUAAUAGCUCGACCAUUACUAAUGAAAACCAAAUUACCUACUUCCGCCUAGGGACAUGCUAUUAUGCAUGCUGCAGCUUUAGUCCGUAUUCGACCUUCAACUUACCAUGAAUACUCCCCUUCACAACUUGUGCUUGGAAAACAACCAAAUAUCUCUCACUUACGAAUCUUUGGUUGUGCAGUAUAUGUACCAAUUGCACCUACACAACGCACUAAAAUGGGUCCCCAACGAAGACUUGGGGUUUAUGUAGGUUUUGAUUCUCCAUCUAUCAUAAGAUAUCUUGAACCUUUGACUGGAGAUGUUUUUACAGCCCGCUUUGCAGAUUGUCAUUUUAAUGAGAGUGUUUUCCCAUCAUUAGGGAGAGAAAAGUCGAUUCUUGAAGAACGACGAGAAAUUAGUUGGAAGACAUCUACUAUGACCCAUCUUGAUUCUCGUACAAAUCAAUGUGAACUAGAAGUUCAAAGGAUCAUUCAUUUGCAAAAUCUUGCAAAUCAAUUACCAGAUGCAUUCAUUGAUACAAAGAAAGUGACAAAGUCACAUAUCCCGGCUGCAAAUACUCCAGCACAGAUUGAUGUCCCUGUAGGACAGUUAACAAAUGAAUCUAAGAUACGCCUGAAGCGUGGUAGACCUGUCGGCUCAAAGGAUGUAACUCCCCGGAAGAGGAGAACCCAAGAAAAACUUGGCACUCUAGAAGAUGCCAUCAAAAUGACUGAUCAGUUUAAAAUUGAUAAAUCUAUAGCCCUAGAAGAGGCACAAAUAAUGCAGAAAGCCCCUGAAGAGGUAAAUAUUGAACAAGAAGCCCCCGAAGAGGCACAUAUUGAACAAGAAACCCCUGAAGAUCCACAUAUUGAACGAGAAGCCCCUGAAGAGGCACAGGUACCUGAAAAUUGUGAGAUCUCAGUAAGUUAUGUACAAACGGGAGAAAAAUGGGAUUGAAAUAAUAUUGUUAUUAACAAUAUUUUUGCUUUCCAAGUGACCUUUGAUAUCAUAAGAAAUGAUGAAGAUCCCGAACCACGAAAUGUGGAAGAAUGUCGACAUAGAAAUGAUUGGCCAAAAUGGAAAGAAGCUAUACAGGCAGAAUUAAACUCAUUAACAAAACGAGAAGUUUUUGGACCUGUAGUCCAAACACCUGAAGAUGUAAAGCCUGUUGGGUACAAAUGGGUAUUUGUACGAAAGCGCAAUGAGAAUAAUGAGAUCAUAAGAUAUAAAGCGCGAUUAGUGGCACAAGGUUUCUCGCAGAGACCUGGUAUUGACUACGAGGAAACAUAUUCUCCCGUCAUGGACGUAAUCACAUUUCGUUUCUUAAUUAGUUUGGCAGUCUCAAAAGGACUGGAUAUGCGUCUCAUGGAUGUUAUUACAUCAUAUUUAUACGGAUCCAUGGAUAAUGAUAUAUACAUGAAAAUCCCCAAAGGAUUUAAAUUGCCUGAUGCAAAUAAUACAAAGCCUCGUAGCAUGUACUCAAUCAAGUUACAACGAUCCUUGUAUGGAUUAAAGCAAUCUGGACGCAUGUGGUACAAUCGCCUUAGUGAAUACUUGCUAAAAGAAGGGUAUGUGAAUAACCCUAUAUGCCCAUGCAUCUUCAUUAAGAAAUCAGAAACCGGAUUUGCAAUUAUUGCAGUGUAUGUGGAUAACUUAAAUCUUGUUGGAACUCCUGAAGAGCUCACAAGAACAACAAAUUACUUGAAAAAGGAAUUUGAGAUGAAAGAUCUUGGAAAAACAAAAUUUUGUCUCGGCCUGCAGAUCGAGCAUUUUCCAAAUGGAAUUUUAGUACAUCAAUCAACAUACAUUAAGAAAGUUUUGAAGCGUUUUUAUAUGGAUAAAGCGCAUCCUUUAAGUUCUCCAAUGGUUGUCUGAUCACUUGAUGUGAAAAAAGACCCAUUUCGUCCUUGCGAAAAGGAUGAAGAGUUGCUUGGUCCUGAAGUACCAUAUCUUAGUGCUAUUGGUGCACUUAUGUAUCUUGCCAAUUGUACACGUCCAGACAUUGCUUUUUCUGUCAAUUUAUUAGCAAGAUACAGUUCCGCUCCAACUCGAAGACAUUGGAAUGGUAUCAAACAUAUAUUACGUUAUCUUCGCGGAACUACUGAUAUGGGUUUAUUUUACUCAAGGGAAUCAAAGCAACAAUUGCUUGGAUAUGCAGAUGCAGGAUAUCUUUCAGAUCCACAUAAAGGCAGGUCACAAACAGGGUAUGUGUUUAAUUGUAAUGGUACUGCUAUUUCAUGGAGAUCUGUCAAACAAACAAUGGUAGCCACAUCAUCAAAUCAUUCAGAAAUACUGGCAAUUCAUGAAGCAAGUCGUGAAUGUAUAUGGCUAAGAUCUAUGAUCCAACAUAUUCGGGAAUCAUGUGGACUCUCCUCUAUCAAAGGUGACCCGACAACAUUAUUUGAAGAUAAUGUUGCAUGCAUUGCACAAAUAACAGGGGGUUAUAUUAAAGGAGAUAGAACAAAACACAUUUCACCAAAAUUCUUUUAUACACAUGAACUCCAGAAGAGUGGUGAAAUUGAUGUGCAACAAAUACGCUCAAGUGAUAAUCUAGCAGAUUUAUUCACAAAAUCAUUGCCAACUUCAACAUUCAAGAAGUUAAUACACAGGAUUGGAAUGCGUCAACUCAAGGAUAUCGACAUGAGGGGGAGUAUGCUUGUAAAAGGGUGUUAGUGUACUAUACUCUUUUUUUCCUUCGUCCAGGUUUUGUCCUACUGAGUUUUACUGGCAAGGUUUUUAACGAGGCAGUCCUAAUAUGCCAAGAAAAGAAUAUUGUACUCUUUUUCCUUCGCUAGGUUUUUCCUAUAGGGUUUUUUACUAGCAAGGUUUUAAUGAGGCAUAUUCUUUUAAUAUGGUGGUCAUCCAAGGGGGAGUGUUGUAAAUGAAAAGUAAUGAAUGACCACAUUGAUGGCCAUUAUGAACUCCAUUUACUCAUCUUUAAGAUGAGUAAUGGGAGUUCAUAUUAUGAAGCCUAUAAAAGGCUUCUUACCCCCCAUGUAAAAGGAUCCCGAGAAAAGAAAGAAAACUCUUCCUCUCAUUCUCUCUCUCUCUCUUUCUUUCACUUUCUCAAUUCUCUUAUUUGAUUCCUUCUUCCAUAUUAUAUAUCAAAGUAAGAUAUAUUUUAUCUCUACUACUUUGAUUUGCAUUAUAUUUGUCCUUGUUUUACAACAAUAAAUUAUAGUUGAGUUUUUUUUUAAAAAAAAAUUGGCAUAUGCUUGUAUUACUUUGUUAGCUUGGAGGACGAAAAGCCUAUACAAAUAAUGAGUUGAAUGAAAUAAGAAGCGAGUAAAUUACAUGUAUCAAUGAAAUUGUAAUUUUUAGAUUACAGAAAUGAGUACAUGCAUUAAUAUAUAUGAAAAUAUAUAGUGAUUAUGAGAUUUGAGAAUCUAUUUAUUUUGAAUGAUGGGAAUUAAACUUCGUAAAAUUUCAAUGUAGAUCGGAAGUAAAUUUUUUUGUUACUUGAAAUAUUCACAACUUCUUUCCUGUAGUGAUGUUAUUUUGUAAUAGAACUUCCCUGGACAAUCGUUUUCAUGACUGGGAAUUGAAUUAGAGAAAAUUUUGUAGAAGAUUUUUUCAAAUUUGGAAAAAUCGCAUGUAGAAGAGUUGAAUUGGCAAGGAAAUCUACACACUCGUUGAACAGUCUAGGCCCACUUUUCCAAUCAGCCUAGCACGUUUUUUUGAAUUGAAUAACCACGGAUUGAUAUUGAUUGGAUCCAUUAUCAGUCAUUCAAUCCUAAAGCAUUCAUUUGUCAAACUCCAAGGAAUAUAGGUUUGGCCGAGUGAACAUUUCAAUACUAAACUUGUCCAAAUACAUUAAUUUGAUAUUUUUAGUAAAUAUGAUGCGCAAAAUGAAACCUACUUGGUCGAUAAUGACCUAGUGGUUAGGGCAAUCCCUCAAAAUUCAUAAAAAAAGAAGAUGCAAAUAGAAUCAAAUAGUAGUUCUUAUGUUAUUUUUUCAAAAAAUAGUUAUCGAGUCUGGAAAUGGGUAUUUUUCAUUUACGAAGCUUAAUCCUAUGGGAUUUAAUUUUCAUCGACUAGGAGAAUAAUUUGAUCCUAGCCACACCUAAUGUUAACGACUUGUUUAGGUAUUUUGAGUGAAGAGGACAACGGUUCCACACCGUGGGCCCCAAAACUGAACCAAAUCCCUCAUACUAUUCAACUACAUACUACCACUGCAUGCCAAGCCGUCUCUCUCAUACUUACCAAUUCUUUCUCUAGUCCAGAUUCUUAAACCCCAACAUUUGGGGUGACCAAUUUAUUACCUACACUCCCGAAGAAAGUUAAUUCAAUGAAAUUAUGUUUAUAUACUUAUUUGGAAGUUAUUUUUCUUAGGAUGAUAAAAUUUGCUGGUCUAGGUUACAAGUGCCUACAAAGAGGAGCAGAUUGAGGAUCUGAAAAAUGAAUUGAAAAUGGAAUUAUACAUGGUGUUGACUAUAAGAAUUUCAGUGGAUUCAAAAAGCCCCAAUUUAUACCUUAGCCGCCCCUAAUAGUUUCGGCUCUUGCUUCAUAAAUUUAGCCAAGGGACUCAUGAAAAAACUUUUUCUUUCACGUCAUCAAUCCCUUUCAUACACUACUUUCAACGUUUUUAUUUUACAUUAUCUUCAACAAUAGAACAUUUAGAAUAUCCUCUUGCGGAACAAGUUGCUCAUGCACUAAAGCAGCCCAUUAGAAAAGGUUUAGAGAGGCUAGAGGCAAGGUGGUAUAUGUCUAUCUACCAGGAUGAAACUUCGCAUGACACAACUUUACUAAAGCUGGCCAAGUUAGAUUUCAAUCUAGUGCAGUCCCUACACAAGGAGGAGCUAAGCAAUAUUGCUAGGUUUGCUUUCAAAUCACUAGCAGAUAUACCUAGUCACCUUCUCAUUUUACCAUGAGCUAAUUGUUUUAAUGAAUUUUAGGUGGUGGAAAGAAUUAGACUUUGCUACAAAGCUACCUUUUGCGAGAGAUAGAUUGGUGGAAGGCUACUUUUGGAUACUUGGGGUGUACUUUGAGCCUCAAUAUGUCCGGGCUAGACGAAUUCUAACCAAAACAAUUUCCAUGACAUCCAUUAUAGAUGAUAUAUAUGACGCAUAUGGCACAUUUGAAGAACUCGAGCUCUUCACCGAGGCCAUUGAGAGGUUUGAUUGAUGCAAAUUACCAACCUUCAUCAUUUAUACUGUAUGUGAUACUUAAAUCAAGCCUGGUUUUAUUUUCAGGUGGGAUAUUAAUAGCAUAGAUCACCUUCCAGAAUACAUGAAACACUGCUAUGUGGCACUCUUAGAUGUGUACAAAGAAAUUGAGGAAGAGAUGGAGAAAAAAGGAAACCAAUAUCGGGUUCAAUAUGCGAUAGAAGCGGUAGGACAUUCUGCAUCGACUUUGUUUUGUAUAGUAACAUAUCGUAAGGAUAUAGAUGUAACCUGAUUGAAUGUUUGACAGAUGAAAAACCUAGUUAGAGCUUAAUUUCAUGAGGCUAAAUGGUUCCAUGAAGGACGCAUACCAACAAUGGAAGAGUAUAUGAUAAUAAUAGGUUUAUCUUAGGGAAUCAAUAAUUAUUUUUGUAUGUUAUAAAGAUUACAUUUAUACUUGAAUUAUUUUUAAUUUAUUAUAUCAUAUAAAUUUUUUAUCUUAUAAUAUUGUAAAUUUUAAUUAUAUUAGGAAAUCAAUGAAUGCUUUUAUAACUAUUUAAAUGAUGUUAGUUAUGAGAUAAUUUUAUUUUAUUAUUGUUUUUUUACCUUAUUUACUUGUACCUAUUUUUUAAUAAUUUACAUAAUAUUUUUAUAAUUUUUAAAAUUUUCUAAUUAUCAUAUUUUUUUGUAUAUGACACUUAAAUCAAGCCUGGUUUUAUUUUCUGGUGGGAUGUUAACAGCAUAGAUCACCUUCCAGAAUACAUGAAACACUGCUAUGUGGCACUCUUAGAUGUGUACAAAGAAAUUGAGGAAGAGAUGGAGAAAGAAGGAAACCAAUAUCGGGUUCAAAAUGCGAUAGAAGCAGUAGGACAUUCUGCAUUGACUUUGUUUUGUAUAGUAACAUAUCGUAAGGAGAUAGAUGUAACUUGAUUGAAUGUUUGACAGAUGAAAAACCUAGUUAGAGCUUAUUUUCAUGAGGCUAAAUGGUUCCAUGAAGGAAGCAUACCAACAAUGGAAGAGUAUAUGGGGAUAGCACUGGUAACCUCAGGUUACUACAUGCUUACAACCAUGUCUUUCAUUGGUAUGGGAGAAAUUGUAACAAAGGAGGCCUUUGAUUGGGUGAUUAGUGACCCUAAGAUUAUCACAGCAUCAGCUGUAAUUUGCAGGCUCACGGAUGACAUCAGUUCAUAUAAGGUAUUGUGAAUAUAGUAUUUCUUGUUAAGCUAUAAUUUGACCUUGACCUUAAAGCUCAAUCAAUUAAACAUAUUUAUUGUACUCAUUUGUGCGAUUCUUUUUCUUGGUAUCCAUGAUUAAUUAACAAAGGUAUUGUUUUUUUUUUUUUGGAAAAAAAAAAAGAGAAGUUCAAAUUUAUUUUUUUCCUCUCUCUCUCUCUCUCUCCCUCCACACGCUCAUUAAUUUUAAUGUUAAGAUAUCAGCCCAAUUGACUUGAUUUAUAUUAACUUAAAACUUUUGUUCUAAUAGGUACCUUCAUAUAACGGUAAAGCCUUGAUUUUUAUAGGAGGUCAUGGAGGUGAACUGUGAACCUUACUGAUGUGUACCCAAACCAUACCAUUUAUUUAUAAUAUUGUCAUCAUAAUAUUUAAAUAUGGGACAUUUUAUGCAUUCAUUAUGUAGAUAUCCCUUUGUAAUAUACAUUCGUUGAGUUGGAGGAUGGUAACAUCGAUAUCCCUUUUUGUGUAAUGCAUAUCCAACAAACACACAUUGCAAUGCAUGGGAAGUUAACUUGGUGCGUUGGUGUUUAUGUAGAUGCACAAAUGCCACGCAACCAAAAACACGAGGAGGUAGAUUUGGGACAGUUGGGACAACUACGGCAUUAGUAAGAGUUUGGAGAGGUGUUUGGAAGUUAAUUGAGCUGGAAGGUACCCGAUUGAUCAAGUAUGCGGCAUGACUCGUGCCCAAUUGGUGUCUCAGCUGAUUUGUGUUCAGCUGGUGCUCCUUGAUUGAGGAAGUGAUCAACAAAAUUUAUACCUAUAACACCAUACACUAGGGUAGCAAAUACAAAGCUACUAUAGUAUAGUGGCUCUAAGGAUCGUUCACUGGGAAUGAUGAACAAGCAAUCAAGGAUACCAAUUCCAAGUGAAUUGGUUUUGUUUCAUUUCACGGUUAGCUUAAGGAAUAAAACACAAACUUUGAUUGGUAAAGGUUUAGACUUAAACUAACUAACUUAACAGAAGUUUGGAAUAAUUUAGGAAGAAAAGCAUUCCUUGGAGAAUUAGGUUCACUGGGGUGGUUCCUCAUGCAAAAGACAUAGCUCCGGUCAGAUGGUUCAUUUCCUCGCAUUAGAGAUUCAACUUAGAGUCAAUUCUCUAACCGGUGAUGUACAGAGACUCCUUCAAUUAGAUUUCACUUUAAUUCUCUCACUGAUACAACUUGCAAUGGUUCAUGCCUCUCACGAGCACUUACCAUUCAAGGUGAUCUUUAACCUUGGAUUCCCCUUCACAAACUCGCAAGAGAUAACUAAUGGAUGUCUCCUAGGAGUCCAAAAGCUUACCAAGUGUUGGUAAUUCCAGAAAAUCCUACCUUGAAGUCACCUACCAAAGGCUCGCAAGGGGUAAACUAGUGCAUUUCCACGGUUAGAAAUCACUUGCCUUACCAAGUGUUGGCCCAGGUGACUCCAAAGUGUUUUAAGUUAACUAAAAACAUUGAAAUCACUAAAGGAUUUCACUUCCUCUUCAUUACUAGCUAAAACCACAAAGCUUUGCAUUCUUGCACUUGGAACCUUCCCCGGCAACCUUAGCUCCAAGGAAUUGGAGGUUUAGUUACUCAUUCUCUGGGGAAAACUCCUCAGAGAAUUCAUAACUUAGAAAUAAAAUGAAAAUAUAAAGUGAGAAGGUAAGGCAGUAGAAAGAAAAGACUUUUACUUGCUUACCAAAAAACGAUUACAGAAGGAACUCCUCUCUGAGAACAUGCUCUCGAGAGGUAUUUAUAUUAAAGCAAUAUAAAACUAAUUCUUACACUGAUAUUUGGUCUUUUUACUAACUUAAAAACUAAGGAAUCAUGUAAUUGGUGGUUUACAAGGAGUAUUUUGGAAUUUAGACAACAAAAAUCUAAUGGAAAAUAUCUCCCAAUGUCGGUAGCAAGCUUCGGGAGGCUUCAGGAGCCAUUUCGCAGGAGAAAAGUGGUGCCUGCGAAAUUUCGCAGACACCCAAGAGGGCUGCGAAAUUAUUUCGCAAGACCAAGCUAUCUUCACCAGGCUGCAAAGUUGGCUUCCAUCUUGAAGUUUCCAGCUCCCUUCUCGCGGCAUGGUUCGUGCAUCGUCAGAAGGAGAAACACCUUACUGUACAAAAGCGUUGCGAAAAUCUCGCAACAAAAGGCUGAUUCCGCAGCACUUUAGAGUGACUGGCUUGUAAUGGCUGCAACUUCUUCGUUUCAACUCCAAAUCGCGCACCGUUUGAAGCAUUGGAUUGUUGACUUCCUGAGCUUUGAAAUGGUAUAUAGCUUGCAUCAUUUGGACUUCAGAAAGUGCUCCAAAAGUGGCUGCUACGACUGUCAUCAAGAAUAGGCUUCAUGACUGAUCCUCUUUGCUUUUUCUCCUUGCAAUCCGGAUUCACUCUUGGCAAUUGAAUUCUAAGCUUUUCCCAUGAUUCCUCAUAGCUCUCCUCAUUCUUGACUUGCUUUGGUGAUCAAAAUACUAACAAAAACACCAAAACUUGCACAAAGUGAUCAAAAUUGCUUUAAAGGAUCCUUAACAUGCCAAUUGAGUUAAAAGGCCUAAACUACUACUCAAAAGUGUUAAAAAGGAUUAAUUAAAGGCUAUCAAAUAGCACUUUUUGAGUAGUAAUCACGGCAGAUGUGAUUGCUUCUCCCCAAUAAGAUAUCGAUGUUUUUGCUGCUAUCAAGUAAGCACGAACAACCUCUAACAAGUGCCGAUUUUUUCGUUCAGCACAACCCGAGCCUUACUCUUUCAAGGGAAUGUUCCUAAGUCCUAUUGAGGAGAAGUUGUUCUUACUGCCACAUACAUGAUAAAUAGAAUUCCGUCACGAGUUUUAGAAAACAAAAGCCUCAUAGAGAUACUUAAGAGUUUCUAUCCACACUUCAGAACCUCAAAUGGGCUCACUCCUAGGGUAUUUGGGUGCACAACAUUUGUUCAUGUCCACAACCAACAUAGAGACAGCUAGACCCCCGAGUCAUAAAAUUUGUCUUUCUUGGUUACUUCAUCCACUAAAAAGGAAACAAAUGUACAUCCCNNNNNNNNNNNNNNNNNNNNNNNNNNNNNNNNNNNNNNNNNNNNNNNNNNNNNNNNNNNNNNNNNNNNNNNNNNNNNNNNNNNNNNNNNNNNNNNNNNNNUGUUACAAUCCCAUAACAAAAAUUUUUUACAUCUUUGCAGAUGUCACCUUCACAGAAAAUAAACCUUUUUUCCCAAAGUCCUCUUUUUAGGGGGAGAUUUCAAUGAUAGAAGAUAGUCCUGAGUCCUUUGAACCUCUUGACCUUCCUCAUGUCUCAACCCAUGGUGAUGAAAUACCUGAGUCAUCCGAGUCAAUCACACCUGAGUCACCCAAUUUUGCCACUAAACCCGUGUCAUCCCAUGUUCCAAGCAGUGUCACUCGCAAUUUUCCAUAGUUUCCUAAGGUGUAUUCAAGGGAAAAGGCCAUUCCAGAACAAAAGUAUGUCCAAGAAUCCAACUCAGACCCUGGGAAUGAAAUCACGCUAAGAUCAGACCCACCUUUACAUACACAACCUGGUGAAACUUCUACUAACUCAACAGACAACCUAGACCUAGACCUUCCCAUUGCUAUCAGAAGAGGCACCAAAGAAUGCACUAAUUGACCACUCUAUCCACUAUCACACUAUGUGUCUCUUAAGCACCUAUCACUAGCCCACAAAAAUUUCAUUGUGAGUCUAAACACCACUAUCAUCCCUAACACUGUUUCUAAGGCAUUGACAAAAAGGGAAUGAAAUGAUGCUAUGAGAGAGGAGAUGAGUGCAUUAGAAAAGAAUAAAACAUGGGAGAUUGUUGAAAGACCGAAAGGGAAAAACAUUGUUGAUUGCAAGUGGAUUUUCACACUGAAAUAUAAGACUGAUGGAUCUCUUGAGAGACAUAAAGCAAGAUUGGUAGCCAAAUGGUACACUCAAACUUAUGGAGUAGAUUAUCAGGAGACUUUUGCUCCAGUUGCAAAAAUAAAUACUAUGAGAAUCCUAGUCAUUGGCUGCCCACUACAAUUGGAAACUCCUAUAAUAUGAUGUUAAGAAUGCAUUUCUUCAUGAUGAUUUAGAUGAAGAGAUUUACAUGAACAUCCCCCCGGGAUUUGAGGGAAACACUGGUAAUAAGGUGUGCAAACUGAAAAAGGCCCUUUAUGGGCUAAAACAAUCUCUUAGGGCUUGGUUUGAGAGAUUUGCAAAAGUCAUGAAAGAGUCUGGGUACAAACAAAGCCAAGGUGACCACACUCUCUUCAUUAAGCACUCGGUUGCAGGGGGAGUAACUGCUCUUCUAGUCUAUGUUGAUGACAUCAUAGUGACUGGAAAUGAUGAGAGAGAAAAACAUGAAGUGAAGCAGAGAUUAGCAAUAAAGUUUGAGAUAAAGGAACUAGGGAAACUAAAGUACUUCCUUGGUAUUGAGGUGGCAUAUUCCACACAAGGGAUCUUCAUUUCUCAACAAAAGUAUGUGACUGAUUUAUUGGCAGAAACAGGGAAGAUUGGGUGUAAACCAGUCUCUACCCCCAAUGGAUCCAAACCACAAGUUGGGAAAAGCUAAAGAAAAACUAGUGUUGGAUAAAAGAAUGUACCAGAGGCUGGUUGGUAGGCUCAUAUACCUUGUUCACACUCGGCCAGACAUCGCCUACUCGGUGAGCAUGAUCAGUCAAUUCAUGCAUGAUACAAGAGAACCUCAUCUUCAAGCUGCUUAUAGGGUGCUACAUUACUUGAAAGGCAACCCCGGGAAAGGAAUUUUGUUCAGGAAGAACAAUACUCUUGCUCUAGAGCAUACACUAACACUGACUAUGCAAGUUCCUUAGUGGAUCGAAGAUCAACUACAGGGUAUUGUACUUUUCUUGGAGGUAAUCUGGUAACAUGGAGAAGUAAAAAGUAGAAUUUGGUAGCAAGAUCGUCUGUAGAAUCAAAGUUUAGGGUCAUUGCUCAAGGGUUGUGUGAACUACUUUGGCUGAAGAUUAUUCUAGAUGAUUUGAGAAUCAAGUGGGAUGGUCCUAUGAAACUCUAUUGUGAUAAUAAGUCAACUAUCAAUAUUGCUCAUAACCCUAUACUACACGAUAGGACAAAACAUAAUAAGAUCGAUAGGCAUUUCAUCAAAGAAAAAUUGGAGAAAGGAGUAGUGUGUAUGUCCUAUGUUGCAUCAGAACAUCAAUUAGUUGAUAUCCUAACAAAAGGGCUGAACAGUUCAAUGUUUCACAGUCUUGUAUUCAAGCUGGGAAUGGAAAACAUCUAUUCCUCAGCUUGAGGAGGAGUGUUGAGCUAUAAAUAGAUAGUAGAAUUAUUUUCCUAUUAUGUUAGUUUCCUAUUUAUGUAAAUAGAUAGUUUUAUUAGUUUCCUAAUUCUGUAAAUAGAUAGUUUUAUUACUUUCCUAUUUCUAUAAAUAGAUAGUUUUAUGAUUUAGGAAUAAAUUAGUUUUCUAUUAUGUCUCUUGUUUCCUAUUUCUUCUCUUGUAAUCUCCUAUAUAAACUGUGUAUGGUCAAUAUAAGAAACAAAAAUUAUUAUUUUCCAUCCCAUAUUUCGUAUCAAGAUGCAUGCCAUAAAAAUGGUAAGAUGAACAACAACAAGCCAAGCAACAAAAAAAAAAAAAAUGGAGUUUUUCCACCUUGUCCUCAUUGCAAGAAGACAAAUCAUUCUCCACAAAAAUGUUGGUGGAGACCAGAUGUGAAAUGCAACAAGUGUGGUAAACAAGGACAUGUGGAAAGGAUUUGCAAAAAUCAACAACAAAAAGAAACUAGUGCAGCAGUUGACUAUUGUCAGGAGGAGCAAUUAUUUGCAGCAACGUGUUUUGCUAAUAAAAGCACCUCUGAAAGCUAGCUUGUGGAUAGUAGUUGUACAAACCACAUGACAAAUAAUCAAGAUCUCUUUAGAGAACUUGAUAGAACAGCUAUUUCCUAAGUCAGAAUUGGAAAUGGUGAGUAUAUUCCAAUGAAGGGCAAAUGAACGGUUGCUAUCGAAAGCCAAAUAGGUUUGAAACUCAUUUAUGAUGUUUUGUUUGUGCCUGACGUUGACCAAAACUUACUCAGUGUUGGACAGCUCGUUGAGAAAUGAUUUAAAGUUUAUUUUGAAGAUAGGAAUUGCAUUAUCAAGGAAGCUGAAGGCAAAGAGGUGUUUAACAUAAAAAUGAAGGGCAAGAGUUUUGCCUUGAAUUUACUAGAAGAUGAGCAUGCUGUUGUUUUACAAUAAGAUAGAACAACAAUGCUUUGGCAUAGAAGGUUUGGGCACUUUCAUCAUGAUGUUGUGCUCUACAUGAAGAAAAAUCAAAUAGCUGAAAGACUUCCCGACUUAGAAAAAGAUCUUCCUAUAACUGCUACUUGUUAAUAUGGGAAGCAAACUAAACUUUCCUUUCCAAAGAAAACAUCCUAGAGAGCAACCCAAAAAUUGCAACUAGUGCAUACUGAUAUUGGUGGACCUCAAAAGACGUCAUCCUUGAAAGAGAAUGUAGGCAUUGUUCACCAACUCACUGCACCAUAUAAUCCACAACAAAAUAGAGUCGUGGAGAGGAAAAAUAGAACGAUUUUGGAGAUGACAAAAUGCCUUCUACAUGAAAAAGAUCUACCUAAAGUUUUUUGGGCUGAAGCUACAAGUACAGUAGUAUAUUUGCUGAACAAAUUGCCAACAAAAACGUUAAAGAAGCAGACCCCUUUCGAAGUUUGGUUUGAGUUUCUACGUGGAAGACUUGGAGUUUGCAUCUACUAAGUCAAGAAGGAGUGUUGAAUUUUGACCUAGUAUCUGCUAGAAUUUGAAUUUUGAAGUUAAAUAUUGCAGCUGGAGUCUUGCACAAAAUCUAUAACAUCCAAAUAUUUUUCUUGUUGUUAUUUGGUCAAGAUUUGGUUUCUAUUUUAUAGGAAGUAGUUGUUCAUCAUCUAGUAGCUUGAUUUUCUGCUAUUCUAAUGUCAUUUCAGUUACAAGCUCAUGUAUAAAUUCAACACUCUUCAUCAAUAAAAUGUGUGUUUCAGCAACCCAAAAUAUAUAUUCUGCAUAAGUGUUUAAAUCUUAGACCAACACAUCCUCGUCACUAGUAGUUGUGCCUCUCAGGUUACCUUUUUUAUCUCUCAGCUCAGCUCCACCUUUGCUCUUCGUGACCUUGGUUCCCUUUACUAUUUCUUUGGCAUUGGGGUUACUCAUAGUACUGAUUCUCUUCAUCUCUGCCAACAAAAAUAUGUGCAUGACUUGCUCACUCGUACUGCCAUAACUGAUGCUAAACUUGUUCUUACAUUGGGUUCCUUGGCCAAACCUCUCUCUCUCAUUGAUGGUGAUCUACUUAUAUCGCAACAUUGUUGGCGCAUUACAGUAUGUUACUGUUACAUGUCCAAACCUUUCUUUUGCCGUUAACAAGGUAUGCCAGUUUAUGGCUUCCCAACGACUACCCACUAACUAGAUGUCAAGAAUAUAAAAAGUAGUUAAAAAUAAAAUAAAAAUAUAGAUUUAAAAUAAAAAAUAAAAUAAAUAUGAAUAAUUAAAAAUUUUAAAAAUGAUAAAUAUUUUUUUUUAAAAAAAGUUUUCAAAAAAAUCUCAGAUAUUUUCAGAUAUAUCGGCAAUGUAUCCAAUAUAUCCGAUAUAUCGUCGAUAUAUCUCCAAUAUUUUGAUAGACUUCCUCUAUUGCUUCGCGCGUCGCUUCACACUCGAUUUUUUCGCUGAUUUAUCGAUUUCAAAUUAACCGAAAUGUCAACAUAUUUCGGGGAUUUUUUUGAUAUUCCUCUCGUUCGAUAAUGUUGCUUAAUAUCCUUUCAGGGUUGUCCGAUAUCCGAUAUAUUGGUGAAAUAUCAUCGAUAAAAACCGAUUUUUCAAUCCAUGCUUAAUAGUGGGUUUCCCUUUUGUUUGGCCUCUUGUAGACCCCCAUUUUGGGGCUCGGUUUUUUUUAUCUCUAUUUUCUUUGUAGGUGUCACCAUCCCAGAGAGCCAUGUGUCGCCUCUUUGGUGGUUGAUAGGGAAUCAACAUUGCUUUUCGGGGACUUAUGGUAGGUUGACACGUGGAAGAAUAUUCUGGAGAGCUGAUUUCCAUUAUGGGGGAGCAUAUGAGAGAGGAUAUUCUACAGGCAUUUUGAUUCUCACAUGUGCAUGAUCACCUUGAGUAUUCAUUGAUUUUGGCAUCAAUUGUCACAUAAACUUCAUUUUAUUAGUAGAGACCCGACUUUAAGGACUUAGAGGGGUGCUACGGUCUUUACCGUACCUUCCCGAUAAAUAAUUUGACCCCCGAACUCGAUCCGGUUUUUCACGGACCACCUUUUCCAAAUAAGGAGUCACACUUAGGAUUUUCUUUCUUAUUUUAUUUACCCUUUAAAAAUAAAACAAAAUUAAGUGGCGACUCCAAGUCAUUUUUUUUAAUCAGUAAAAUCAUUUUCAAAAUAAAAAUCGAGCUCACUAUCGAGUGAAAAACGCAUUAGCCGAAAUACGGGGUCCACACCUCUAUUUAUUUAAAAAAAAAAAAAAAAAUCCUUUCCCAUUCUAUGGCCUUGAGUGAGCAUUAUGUAUUUCAACUAUUUUGACAUGUUCAAAAUAAAUUACUAAGAAUUUAAAGGGAAUUUGUUCGACAAGUACUUUUUUUUUAACAUAUUUAUUUAUACAUUAUUUAGUUUAGGUUGCAUUAUUCUAUGUAAAUAAUUUAUUGGGUAUGGGAAUUACUUUUAUAAAUGGCUGAGUAGAUUCAAUUUUAGAUAUUUAUUUAUUGAGCAUGAAAAUUAUUUAUUAAAACAUGGUUUAACGACCAUGCGAUGGAAUCAACCUGUUAAAAAAAAUAAACUAAUACUAUAUUAUUUUAACUUAAAUUAUUUCUUGAUUGUAGCAAUGUUGAAAAAACAAAUAUCAAUAAAAGACUAACCUUAACGGGAAAAUAGUAAUUAACAUAAUUUUAUAUUGACUUGUAAAAUUGGGUCAACAUAUAAAUAUAUUAAUUGUAACAAGAAGACCUACAUUGAUAAUGAAACGUCAAUAUUAGUCUAUAUUGCCAACUUUGAAAUAUUAAUAUAUGUAUAUAGCAGAUGUUUUCAUGAUUAGGAAUUAGAGAAAAUUUUGUAGAAGAUUUUUCCAAAUUUGAAAAUAACUAUGGAAGAAAUUCAACUUAAACACGUUUCUUUGUGGAAGAGUUGCAUUGGCAAGGAAAGCUACACACAUUCAUUGAACAGUCUUAGGCCCAUUUUUCCAAGCAGCCUAGCAAGUUGUCUGAAUUAAACCCCUAUGGAUUGAAAUUGAUUGGAUCCAUUACCCGUCAUGCAUUCAAUCCCAAAGCGUUGAUUAUUCAAACUCUAUGAAAUAUAGGUUUCGCUGAGUAGAGGAGUUCAAAUACAUUAAAUCGAUAUUUUAAGUAAAUAUAAUGUGGAAAAUGAAACCUACUAGAUCGAUAAUGACCACAUUACAAACCGAUCUCCAGGCUAGUUAGGGCAAUCCCCUCAAAAUUCAAAAAAUAAUUAAGUAAAUAAAAUGUAAUUAUUAAUAUUUUUAAAAAGUAGUUAUGGACUCGAAAUGGGUAUUUUUUAUAUAUGAAGUUUAAUCAAGUAGUAGUUCUUAUCCUAGCCACACCUAAUAUUAACAACUUGUUAGGAUAUUCUGAUUGAAUUUAGCCAAAGAGACUCUAGAAGGCCAAUAUUUUUCUUAUCAUCACUCUCUUCCGAGCACAACUCUUCCACACCAUGGGCCCCAAAACUAAACCAAAUUCCACAUACUUUUUAACUACAUACAGCCACUGCAUUCCAGGCUGUCUCUCAUACUCACCAAUUCAUCACUGAAGGUAUAGGACUGUUCUAUCAUUGUUCCAAGUAAUUGGCAUCUCUACUCAAGUCUCAGCAUGUUCCCUAGCCCAAAUUUCUAAACCCAAAAAUCACCCUGUGGCAAGCUUGAAGGUAAUUCAAUGAAAAUAUGCUUAAAGCUCAACGGCUAAUUUACUUAUUUGGAAGUCAUUUUUCUUUAUGUGUUGGAUGAUAAAAUUUGUUGGUCUAGGUUACACGUUCCUGCAAAGAAGAGCAGACGGAGGAUCUGAAAAAUGAAUUGAAACUGGAAUUAAUACAUAGUGUUGAUUAUAUAUUGAUGGAAAUUAGUUUAAAGUUGGAUAUAUUAAUUACUUAGGGAUGUUUGGUAAAACUUAAUACUUAUUAUUUAAUUAUUUGAGUUGACUUUAAAUUAAAUUAUACUUAAAUUACUGACUUAAAACUUAUUAUUUUAAGUAUUAAGAUAUAAAAUUAACUUAAAGUUUAUUUAAAAUCAUUAAGUUGACAUAUUUAUUCUUAUAAAUUAUAAUUAGAAUAGAAAAGGUUGAGUAACAAUAGAACUUAUAGAAUUGUAAAAGAGAUCAUGAAGGUAAUUAAGACAAAUAAAGAUAAAAAGAUAAAAUAAAAAUAUAGAAUUAAAAAUAAAUUAAUUAUUUUUACUUAUUAUUUAAAGUUAUUUUUUACUUUAAAUCAUAUUAUUAAGUUAUUUUAUUAAAUAUACUUAAUUUACUUAAUGACUUAAAUUAAGUUAUUAAAUCAUUUUAAGUUAUUAAAUUGAUUAAUCAAAUUCCUACUUAUUGAAUACAAAUAUAGAAGGAAAUUAGGAAAGCAAAGUAGAUGGGUUAUUAGGUGAAAGCUUAUCAAAUCCGCCUAUCAACAUAUCACACUUUUACCAAAAACCCACCUCAUGCCAAGCCUAUAAGUUGUCAAGUCCUUAUGAUCCAACAACUUUCUUAUGGUUCCCACACGGGUUUCUAUUGUUAUCAAAACAAAAAGUUAUAAUAAAAUAUAUAUAUAUAUAUAUAUAUAUAUAUAUAUAUAUAUAUAUAUAUAUAUAUAUAUAUAUUAUAAUUCAUAGAUAAUCUGACAAUUAAAUAAAAAGAUAAACUCAUUUGUGGAAUAUAAUUAAUAAAAAAAAAAAGAGAAGUGUUAAGAGUUUUAAAUUAUUAUUAUUUUAUUAACAAUUUUAUUAUAUUUUCAUUUUAACUUAAGAAUCUAUUGAAAUAGUGACUUACUCUCUAUUAAAGAUUCAAAGUUAUUUUUCAAUCAAUCGAACUAUCAGGUAAGUAUGAAAAUGAUCGAGUAAAGACAAGUUAAUUGUCACAAAUAAGUGUGAAAAGGAUCGAGUAAAGACAAAGGGUUGAAUUGAAAAUUUUAAUUUGCAUAAAAUGUUUUAAUUAAUUUGAAAAGAAUUUUAAAUUGAGAAUUUGAAAAAAAAAAUUCCAAAUAAUAAAAAUAAUUUGGAAAUGAAUUUUAAAUUAAGGAUUGAAAAUUUAAAAUUUGUAAAAGGAAAAUUUUUAUAAAUCUUUUCUAAUUUUAAAUAUGAAAUAUUUCCAAAUCUUUUUAAAACUCUUAAGUUUCUAAAUUGUUUUCCAUAAAAUAUAAUCUUUAAAUUAAUUGCAACUAUAUAAAGUUUUCUCCUAUAUAUAUCCUACCUAAAUGUAUAUUUGAUGAGGGUCUGACUUGUUUUUCCAUUCUUAAUCUCUAAAGAAAGAAUUCAUUACAAGUACCUACAUCCCUUCAUAAGCUUAGAGGAGUUAGAGCAUUUGGAGGUACUACAUUGUGGAUGUGGAUUAAGGUGUAGGUGCUAGCUAGUUAAUCAUUAAGGUAAAACGGUUAUUAAAUAUGUGUACUUUAAUUUCAAAUAGUGGAUUAUAAAGGGAGAAUUAUGUUUUGGGGGUAGAUGGGCCCCCAAAUUAACAAAAGGUCCAUGUAACUCUUUAAAUUGAGCCCAAGACCCAAUAAAAGUAUGAAAAUUGAGUUGAAGGAUAUCAUCCUUCAGUAUUUCCAAAAAUGUCAUUUGUUGAUUUUGAGAAAAAAAAAUUAAUAUUUUUGAAAAAUACUUUUAUAUAAUUUAAUAUUUUUUAUUUAAUUUAAUAUUUUUAAAAAAAUACUUUUAUGUAAUUUAAUAUUUUUUUAAAUACUUUUAUUUAAUUAAAUAUUUUUUAAAAAUAAAUUUAUUUAAUUUAAUAUUUUAAAAAAAUAUUUAAUUUAAUAUUUUUUAAAAUACUUUAAUUUAAUUUAAUAUUUUUGAAAAAAAAUUAUUUAAUUUAAUAUUUUUGAAAACUACUUUUAUUUAAUUUAGUAUUUUUGAAAAAAAAUUAUUGAAAAAAAAAUAUUUAACUUAAUUUUAUAAAAUAUUUUAUAUGUGUUCUUAAAGGGUAUACUUGUCCGUUACUAUUUCAUAUCCUUCAACUCAAUUUGAAGAGUUAUAUGGACCUUUUGUUAAUUUGGGGACCCAUCUACCCCCAAAACAUAAUUCUCCCGAUUAUAAAUUAGAGGUUUUAAAUCUUGUGAUUUUUUAUGCCCACAAUUAGCAUUGAUAUUUUCAAAUUAAAAUUUCUUGUGUCCCUUAUUUGAUUAUUUUUAUUAUUUUGAUCUUUAAUUAUUUUGAUUAUCCCUAUUAUCUCUUAGUUUAAAUUGAGUUAAUAUUAUUUAACUCUUAUAUUAUUAUCUUUAAAAAUCACCCCACUCUCAAUGUCAUCCUCUUGGACAAAAGCGUAUAUAUAUAUAUAUAUAUAUAUAUAUAUAUAUAUAUAUAUAUAUAUAUAUAUAUAUAUAUAUAUAUAUAUAUAUAAUUCACAAAUCUUGAAAAUAUAUUUAAUAUUAAAAUAUCAUUCCAUGUAAUUUGGAAGUAUUCAAAGAUGUAAAAGAUAUGAUAAUAUAUGUAUAAUUAUUUUUUAUUUAAAAAUCUUAAUAAUUACAUUUGCAACUUUAUUUUGUCCUCAUUAUUUAAUUAAUAUACAAAAAGAUAUGGGAAUAGAAUUAUCAAAAGAAUUGUCAUAAUAAAGCUUUAUAUUCUUAAUAAUAAGUUAAAUUAAGGUGGCAUUUAUUUAUUUUUACUUAAAUCUAAAUGAAAAUUAAUUUAACUUAAUUGUAAAUAUAACUUAAUAGAAUUAAUUAUUAUAUUUUUUUGUUUUUUAUAAUUUUAUUUUUGUUAAGCGUUAAAUAUUAAUUGGGUGAGAGUCCUACUAAGGUUGUGCUUUGACUGAUUCAAAAAAUUAUUUUUAGUAAUGAGCAAAAAGUUAAAUAUUUUACUUUUAUCUAUUCAUUAAAAAAAUCUUAAAAAUUAAAUUUUUUUUUUGUUUUAUUCAAAAUAGUGAAUGGAGUUUGAGUCGAAUUUUAAUUAUUUGGUAAAAUAAUAAAAUUAGUUUUUUAUUUAAAAGAAAAAAUAAAGGUAAGUCAAAGAUAUAAAGAUAAUUAUUUUAUUUUAAAUAAGAAAGAUUCAAAAAAAAAAAAAAAGAUAAAUGAGCUACAAAUUUUAGGAUUAAUUGAUUAAAAUGGAUGAAAAGAUUUCAAAUUUGUAAAACUAAUCUCUUCCAUUUUUUAACUUGAAAGUAACACUUGUUUGACAUAAAUACCCUUUAACAUUUUCAUUAUUUACAUAUGUAUUUUAAAAGAAAAUGUUAUUUUUGUAAGAAAAAAGUGAGAGUAUUCUUAUGUAUUUUUUGGAUGAAAAAAAAUGGUUUGCAAUUUGAUAUUUCUUUCGUCCUUUUUAAUCGGUUAUCCCCAAAUUUUUUUUACGGAAAAUACAAAUUCUAAAAAUAUUUGGUUUUAUUGCUAUUUUUAAAUUUAAAUAUAUUUUUACCUUAAUUAUAUUUUUAUUUCAAAAUAAUUGAUGAUGAUUUAGUUGAAUUCUAACAUUUAAUGGAGUUUUAGUUGAAUUCUAACACUAUAAUAUAAAGUGACCCGAUAAAAUUAUAAAAUCAAUUUUAUUUAAAAAUAAAUAAAGUUGAGUUAAAAAUAGUAUUAAAUGAAUUAAAAUUUAAAAAUAAAAAUGAAUAGUUUUACCUUAAAUAAAAAAUAUUAAAAGAAAAAAUAAUUAGAUAGAUAGGCUUUAAAUUUUAUUAAGAGAAACAUAAUUUUUUUUAAAAAAAUUGUUUUUAUUUAUUUUCAAUUUUAAAAUUUUAUUUCUAUUUUUUAUUUAAAUGUAUUGUCAAAUUUUAUCUAAAAAUAGUUAAUAGAGUUUUGGUUGAAUUUUAAGACUAUAAGAUAAGCGAAUAGUUGAAAUUAUAAAAUGAAAUUUUUUAUUAAAAUGAAAAGAAAGUUAAGUUAAAGAUACUAUAAAUUAUGAUUAGAAGAAUGAAAAUCAAUAUAAAAAAAAAGUGGUUUUAUCUUAAAUUAGAAAUACUAAAAAAAAAAAAAAGGAAUAAUGUAUUGAAAAAUAUAACUGUGGUAGAAGAGCAAUGACUAUGCUCUUUUGAAUACCCUAGUUUAUGUUCAUUUUUUAAAAUUUAAAAAGAAUAAACAUCUUUUAGAUAUUAACAAAAAUAAAUUUAAAUAGAUUCUUAACAUAAAACCUAAAAAACAUUUGUUGUUGGCCAAAAAAUCCAACUAUGAGCCCUUUUAUGACAAGUGAAACUUCCAAAUCUUCUGAAGAGUUUUUUAUCUUAGUAUUAAAAUCUAAAAGCAGAAUAUUUAUACUAUGAGUUGCCUUUUUAACAACUAAUUUAUUUUAUUUAAUGUAAUAAUAUACAUUAAUAUAAAUUAUAGUUGAGUUUUUUUAUAAAAAAAAAUUGGCAUAUGCUUGUAUUACUUUGUUAGCUUGGAGGACGAAAAGCCUAUACAAAUAAUGAGUUGAAUGAAAUAAGAAGCGAGUAAAUUACAUGUAUCAAUGAAAUUGUAAUUUUUAGAUUACAGAAAUGAGUACAUGCAUUAAUAUAUAUGAAAAUAUAUAGUGAUUAUGAGAUUUGAGAAUCUAUUUAUUUUGAAUGAUGGGAAUUAAACUUCGUAAAAUUUCAAUGUAGAUCGGAAGUAAAUUUUUUUGUUACUUGAAAUAUUUACAACUUCUUUCCAGUAGUGAUGUUAUUUUGUAAUAGAACUUCCCUGGACAAUCGUUUUCAUGACUGGGAAUUGAAAUAGAGAAAAUUUUGUAGAAGAUUUUUUCAAAUUUGGAAAAAUCGCAUGUAGAAGAGUUGAAUUGGCAAGGAAAUCUACACUCAUUGAACAGUCUAUGCCCACUUUUCCAAUCAGCCUAGCACGUUUUUUUGAAUUGAAUAACCACGGAUUGAUAUUGAUUGGAUCCAUUAUCAGUCAUUCAAUCCUAAAACAUUCAUUUGUCAAACUCCAUGGAAUAUAGGUUUGGCCGAGUGGACAUUUCAAUACUAAACUUGUCCAAAUACAUUAAAUUGAUAUUUUUAGUAAAUAUGAUGCGCAAAAUGAAACCCACUAGGUCGAUAAUGACCUAGUGGUUAGGGCAAUCCCUCAAAAUUCAUAAAAAAAGAAGAAGCAAAUAGAAUCAAAUAGUAGUUCUUAUGUUAUUUUUUCAAAAAAUAGUUAUCGAGUCUGGAAAUGGGUAUUUUUCAUUUACGAAGCUUAAUCCUAUGGGAUUUAAUUUUCAUCGACUAGGAGAAUAAUUUGAUCCUAGCCACACCUAAUGUUAACGACUUGUUUAGGUAUUCUGAGUGAAGAGGACAACGGUUCCACACCGUGGGCCCCAAAACUAAACCAAAUCCCUCAUACUAUUCAACUACAUACUACCACUGCAUGCCAAGCCGUCUCUCUCAUACUUACCAAUUCUUUCUCUAGUCCAGAUUCUUAAACCCCAACAUUUGGGGUGACCAAUUUAUUACCUACACUCCCGAAGAAAGUUAAUUCAAUGAAAUUAUGUUUAUAUACUUAUUUGGAAGUUAUUUUUCUUAGGAUGAUAAAAUUUGCUGGUCUAGGUUACAAGUGCCUACAAAGAGGAGCAGAUUGAGGAUCUGAAAAAUGAAUUGAAAAUGGAAUUAUACAUUUUCAUGGACAAGGGAAAGGAACAAGGGAAAGUUGUGUUUUCAUGGACCAAUAUGGUAAUAAUAUUGUUUUUGGAACCCAGGUUUGUGAAAGUAGAAAAACAUCUGUUAAUGUGAAACUUAUAUCAGAUUCAUGCACUUUGAGCCGGUUAUAUUUUUUCUACAUAAAAAAUAAAAAUAAAUAAAAUACAAAAUAAAUCUAUUAGAAGGCGUCUGUCUAUUCUCUGCACCCUCACCGCCAAAGAGUAGAUGAGUUGGCGAGUGUGUUCGCUCCGGAGUCUUUACGCGCCGAAGAUGCCUCUUCUCCGAUCACCUCUGUUCUUCUUUGUUUGAAGCCGCCGACUGUUCGGUACCACGUGCUCCGUUUCGGGCACUAAGAAGAAGAACAAGGAGAAGGUGAUAGUGAUAUCCGGUCCCACCGGCGUCGGAAAGAGUAGGCUUGCAUUGGAGCUGGCGAAGCGCGUCAAUGGAGAAAUUAUCAGUGCGGACUCGGUCCAGGUAAGGCACCGAGUUCUUUUACCGUUUUCCUCUUGGAUUGCCCUCUGUUUGGUUGCCGAGAAAGAAAGGGAAGGACAAUGGGAAGGGAAUUAUGUCUUGUGUUGUUGAUUUGGGUGUUUAGGUUUUGUUUUUUGUUUUCUUGUUUGUUUUUUUUUUUUUCUCUUUCAUUUGUUUGGUUGCUGAGAAAAUAGAGGAUUCAGUCUUCUUUAGAAUGUUCUAUGCUUCUGUUUUUCAAUAGGAAGCUAAUGUUUAUGAAAAUUGUGACGAGGGGCUCAUGGAGAUAUGAUAAUGUUGGAGAAAAGUAGAUAAUCUAUAUAGAAAGUUCAAAACUUCAAGCAAAGUUACUCAAGGGACUAAACCUUUAGCAACAAUUUCUCCCAAGUAUUUUGUUGGUUAGUUACUCAAAAAGGUAAUUUUUUUAAGGGGGAAGAAAAUGACAAUUUGCAUUUUAUUUUUUGGUGAUAGGCAAAUGAGAAAAUAUUUAAAAGCUCCUAAAAGGAGCUGCAACAACUUACAGAUGAUGUAUACAGUAGUCACAUAGUUUAGUCAAGAAGAAGAUAAACAAAAGAAAAAUCCUCUCCUUACUCAAAACUUAUCCAAUCUACAAAGUCUAUCAUAGAUAUUGAGUGGUCCACCUUGUACAUUCUAACCCAAUUUACAAAGUAUAUAUAAAGUCGGAUUUGAUUGCUUGGUUUGACUGCUUAGCUUCAUUCAAAGCUCUCCCUUUUUUUUUUCUUCCAAAGAGUAGAAAAAAAGCAUAAGGGUAUAGUCCUCCAGCAUUUUUUUCAUUGCUUCCCCAUGGAAGAGCCAUGCAAACCCAAAAGGAUCCUUCUACUGAAAAACACAUCCCCAAAACCACUCCAAAGAGAAAAGGAUCAACUACCAAACAUAAUUGCUUUGGCACAGUAGAGAAGCAAGUAAUCUGUCAUUUCUUCCUCGCAUUUGCACAAAUAAACUUAUUAAGCAGAGUCCAUACCAUCUUUUUGGUGCCCAUGUGCUCCACACUACACCUGUUGGGAAAGCUCUCUAUCUCCCUUGGCCAAGGAAGAUUAAAGGGAUCUAAUUGAAAAAUUGCUGCUCUUGGACUCAUUUCAUCUCAAUUCGCCCUCCUUUUCCUUUUUAAUUGACAAUGAUUGCAAAUUCAAUUGGAAAAUCUCCACUUCAUCAAGCUCUCAAUCAUUAAACUGUCUUGAAAAGUGGUGGCUCCAUCCACCCUCUUUCCCAACUUGGUCCCACUCCUCCGCUACCCAUCCAUCUCUGUUGGAUGCAAUAGAGAAUAAGUUAGAGAAGACUUGCUUUUUAUUCCCUUCCACUCAUUUUUUAUGGUUUUCCACACCUCCACUCCAUACCCUUCUCUCAUCCUUCUUGAAGACCACCUGCUUCCUCUUCUCCGAACUUUCCUAUUAUGAUUUGUUUUGAUAAGGACUCCUUGUUAGUAACAAAUCUUCAAUCCUACUUACCAAGCAAGGCCUUGUUAAAGGUUGAAAGAUUGUGAAUACCAAGAUCCCCUUCCUUCCUUGCCAAGUAGACUGUAGUCUAAUCAAUAAAAUGAGGUCUUUUCUCUAGUGCACCUCCUCCUCAUAAAAUGUUUCUUUGGAUCUUCCUGAGUCUUGAAUUGACCUUUCUUGAAAUGACAAAAAGGAUAUAUAAAUUGGAAGGCUUAAUAAUGUGCUUUUAUCAAGGUAAGUCUCCCUUCGAAAUGUAUGGGUGGUAUGGAGUUAUCAUUAAGGUAUGCCUAGCAAUUUUUUUUUUUAAACCAUGUACAGACUCCAGCUACUGCUGCAACUAGUGCUCAAUGAACGCAACAGUGUCAGAGAUACAAUUCUGGCCGCAUGCCAUUUGUGACUUCAUAGUUCAUGAUAAGUUUCUUCCUAUCUGCUGCUACAUACCAAAAUGACCAAGGGUUGAUUCUAGUUUGUCCAAAAUUUAUUAAUUCAUAUCAUGUUGUGUGCUGAUGUGAUUUGUUCCAAUUGUAAAACCAUUAUUUAUGUUCUAUAUGUGAUGUAUCUGAUGAAGUAUUCCACUUCCCAUUGUAACAGUGGCAGUUGGGUUAUGCUGAAUAUGAGGACUUUAUGUACAAGAAUGACCAACAUGUAAGGGAAAGGAAGAGUACCUGGUGAUGCUGCUGCUGGAGCAUAUGGGACGCAGUAACAACAGUGUAAUAGGGCUGUUCAUUUUUCCUUCAAUAUUGUAAAGGAAGGGAGUAGGAACAUGGACAACACUCAGUAUUUGUUCUUUUAUUAUAGUUAAGGGUGCUGGUUAGUGUUGUAUUGGCGAUUGAUUGGACAACAACUAUGAUUGUAAGAUGUGAUCCAAAGUGAUAGGUUUAUUAUGGGGUAUGGUACUAAUUUCAUAAGAGAACAACAAACAUAGACUGUAACUUAUUUGUUUGUACACUGAUGCAGUUUCAGUUUAUCCUUCUAUACUCACAUUAGUAAAUUGUUUGACGGCUUUCCUUUCAUAUUUAGUUAUUGUGUAAGCUUUUACAUAGCAUCUUCUAUUAAUGUUAUUGGUAAGUUGGGAGGUUUGUUUGGUUUGAUUUACUACAUUAGAAACAGUUUGCUGGUAUACCAAUAGUUUGCAAUGGCGCCCUUCAAAUCCUGAUCUACCGGGGUUCAGGACUAUUGCUCAUCCUCAUUGGCAAGGGCUACUCAGGGUUCCUAAAUGAUUGUGCAUUUUGCUAAUUUUGUGUUUCAAACCAUGUACAGGUUGUUAUAGAAAAAAUAAAUGUGGUAGAAAACCAAUAAAUAUUUGCUUCGCAUGAUCACCUUCCAUAUCCAACCAAAACCAUCAUAACUUGACAUAACCAGAAAAAUGAGAAAACAACAGUAUGAUUAAAUAAAUACUGAGGGUGAAAAAUUGUCGGGAGAGCAAAAUUUAUCGAAUAUGGUUUAAGAUAGUGUCAUGCUGCAAUAAGUAAUGAAAUUAACUAAUAAAAAUCUGAAGCCACAGAAUGGCUACAUUUCUCGCAGGUGCGUUAAGGUAAUACUUGAGGUACAUUAAGGUAGUACCUGAAGACCAUUAAGGUAGUACCUUAUGUGCAUUAACGCAGUACCUGACAUUUCUUAUGAUUACAUAAGGUAUAGUUGGAGUAACCUAUAAGAACAUAACAAUGUCAUGCUGUAAUAGGUAAUGAAAUUAACUAAUAAAAAUCUGAAGCCACAGAAUGGCUACAUUUCUCGCAGGUGCGUUAAGGUAGUACCUGAGGUACAUUAAGGUAGUACUUGAAGACCAUUAAGGUAGUACCUUAUGUGCAUUAAGGUAGUACCUGAAAUUUCUUAUGAUUACAUCAGGUCGAUGGAGUCACCUAUGACAACAUAACAACGUCAUGCUACAAUAGGUAAUGAAAUGAACUAAUAAAAAUCUGAAGUCACAUAAUAGCUACAUUUCUCGCAGGUGCGUUAAGGUAGUACUUGAGGUACAUUAAGGUAGUACUUGAAGACCAUUACGGUAGUACCUUAAGUGCAUUAAGGUAGUACCUGAAAUUUCUUAUGAUUACAUAAGCUACCGAUGGAGUCGCCUAUGACAACAUAACAACGUCAUGCUACAAUAGGUAAUGAAAUGAACUAAUUGUGUUUGAAGUCAUAGAAGAGCUACAUUUCUCGCAGGUGCAUUAAGGUAGUACCAGAUGUACAUUAAUGUAGUACCUCAGGACCAUUAAGGUAGUACCUGAGGUGCAUUAAGGUAGUACAUGAAAUUUGUUAUGAUUACAUACGCCACCGAUGGAGUAACCUAUGAGAACAUAACAAUGUCAUGCUGCAAUGUGUAAUGAAAUGAACUAAUUGUGUCUUAAGUCACACAACAACAACAUUUCUCAAAUAUGCACUAAGAUAGUACCUGAUGUACAUUAAUAUAGUACCUCAAGACCAUUAAGGUGGUACAUGUUUUGCAUUAAGGUAGUACCUGAUGCGAUGAAACAAUUAUGUCUUCGUUGACAAAAGAUGUACACUACAAAUUCCAACAAACAUUACAAAUUCACAAACACUAACAACAAUUUCUACUAACCAACACAUAAUUUAUGCAUUUUAAUUUUUAUUAUUAUUAUAAUUUUUAUUUUUAUUCUCAAUAUAUAUGAUUGAAUUAUCAAGUUUUUCGUCAAUAUAUGAUAUUGCCUAAUUAUAUUCAUCAAUCUGAAUAAAUACAUAAGUUUUCCACCCAAUUUCUAAAUAUGUCCACAACAUUUUUCCAUUUCAUGAGUCUCCAAUACACAAAAAUAUUGAGAUCGAACAACCGCUCAUGCUAUCCAAAAUCGACAUUUGCCUCAACCUAUGCCCUCACCAAUGGAGGAAAAAUUGCAAAUACAACAACCACUCGAAAAUCACUCUUCUGCUCCAUUUUAAACAAAAAAAUUAUUAAAAAAACAACCCUAAAUACAAAUUAAUUACCUUCACAUUUGAUGUGAAGGUUACAGAAAAAUGUGAUCCAAUGAGAAGAACACGAGAUUUCUUCUUCAUGAACCCAAUAUAUCAGAGUUGUCGUUUCCAUUCUGAUUCGCUAUCCUAAACCAGAUUUUCAGUCAACACGUACCCGCCUCAAGCCGUCUUCUUAACUCGACCUUGUUUCAAUGAAGUGCUCCAUUUGGUUCUUCACAAUUACCACAGGCAACAAAAAUUUUGAUUCAGGUUUUCAAGUAAAGGUUUAUACUUUCAAAUGUGUGAAAUUUUGCAAAUUUUCACACCCUCUUCGAUCCGGAGGGGUGACGAAAUUGGGAUGAUCGGGUCCAAAUGGUUAGGACUUUGAGAGGAGAAGGGGCUGAAGAUAGAAAACUAGAUUGGAGUUUGGGAUUAAAGGCUUCAGAAAUUAAAUGAGAGAAAUUGUUGAAAUAUACAAGAUUCUCUGCUUUGCCUCGGUGACGGAGUGAAGACAGAUGAGAGGAAUGGCUGACAAAAUGAGAGAGAGGGAAGAAAGAACGGCUGAACGCUAGGGUUUUCUUGUGGGAACCUCUGCUUCGCCUCCAUGACAGAGUGUAGAAAGAUGAGAGGAAUGGGUACCAAAUGAGACAGAGGGAGGAACAACGGUCAGUCGCCUAGGGUGUUUUUUGGUGAGAUGGGCUGCUGACGUGGAUACCUGGAGGGGCAAGCUCGGUAGAAAAAACACAGCCGACUCAGAGUGCAUGAAUCUGAUAUAAGUUUCCACAUUAACAUAUGUUUUUCAUCUUUCACAAACCUGGGUUCCAAAAACAAUAUUAUUACCAUAUUGGCCCAUGAAAACACAACUUUCCCUUUUUUAUAUUAGUAUUAAAAUCUAAAAGCAAAAUAUAUAUAUAUAUAUAUAUAUAUAUAUAUAUAUCAUGAGUUACCUUUUUAAUAACUUAUUUAUUUUAUUUAAUGUAAUAAUAUACAUUAAUAUAAAUUAUAGUUGACUUGAGUUUUUUUUUUCUUUUUCUUUUUUAAUUUGGCAUAUGCGUGUAUUACUUUGUUAGCUUAGAGGACGAAAAACCUAUACAAAUAAUUAGUUGAAUGAAAUAAGAAGAAUGAAAUUGUAAUUUUUAGAUUACAAAAAUGAGUACAUACAUUAAUAUAUAUGAAAAUAUAUAGUGAUUAUGACAUUUGAGAACCUAUUUAUUGGAUCCAUUAUCAGUCAUUCAAUCCUAAGGCAUUCAUUUGUCGAACUCCAUGAAAUAUAGGUUUGGCCGAGUGGACAUUUCAAUACUAAACUUGUCCAAAUACAUUAAAUUGAUAUUUUUAGUAAAUGUGAUGCGCAAAAUGAAACCCACUAGGUCGAUAAUUGCCACAUUACAAACUGAUCUGCAGGCUAGUUAGGGCAAUCCCUCAAAAUUCAAAAAAAAAAAAAAAAAAAAAAAAAGAAAUAAAAAAGUGAAGCAAAUGUUAUUUUUUCAAAAAAUAAUUAUCGAGUCUGGAAAUGGUUAUUUUUCAUUUACGAAGUUUAAUCCUAUGGAAUUUAAUUUUCAUCGACUAGGAGAAUUAUUUGAUCGUAGCCACACCUAAUCUUAACGACUGUUCCACACUGUGGGCCCCAAAACUAAACCAAAUCCCUCCUGCUAUUCAACUACAUACAACCACUGCAUGCCAAGCUGUGUCUCUCAUACUUACCAAUUCUUUCUCUAGUCCAAAUUCCUAAACCCCAACAUUUGGGAUGACCAAUUUAUUACCUACACUCCUGAAGACAAGGUAAUUCAAUGAAAAUAUUUGGAAGUUAUUUUUCUUAAUUUGUUGGAUGAUAAAAUUUGUUGGUCUAGGUUACAAGUGCCUACAAAGAGGAGCAGAUUGAGAUCUGAAAAAUGAAUUGAAAAUGGAAUUAUACAUAGUGUUGACUAUAAGAAUUAGGUAUGCACAAAAUGACAAGGGACUCAAAAUUGGAUACAUUAAAUAAAAGGAAAAAGAAAGAAAAAACCCCAAUUUAUACCUUUUCCUUUCACGUCAUCAAUCCCUUUCCCUUUCACGUCAUCAAUCCCUUUCAUACAUUACUUUCAACAUUAUUGUUUUACAUUAUUUUCAACAAUAUACAAUUUCUGAAGGCCAUUGCUACCCUAUUAAUGCAAUGGAGCUUCCCAAGCUUUUGCACUCAUACUUACCAAGUCAGCUUUCAAAGUAGUGUUCUACUACCGUUCCAAAAAAUUAUCAUGGCGAGUCAAGUCUUAUCAAGCCCUCUAGGCCAAUUUUCUAAACUGGAAAAUCGUCCAGUGGCCAAUUAUCACCCUACCAUUUGGGGUGACCAGUUCAUAUCCUACACUCCUGAAGACGAGGUAAUUGAAUUAAAAUAUGUGUUAAAUCUUAUAUGGCUUAUAAAUGCCUAUAUAUUCGAAAGUUGCUUUUCUUAAUGUGUUGUUUAGUAAAAUUACUUGGUUGCCACAGGCAACACGUGCCUGCAAAGAGAAGCAGGUUGAAGAUCUGAAAGAGGAAAUUUGAAGGAAGCUAAUGAAUGCAGCUGGUAACACUUUCCAACAGCUGAAAUUUAUCGAUGCUGUGCAACGUCUUGGGGUGGCAUACCACUUUGAAAGAGAGAUAGAAGAAGUGUUACAACAUAUUUAUGAUAGCUAUCCUGAUGGUGAUGAUAUGGAAGGUGAUAUCUAUAAUGUUGCUCUUCAAUUUCGGUAACUAAGGCAAGCUGGGUUCAAUAUUUCAUGUGGUAAGAGCCCAAAGAAUGAUCAUGUGUGAGCUAAAAUCCAUCCUUCUCAUAAUUCCAAUCUUAUGUUUAAAUUAUGGUAUUUAUGUAGGCAUGUUCAAUGAGUUCAAGGAUGAAAAGGGUAACUUCAAGAAAGCUUUGGUCAGCGACGUAAGAGGCAUGCUGGGCUUGUAUGAGGCUGUGCAUCUCAGAGUUAAUGGAGAAGACAUACUGGAUGAAGCACUUGCUUUCACCACCACCCAUCUAAGGUCCAUGGUAGAACAUUUAGAAUAUCCUCUUGCGGAAGAAGUUGCUCAUGCACUAAAGCAGCCCAUUAGAAAAGGUUUAGAGAGGCUAGAGGCAAGGUGGUUUAUGUCUAUCUACUAGGAUGCACAACUCUACUAAAGCUGGCCAAGCUAGAUUUCAAUCUAGUGCAGUCCCUACACAAGGAGGAGCUAAGCAAUAUUGCUAGGUUUGCUUUCAAAUCACUAGCAGAUAUACCUAGUCACCUUCUCAUUUUACCAUGAGCUAAUUGUUUUAAUGAAUUUUAGGUGGUGGAAAGAAUUAGACUUUGCUACAAAGCUACCUUUUGCGCGAGAUAGAUUCGUGGAAGGCUACUUUUGGAUAUUUGGGGUGUACCAGGGUUCAAAGUAUUAGCCGAGUCCCAUACGACUCGACCGAGUCGUAUCUGCCUCGACACUUACCACGAUGAGUCCGAUACCAGGUACAAUCCUAUGCACUAACUCAACAUUAAAUCAGUAGGACUCAAUUGGCUUGGCUCAAAUUCCGAGUUAACUUGGUUGAAUCGGUUAAAUUACAAAAUUUUUUCUGAUUCAAAUCAGUGAUUUUUUUUCCCUUUCAAAUUAGAACAUAAAGAUCAUAAAAUUUUCCAAAAAAAUCAAAGGAAGAAGAAACAUUGAAAUUUAAUCGAGCCGUGACUUCUUUUUAAGUCUAGAAGAGGAGAGAUCAGGCAGAUGAGGGCUCACUUACCUCACCACAAUCGACGGAGCAUGAGAGUUUUGGGACCGAUGGAUCACUCCUCAGCGUCGAUUUCAGUGAACUAAGCAUUGGAUACCUUUUCCGGUGACGACGACCAUUCGGGGAGAGCUUUUAUCGCAAGUUUGCAAACUUGUAGUCAAAACAAUAUUUGGGAAAGUAAAUUAAAACUAGAAUGUUAUGAUUUAUAUGCACUAUGAGAUUUAAUGAGAAUAACUUGGAUGGCAUUUUAAUAUUUUUAAUUUAUUAUAUAAUCUAAAUUUUUUGUCUUAUAACAUUCCAAAUUAAAGUAGAAAAUCAAUAAUUAUUUAAAAAAUAUAUUUUUAAAAGAAUCAUAAUUAUAAAAACAACAUUUUAAUAAUAGGUUUAUAUUAGGGAAUCAAUAAUUAUUUUUGUAUGUUAUAAAGAUUACAUUUAUACUUGAAUUAUUUUUAAUUUUUUAUAUCAUAUAAAUUUUUUAUCUUAUAAUAUUGUAAAUUUUAAUUAUAUUAGGAAAUCAAUGAAUGAUUUUAUAACUAUUUAAAUGAUGUUAGUUAUGAGAUAAUUUUUUUUUAUAUUAUUUUUUACCUUAUUUACUUACUUGUACCUAUUUUUUUAAAAUAAUUUACAUAAUAUUUUUAAAAUUUUUAAAAUUUUCUAAUUAUCAUAUUUUGCGUAUCUUCCGAUACCAAACCGAUACACUGAGAUCGAUGUGCCUCAAGAUCGUCCGAGUCAAUGAUCGAUACUGCGACUUUGAAUCAUGAGGUGUACUUUGAGCCUCAAUAUGUCCGGGCUAGAUGAAUUCUAACCAAAACAAUUUCCAUGACAUCCAUUAUAGAUGAUAUAUAUGACACAUAUGGCACAUUUGAAAAACUCGAGCUCUUCACCGAGGCCAUUGAGAGGUUUGAUUGAUGCAAAUUACCAACCUUCAUCAUUUAUAUUGUAUGUGAUACUUAAAUCAAGCCUGGUUUUAUUUUCAGGUGGGAUAUUAACAGCAUAGAUCACCUUCCAGAAUACAUGAAACACUGCUAUGUGGCACUCUUAGAUGUGUACAAGAGAUGGAGAAAAAAGGAAACCAAUAUCGGGUUCAAAAUGCGAUAGAAGCAGUAGGACAUUCUGCAUUGACUUUGUUUUGUAUAGUAACAUAUCGUAAGGAUAUGGAUGUAACUUGAUUGAAUGUUUGACAGAUGAAAAACCUAGUUAGAGCUUAUUUUCAUGAGGCUAAUUGGUUCCAUGAAGGAAGCAUACCAACAAUGGAAGAGUAUAUGAGGAUAGCACUGGUAACCUCAGGUUACUACAUGCUUACAACCAUGUCUUUCAUUGGUAUGGGAGAAAUUGUAACAAAGGAGGCCUUUGAUUGGGUGAUCAGUGACCCUAAGAUUAUCACAGCAUCAGCUGUAAUUUGUAGGCUCAUGGAUGACAUCAGUUCACAUAAGGUAUUGUGAAUAUAGUAUUUCUUGUUAAGCUAUAAUUUGACCUUGACCUUAAAGCUCAAUCAAUUAAACAUAUUUACUGUACUCUUCUUCUAAACUAUAUAUGCAGUUUGAGCAAAAGAGAGGGCAUGUUGCCUCAGGCAUUGAAUGUUACAUGAAGCAAUAUGGUGCCUCUGAGGAAGAGGCAUACGAUGAGUUUCAGAAGCAAGUUGUGGAUGCAUGGAGGGAUAUUAACGAGGAGUUCCUACGACCUACAGUUGUUCCGAUGCCUCUCCUAAUGCGUGUGCUUAAUCUUUCUCGAGUGAUGGAUGUGAUCUACACGGGGGGAGAUGGGUACACUCAUGUUGGAAAAGUGAUGAAGAACAAUGUUGCAUCACUGCUCAUUCACCCUAUUGUAUGACCAAAUGGAUCAAGUUGAUCACCAUCUACAUAUUCUGCCUUACCUAGGGAGUAGGAUGAAUAAAAAUUAUUGUAAUAGUAUGGGAGAGACCUAUAAUGCUGUGACCCUAAGAUUAUCACAGCAUCAGCUGUAAUUUGUAGGCUCAUGGAUGACAUCAGUUCAUAUAAGGUAUUGUGAACAUAGUAUUUCUUGUUAAGCUAUAAUUUGACCUUGACCUUAAAGCUCAAUCAAUUAAACAUAUUUACUGCACUCAUUUGUGCGAUUCUUUUUCUUGGUAUCCAUGAUUAAUUAAUUAAUUGUCAUAAUUCUCUUAAUUCGUUUUGUAGAGAUCAUAUGUAUACGGACUUCAAAGGGUGCUACGGCUCACCAUUGUACAUUCCCAAGUAACCUGAUAAUCGGAUCUAGAUUCGAUUUUUGUAAACAUGUAUUUUUCAAAUAAGAAGUCACACAUGAUUUUCUUUUUAUUUUGUUUUUCCUUAAAAAAAAACUAAAAUAAAUAGCGACUAACUUUUCAAAAAUCAAUUUUUCACAAUGAAAAAGCGAGUCUCGCCAUUUUAAGUGGGGACACACAUGAAAAAUGCGGGUCCAUAAUGAGUUUAAUUAUUUCUAAAUUCAAAGGAUUAUAAAAAUUUAUUUAUAUAAAAAAAGGAUAUUCCAUUUUGAUGAUUCCAAUCUAUUUUAAGUACCAAAGAAAGUUUUGAUUUUUUUUCUUAUUUACAAAAAAAUGCUUCAAAGUUCUUAAUUUUCACAAAUUUUAUUUACCAACAUUCCAAUUUGAUUUUCAUACAGAAAGAAACUAUUUUUAUAAUUUUUAUUAAAAUAUGAUUUUUUUUUCAAUUUUUUUAAAAAAGUAUCUAAAUCUAAUCUUAUGUCCAUGAGAAUACUUUUACAAAUUCUUUAAGAAACGGAUUUUAAAAAUUUAUUUUUAAAAAAAAUUACAAUUUUAUUUAGAAAAUAAUAAAUAUUCGGAUCCAAUUUUAAUUACAUAAAAAAAUUAUUUUUUUAGUUUUUAUUGAAAAUAAGAUUUUUACAAUUUUAUUUACAUAAGUAUGAAAAUCCAAUUCCAUAUUAUUUACUAAAAUGCAUUUUUUUUUUUACUAUUUUUAAUAAGACAUGAUUUUUACAAUUUUUUUUUAAAGUUUACGAUUUUUAUUAAAAAAAAAAAAGUCUUUGCAAUUUUUUUUAACAAAUUUUUUAAUGUUUUAUUAAAACAAAAUGAUUUCUAGAUUUUAUUUUUUUUUAAAAUGAUUUUCAAAAGUUUAAAAAAAAAAAAAAACCUUUACAGUUUUAUUUAAAAAAAAAAAAACGAUUUUCCAACUGUAUUUACAAUUUAUUUAAAAACGGAUUUUACAGUUUAAAAAAAAAUACAUUUUAUUGUUUUAUUUCAAUCUUACUGUUGUUUUUAUUUUUUUGGAAAAAAAAAAAAAAAAAGAGAAGCUCAAAUUUAUUUUUCUCCUCUCUCUCUCUCUCCCUCCACACGCUCAUUAACUUUAAUGUCAAGGUAUCAGCCCAAUUGACUUGAUUUAUAUUAACUUAAAACUUUUGUUCUAAUAGGUACCUUCAUAUAACGGCAAAGCCUUUGAUUUAUAUAGGAAGUCAUGGAGGUGAACUGUGAACCUUAGUGAUGCGUACCCAAACCCUACCAUUUAUUUGUAAUAUAGUCAUCAUAAUAUUUAAAUUAAACAUUUAAAAUAUGUUUUUUGUUCUCUUAGAAAUACGAAAAGUGUAUCUUAUUCCCUUAAUAAUUCUCAACAUUCAACCAGCCGCCAAACAGUGAUUAAGACUUUUUCACGUGAAGAUAAAACUUAUGAUUGAUCUUAUUUUUAUAAAAACACUAAAAAACGAUUUUUUUUAUCUUUAACUUAAAAAUGGUUUUUAAAAAUAAUUUUUAGAAAACAUAAAUUAAACAGACUCUUAGGGUUUCAUUUGAGAAAUAAAUGAAGAAGAUUACAAAAAAAUUGAAAAUAAAUAAAGAAGAUGAUAUUUUAAUUUUUAUUUAAUAUCUUAAUUUUUAUUAUCUAAAAUUAUUUAAUUAUUCUAAUUAAUGAUAUUUUGAGUUUAAUUAUGAUUAAAAUAUAUAAAAGUCUUAAAUUGAGAUAAGUUGCUUAAAUGAUUGAUUGUGGAUUGAAAUUUUACUCACAAAAUAUGCAUGUGGCUUUCGCUUGAAAAGGCAUAUGUUGGGAAGCAGUUAUGCUUGGUUACGAGUUCUAUAAGCUUACGAUUUUAGAUUUGCAUGAUUAUCUUAAUUUGGAUUAGACAGCUACGGAGAAGGGGCCUUUAUUCAAACUGUUUGUCUUAUUCUCAACAAAGGAAGCAUUUUAUUUAAAACAGAACACUCUAAGAAAAACUAACAGCCAAAUUAAAACAAUUAGGCCAUGUUUGGUACGAAGCCAAAGCAAUUAGGUCAUGUUUAGCAUGAAGCCAAAUCACGACCAUGUUUGGUAUAUAGAAAUGAAGAGUAAGAAUAGAUAUGUUAUUUAUUUUCUCAUUCAUUUUCAUAUUUGGAUGAUUUAAGUAUAGUAAAAAUAAAAUAAAAAAUAAUUUCAAAGAAAUGAAACAAGUUAUUCUUAAAAACACUUUUUAAAAGUUAAAAAUCAAAAACUUUUUUAGAUAAGUCCGUUUUAAAAAUAAUUUUUUAUUUUGAUUUUGUAAAAAAGAAAUUAUAAAUUCAAUUUAUAUAAUAUAAAAUUAAUUUAAUUCAAGUCUUAUAAAAAAUAAAAAUAACUUUGUAAUUAUAAAUACAUUUUUAAAUUAAAUAUUUUUUAAUAAAAUAUGAAUAGGAUUAUCAUAAUAUAAUCAUAAAUUAUAUUUUUAAUAAAUAUUAUAAAAAAUAUGGAUAUUAACCUCUUAUAAAAGCAUAAUUGAUUUAUUUUGUUAAAAAUAAAUAAUAAUGAUUUAAAAUUAAUAAUUACUAAUACUAUUUUUUAAAAUUAUUAUACUUACUACUUUGUUUUAAAAAAUUAUUUCUCAAGAACAAUAAUCGAUAGUGGUAUUAAUUUUUAAAAACAAUUUUAUUUUUAAAUGAAAAGCCUAAACAGGUUUUUAUUAUUUAGCAAAAAAAAAAAAAAAAAACACUGUCAAACAUUUUUUUAAAAUGAAAAUAAAAAAAUUAUUUAAAAUGAUGUAUUGUGUAAGAGAUUUUUUUUAAAAUAAAAAUAAAAGAUUAAAGAUACUAUAAAUUAUGAUUAAAAUAAUGAAAAUUAAUAAAAUGAUAUUGGCUUUUUUUUUUAAAUACAUUCGAAAUAUUAAUCUAAAAAAAGAAGAUAAAUGAAUAAUAUAUUGAAAAAUAUAACUUUGUCUUUUUUCUUACAAUAAUUUUCAUAGCUUUAAAAAUAGUGAUCUUUAAUUUUCUUGCUAUUAUUUAUUAUUAGCUGAGUUGUAUAAAUUACAUUGUUAUAGUUUCCUUUAAAACCAAAAUAAAAAUCAAUCCAUGUGGUUCAAUGACAAUAUUGGCUGAAAAAAAAAAAUCACUUAAUUUUCAUCUACUAGAUCCUAGCCGCCACCUAAUAUUUAUGACUUGUUUGGAUAUUUUGAGUGAAUUUAACCAAAGAGACACUAGAAGGCCAAUAGUUUUCUUGCCAUCAGUCUCUUCCAUGCACUACCCUUUCAAAUCAUGGGCCCCAAAACCAAACCAAAUUCCACAUACUUUUCAACUACAUACAACCAAUGAAUGCCAAUGCUGCCCUAUAAAUAUGGAGCUUGCCAAGCUAUUUCUCUCAUACUUACUGUAACGCCGAAGUAUUUUUUUAAGGGUAAUUUAGGAAAUUACUAAUAAUAAUUCAAUUAGUUAAUUAAUUAAUUUAAUAAAGUGGAAGAUGGGUAAAAGUGUAAUUUUAUGAAUAAAUACCCUAGGUAUAAAUUAGAAAUUCUAUUUCUUCCUGUUCUUUUCUGAAUAGAAUUCCUGUUCGCAGAAUUUCAGAGAACGUAGAUUGAAGUUAGAUUUCAGGGUUGAAGAACAGAUCUCUAUAGGUAAGAUUCAGUUUAAUAUUUUAGAUUCAUUGAUUAAUUUCAAACACAUUAGAUAUCUUUUGGAAAACCCAAAUCUAGAUUAGGGUUAGUUUAUUUUAUUUUUUUUAAUUCGUUUUCAUAUCAAUAGUAAAAAAAUAAAAAAAAUAAAAAAAUAAAAAUAAAAAUUUAAGAUUUUGAUUUAUUGUUGGUAUUUAGGAGAUCUUAAGUUUUAUUAGAUGAAAAACAAAAAAAAGGUUCCUUGGAAGGUUUCGAUUUUAUAUUAGGGUUAAUUUUAUUAAAAAAAGAAAAAGGGCGUGCGCCAAAUGAAAGGAAGCCUUAUAUAUAUAUAUAAUGAAUCAUGAUGAUGGCAAUGGAAAAAAAAAAACUUGCUUUUUGGUUUGGUGUACCCGAGACAACUAGGUAAUGGUUGAGUGACUUUUGAAUUGGUUAAUUAAAAUAAUAAUAUUUAGUUUAAGAUUCAUAAUUAAGAUAAUAGUAAUAAUAGUCUUCUUUUUUUUGUAAUAAAUAGAAUGAGAGAUUUAGCAAAAUAUAUAUAUAUAUAUAUAUAUAUAUAUAUAGAAUUUUAUAAUGAAAUAAAAUUGUAAUUUAAUUAAAUUAGUAAUGUGUUAUUAGAAACAAAUUGAGAAUUUAUUAAUUUUAUUUAAAUAAGGAAUAGAUUAGUUAAAUUAUAGAUAAAUAGUAAUAAUUAUUUAUCUUAUGUUAUAUUAGGAGAAGAGUAGAUUUUUCCAGAAUUAUUUUUCUCCCAAGCUUUCAAGGUCUUUGCAUAAUUUGAGGUAAGGGAAGUUAAUGCAAUAUUUAUAAAAUUUAAAUUAUUUUAUAUGUUAUUUUGAAUUGUGGAAAAGAAAAUGAUAUUUUGUUACCAUGCAUGGAUCAAAUUGUUUUGCACUAAAUAUUAUGUUGGAAUAUUUUGUUUUAUUUAUGACACAAAAUAUGGAGAUAUUAUGUUGUGUAAAUUUGAAUACUUGAACAAAAACAUCACUCUGGUUUAUUUGACCCUUGUCAACGAGAUAUAAUAGUUGACUAUUCGGCCCUGUCAACAGGAUAUAAUAGUUGACCUUUACAUUUCAUGGUAAGAAUGUAAUUGAUUUGGACCCCAGCCUCUAGGGGUUUGGUUAGAGGUUACUAGUAGUAGUAGUGUUUGGUUCCGUCCACCAGGAACAACUUGAGGCUAGCCACCCAUUUGAAAAGUCCCACCUAACUGGGCAUUUGAUAUUUGAUAACCAGAGUAAUGAAAAUUGAAUGGAUUUGAUUGAAUCUUAUGUGAAAGUGUUUGAAUUUGAUAUGAAAAUGGUUGGUUGAAUUUUGAAUAUAUUGGUAUUUUUGAAACUCUGAUAUUUGAUGAGAAAAAAAAAUGAUAUCUCCUAUUUGAAAUGAAAAUAUUUUUCCAUGAACUGCAUUAAUAUUCCUUACUGGGCUGUGAGCUCAUUCCCAAUUGUUGAAAACUUUUCAGGUACUCUUAGUUCGGGUGAGGAGUGAUGGCUAGGAUGAGGAAUGGUCAUCAUUAGGAUUUGACUUAGGAUUUUAUGUUGGAUUUUGUUUAACUGUUAGUUAUGUUCAUUUGGACCCUUUGGUAUUUGGAAGUUAUUUGGAUAUUGAUCCUUCAAAUUUUAUGUUAGAUCAAAGUUGAGUUUUGGAGAUUUUGAAAUUUGUUCUAGUACUUGAAUUGUUUAAGUUUGCAAAUAUUUGGAUAAUGGAUUUUGGAUAGUGGAUGUUUUAGUUUUGAAAUUGAAUUUUGAGGAUUUUAGAUUUUGUUCCGCUACUCUGAAUAGGUAUUUGGUAAUUAGUAACUUCCGAUUACAAGAUAAUUGUUUGGGUCGGGUUACACUGUAAGCCUUCGGGUUUGAAGUGUGAAAUGACCGUCACGCUCUUGGAGUGGGUCUUGGGGCGUGACAGAGUGGUAUCAGAGCACUAGGUUUUGAUCUUGAUGGGAAUUUGAAUUGGUUUAGAUUGGGGAUAGAUGAGUGACGCAUUUGUUUAAGUUUUAGUUUCAUUUAGUAUAAAUUCCAAUUCUUUCUUUAUUUGUAAAUUUUCUAAUUGGUUCUUUAGUGACUAAAUUAGUUAUGCCUUAUUAUUUUAGGACAUCAUGCCACCAAGAAGAGCAACUUCUUCACAAAAUAGUCAGAUUAAUGAUGAUGUACCUCCAGUUGAGGGUUUGCCUCCCGUGAGUGCAAAAGGGAUCUAUAGGUAUCUUGGGACACUAGCUGGUUUAGUUGAACGCCAAGCUCGAGCUGUUGGGACUAAUGUUCAGGGACAGACUUCAUCUUCUAGGGGUAACUCUUUUGAUGACUUCAAGAAAUUGGGUCCUCCUUACUUUUCUGGUGCUACAGAUCCCACAGAGGCAGAGGCUUGGAUCCUUAAGGUGGAGAAAUUCUUUGGUGUCAUAGAUUGCUCUGAGGAGCAAAAAGCCUCUUAUGCAGCUUUUAUGUUAGAUAAAGAGGCAGAUCAUUGGUGGCGUAUGACUAGGAGACUUUUGGAGGAUCAGGGACCCAUAACAUGGAGACAAUUUAAGGAGGCUUUCUACAAGAAGUAUUUCCCUGACAGUGUUAGGCGGCAGAAGGUGGGAGAGUUUAUUCAUUUGGAACGGGGAGAUAUGACUGUGGCUCAAUAUGAGGCCAAAUUUACAGAGUUAUCAUGUUUUUCCCCACAGUUGAUUGCUACAGAGGAGGAAAAGGCAUUAAAGUUUCAGGAUGGAUUGAAGCCUUAUUUGAAGAACAAGAUAUCUAUUCUGAAGCUUGGUGUCUAUUCAGAGGUUGUUGACAGAGCCCUUAUAGCAGAGAAAGAUAAUGAGGAGCUUCAUCAGUAUAGGGAACAACAAAGGAAGUGAAAUAGGAGUGAUAGUGCUCAUGGUAAUCAAGCACAGCGAAGGUCUACAUCAGGAAGAAAUCAGAAUAAAGGGAAUGCAACGCAUUAUUUAGAUGGGGCUUGUCCUACUUGUGGUAAGAAGCAUGGGGGUAGGCCAUGCUAUAGAGAGACUGGAGCUUGCUUUGGUUGUGGGAAGCAAGGACAUUUGAUCAGAGAUUGUCUAGAGAAUAGGAAGUUCAUCAAUGGGAAGCCUAAAGAGGAAAAUAAGGAGGAUAAACAGAAACCCAAAGCCCAAGAACGGGUGUUUUCUUUGACUCAUCGAGAUGCUCAGGCCACUUCUGAUGUGGUAACAGGUACUCUCCGAAUCCACACCUUAUUUGCUAGAGUCUUGAUUGAUCCUGGAUCAACACACUCUUUUGUUUCAGUAUCUUUUGCCAGUUUGUUGGGUUUGCCUGUUGCUAGCAUGGACUUUGAUUUGAUUGUUACUACUCUUGUGGGAGAUUCUGUUGUGGUCAGUAGAAUGCUUAGAAAUUGUAUUGUGAUGAUUGGUUAUAGGGAAAUGCCAGUUGACUUAGUACUCCUUGAUCUUUAGGAUUUUGAUGUGAUUUUGGGGAUGGAUUGGUUAGCUUCCUACCAUGCCUCUGUUGACUAUUUUGAGAAAAUGGUGACGUUUAGUAUUCCUGGUCAGCCUAAGUUUAGCUUUGAAGGGAAGCAUGUGGACAGACCACUGCGUAUGAUCUCAGCCUUGCGAGCUAGUAGCUUGCUCAAGAAGGGUUGCCAAGGAUUUUUGGCUAGUGUGAUGAGUAAUGAAAGUGAUUUGAAGUUGGAAAACAUACCCAUAGUAAGGGAGUAUGUUGAUGUCUUUCCAGAGGAUUUGCCUGGCUUGCCACCAGAGAGAGAGGUGGAGUUUACCAUCGAUUUGGUACCAGGAACAGGUCCUAUGUCUAAGGCCCCAUACAAGAUAGCACCUGUGGAGCUUAAGGAGUUGAAAGUUCAGCUUCAAGAGUUAUUAGACAAGGGUUUUAUCAGGCCUAGUGUUUCACCUUGGGGAGCUCCUGUUCUAUUUGUAAAAAAGAAGGAUGGCUCAAGGAGACUUUGCAUUGACUAUAGGGAGUUGAAUAAGGUGACAGUGAAGAACAAGUAUCCCCUUCCUCGGAUUGAUGAUUUGUUUGAUCAGCUAUAAGGUGCUUGUGUGUUCUCUAAGAUAGAUCUUCAAUCGGGUUAUCACCAGUUGAGGGUUAGAGGGGAAGAUGUACCCAAGACUGCUUUUCGAACUAGGUAUGGGCACUAUGAGUUUCUUGUUAUGCCUUUUGGUUUGACUAAUGCACCUGCUACUUUUAUGGACUUGAUGAAUAGGGUAUUCAAACCCUAUUUAGAUCAGUUUGUGGUGGUUUUUGUAGAUGACAUCUUGGUAUACUCAAGAAGUAGAGAGGAGCAUGAGGGCCAUUUGAGUAUUGUAUUACAGACCCUCAGAGAUAAGCAGUUGUAUGCUAAACUGAAGAAGUGUGAGUUUUGGUUAGACCGAAUUNNNNNNNNNNNNNNNNNNNNNNNNNNNNNNNNNNNNNNNNNNNNNNNNNNNNNNNNNNNNNNNNNNNNNNNNNNNNNNNNNNNNNNNNNNNNNNNNNNNNAACGAAGAAGUUGCAGCCAUUACAAGCCAGUCACUCUAAAGUGUUGCGGAAUCAGCCUUUUGUUGCGAGAAUUUCGCAGCACUUUUGUACAGUAAGGUGUUUCUCCUUCUGACGAUGCACGAACCAUGCCGCGAGAAGGGAGCUGGAAACUUCAAGAUGGAAGCCAACUUUGCAGCCUAGUGAAGAUAGCUCGGUCUUGCAAGAUAAUUUCGCAGCCCUCUUGGGUGUCUGCGAAAUUUCGCAGGCCCCACUUUUCACCUGCGAAAUGGCUCCUGAAGCCUCCCGAAGCUUGCUACCGACAUUGGGAGAUAUUUUCCAUUAGAUUUUUGUUGUCUAAAUCCCAAAAUACUCCUUGUAAACCACCAAUUACAUGAUUCCUUAGUUUUUAGGUUAGUAAAAAGACCAAAUAUCUUUGUAAGAAUUAGUUUUAUAUUAGUUUGAUAUAAAUACCUCUCGGGAGCCUGUUCUCGGGGAGGAGUUCCUUCUGUAAACAUUUGGUAAGGAAGUAAAGGUCUUUUCUUUCUACUGCCUUACCUUCUCACUUUGUAUUUUCAUUAUAUUUCUAAGUUAUGAAUUCUCUGAGGAGUUUUCCCCAGAGAAUGAGUAACUAAACCUCCAAUUCCUUGGAGCUAAGGUUGCCGGGGAAGGUUCCAAGUGCAAAAAUGCAAAGCUCUGUGGUUUUAGCUAGUAAUGAAGAGGAAGUGAAAUCCUUUAGUGAUUUCAAUGUUUUUAGUUAACUUAAAACACCUUGGAGUCACCUGGGCCAACACUUGGUAAGGCAAGUGAUUUCCAACCGUGGAAAUGCACUAGUUUACCCCUUGCGAGCCUCUGGUAGGUGACUUCAAGGUAGGAUUUUCCGGAAUUACCAACACUUGGUAAGCUUUUGGACUCCUAGGAGACAUCCAUUAGUUAUCUCUUGCGAGUUUGUGAAGGGAAGUCCAAGGUUAAAGAUCACCUUGAAUGGUAAGUGCUCGUGAGAGGCAUGAACCAUUGCAAGGUGCAUCAGUGAGAGAAUUAAAGUGAAAUCUAAUUGAAGGAGUCUCUGUACAUCACCGGUUAGAGACUUGACUCUAAGUUGAAUCUCUAAUGCGAGGAAAUGAACCAUCUGACCAGAGCUAUGUCUUUUGCAUGAGGAACCACCCCAGUGAACCUAAAUCUCCNNNNNNNNNNNNNNNNNNNNNNNNNNNNNNNNNNNNNNNNNNNNNNNNNNNNNNNNNNNNNNNNNNNNNNNNNNNNNNNNNNNNNNNNNNNNNNNNNNNNAAAUCAAAGUUUGUGUUUUAUUUCUUAAACUAACCGUGAAAUGAAACAAAACCAAUUCACUUGGAAUUGGUAUCCUUGAUUGCUUGCAAAUCAUUCCUAGUGAACGAUCCUUAGAGCCACUAUACUAUAGUAGCUUUGUAUUUGCUACCCUAGUGUAUGGUGUUAUAGGUAUAAAUUUUGUUGAUCACUUCCUCAAUCAAGGAGCACCAGCUGAACACAAAUCAGCUGAGACACCAAUUGGGCAUGAGUCAGAGAUCUUGAGAUUUGGGACUAGACUUUGUGUCCCAAAUGAUGAAGACUUAAGAAGGGAGCUUUUAGAGGAAGCUCAUUGUUCCAAGUUUGCAAUCCACCCAAGAGGGACAAAGAUGUACAAGGAUUUGAGGCAAAACUAUUGGUGGUCAGGUAUGAAGCAUGAUAUUGCACAAUUUGUGGCUCAGUGUUUAGUGUGUCAACAGGUGAAGGCUGAGCAUCAGCGACCAGCAGGGUCUUUGCAGCCACUUGCUAUUCCUGAGUGGAAGUGGGAGCAUAUUACCAUGGAUUUUGUGAUAGGAUUGCCAAGAACCUUAGGGAGUAAUAAUGCUAUUUGAGUGGUUGUUGAUCGGUUGACAAAGUCUGCUCACUUUUUGCCUAUGAAAGUCAACUUUUCUUUAGAUCGUUUAGCUUUUCUUUAUGUGAAGGAGAUUGUGAGAAUGCAUGGAGUACUAGUUUCUAUAGUGUCUGAUAGAGAUCCUCGUUUCACUUCUAGAUUCUGGCAUAGUCUAUAAAAAGCUUUGGGCACUAAGUUGAGUUUUAGUACUGCUUUCCAUCCUCAAACUGAUGGUCAAUCAGAAAGGGUAAUUCAGGUUUUAGAAGACUUGUUGAGAGCUUGUAUUUUGGACUUGCAAGGUAAUUGGGAUGAUCAUUUACCUUUAGUAGAGUUUGCCUAUAACAAUAGUUUUCAAGCUAGCAUUGGGAUGUUACCUUUUGAGGCAUUGUAUGGUAGGAAAUGUCGAUCUCCUAUCUGUUGGAAUGAUGUUGGAGAAAGGAAACUUUUGGGGCCUGAACUUGUGCAGUUGAUUGUUGAAAAAGUUGCUUUGAUUAAAGAAAGAUUAAAAGCAGCUCAAAGUAGACAUAAGAGUUAUGCUAAUCAUCGUAGGCGAGAUUUGGAGUUUGAGGUGGGUGAUAUGUGUUCUUGAAAGUUUCACCUAUGAAGUCUGUGAUGAGAUUUGGGAGAAAAGAAAAACUUAGUCCUCGUUUUGUGGGUUCGUUUGAAAUAUUAGAAAGAGUAGGCACUUUGGCAUAUAAAGUAGCCUUGCCCCCAAGUCUAUCUAAGAUUCAUAAUGUUUUCCAUGUUUCAACCUUGAGGAAGUAUAUUUAUAAUCCAUCUCAUGUUGUGGAGUUGGAGCCUAUUCAAAUUUCGGAGGACUUGACCUAUGAAGAGGUACCCGUUCAAAUUGUGGAUGUGAUGGAUAAGGUACUGCGACAUGUUGUUGUCAAGUUGGUAAAGGUCCAGUGGAGCAAUCAUAGUAUCCGAGAGGCCACUUGGGAGUUAGAAGAAGAGAUGAGAGAAAAACAUCCUCAAUUAUUUCAAGACUCAAGUAUGUCAAGUUUAGAAGACUAAACUUUUGUUAAGAAGGGGAGGAUGUAACGCCCAAGUAUUUUUUUAAGGGUAAUUUAGGAAAUUACUAAUAAUAAUUCAAUUAGUUAAUUAAUUAAUUUAAUAAAGUGGAAGAGGGGUAAAAGUGUAAUUUACAAAUAAAUACCCUAGGUAUAAAUUAGAAAUUCUAUUUCUUCUUGUUCUUUUCUGAAUAGAGUUCCUGUUCGCAUGAAUUUCAGAGAACAUAGGUUGGAGUCAGAUUUCAAGGUUGAAGAACAGAUCUCUAUACGUAAGAUUUUAACCCCUAGUUUAAUAUUUUAGAUUCAUUGAUUAAUUUCAAACACAUUAGAUAUCUUUUGGAAAACCCAAAUCUAGAUUAGGGUUAGUUUUUAUUUUUUUUUUAUUUUUUUUUUUUAAUUCGUUCUAAUAUCAAUAGUAAAAAUAAUAAUAAUAAUAAUAAAAAUUUAAAAAAAAUUUAAGAUUUUGAUUUAUUGUUGGUAUUUGGGAGAUCUUAAGUUUUAUUAGAUGAAAAAAAAAAAAGGUUCCUUGGAAGGUUUCAAUUUUAUAUUAGGGUUAAUUUUAUUAAAAAAAGAAAAGGGGCGUGUGCCAAAUGGAAGGAAGCCUUAUAUAUAUAUAUAUAUAUAUAUAUAAUGAAUCAUGAUGAUGGCAAUGGAAAAAAAAAAAAAAACUUGCUUUUUGGUUUGGUGUACCCAAGACAACUAGGUAAUGGUUGAGUGGCUUUUGAAUUGGUUAAUUAAAAUAAUAAUAUUUAGUUUUAGAUUAAUAAUUAAGAUAAUAGUAAUAAUAGUCUUUUUUUUUUUUGUAAUAAAUAGAAUGAGAGAUUUAGCAAUAUAUAUAUAGAAUUUUAUAAUGAAAUAAAAUUGUAAUUUAAUUAAAUUAGUACUGUGUUAUUAGAAACAAAUUGAGAAUUUAUUAAUUUUAUUUAAAUAAGGAAUAGAUUAGUUAAAUUAUAGAUAAAUAGUAAUAAUUAUUUCUCUUAUGUUAUAUUAGGAGAAGAAUAGAUUUUUCCUGAAUUAUUUUUCUCCCAAGCUUUCAAGGUCUUUGCAUAAUUUGAGGUAAGGGAAGUUAAUGCAAUAUUUAUAAAAUUUAAAUUAUUUUAUAUGUUAUUUUGAAUUGUGGAAAAGAAAAUGAUAUUUUGUUACCAUGCAUGGAUCAAAUUGUUUUGCACUAAAUAUUAUGUUGGAAUAUUUUGUUUUAUUUAUGACACAAAAUAUGAAGAUAUUAUGUUGUGUAAAUUUGAAUACUUGAACAAAAACAUCACUCUGGUUUAUUUGACCCUUGUCAACGAGAUAUAAUAGUUGACUAUUCGGCCCUGUCAACGGGAUAUAAUAGUUGACCUUUACAUUUCAUGGUAAGAAUGUAAUUGAUUUGGACCCCAACCUCUAGGGGUUUGGUUAGAGGUUACUAGUAGUAAUAGUAUUUGGUUCCGUCCACCAAGAACAAUUUGAGGCUAGCCACCCAUUUGAAAAGUCCCACCUAACUGGGCAUUUGAUAUUUGAUAACUAGAGUAAUGAAAAUUGAAUGGAUUUGAUUGAAUCUUAUGUGAAAGUGUUUGAAUUUGAUAUGAAAAUGGUUGGUUGAAUUUUGAAUAUAUUGGUAUUUUUGAAACUCUGAUAUUUGAUGAGAAAAAAAAAAUGAUAUCUCCUAUUUGAAAUGAAAAUAUUUGAUCCAUGAACUGCAUUAAUAUUCCUUAUUGGGUUGUGAGCUCAUUCCCAAUUGUUGAAAAAUUUUCAGGUACUCUUAGUUCGGGUGAGGAAUGAUGGCUAAGCUGAGGAAUGGUCAUCAUUAGGAUUUGACUUAGGAUUUUAUGUUGGAUUUUGUUUAACUGUUUGUUAUGUUCAUUUGGACCCUUUGGUAUUUGGAAGUUAUUUGGAUAUUGAUCCUUCAAAUUUUAUGUUAGACCAAAGGUGAGAUUUGGAGAUUUUGAAAUUUGUUCUAGUACUUGAAUUGUUUAAGUUUGCAAAUAUUUGGACAAUGGAUUUUGGAUAGUGGAUGUUUUAGUUUUGAAAUUGAAUUUUGAGGAUUUUAGAUUUUGUUCCGCUACUCUGAACAGGUAUUUGGUAAUUGGUAACUUCCGAUUACAAGAUAAUUGUUUGGGUCAGGUUACACUGUAAGCCUUCGGGUUUGAAGUGUGAAAUGACCGUCAUGCCCUUGGAGUGGGUCUUGAGGCGUGACACUUACCGAUUCAUCAUUCAAGGUAUAGAACUGUUCUAUCAUUGAUCCAAGGAAUUAACAUGUCUACUCAAGUCUCAGCAUCUUCUCUAGCCCAGAUUCCCAAACCCAAAAAUCGUCCUGGCAAACUUUCACCCCAACAUUUGGGGUGACCAAUUUAUCACCUGCACUCCUGAAGACUAUGCAUCAAUUAUAAAUUUGACAGUUAUUUUUCUUAAUAUGUUGGAUGAUAAAAUUUGUUGGUCAAGGUUACACGUGCUUGCAAAGAGGAGCAGAUUGAGGAUCUGAAAAAGGAAGUGAAAAGGGAAUUAACGGUUGUUGUUGUUGCUAACCCUUCCCAAUUGCUGAACUUCAUUGAUGCAUACCACUUUGAGCAAGAGAUAGAAGAAGCAUUACAACAAAUUUGUAAUAGUUUUCAUGAUUGCAAUGAUAUGGAUGGUGAUCUCUACAAUAUUGCUCUUGGAUUUCGACUACUAAGGCAACAAGGGUACAGUAUUUCAUGUUGUAAGAGACUAAGAAAAAAUUGUUAUGUUAAACCUUCUUAUCAUUCAAAAUCUUAUGUUCAAGUGGUGAUGUUUAUGUAGGUAUAUUGAACAAGUUUACGGAUGAAUGAGGUAGAUUCAAGGAAGCUUUGAUCAACGAUGUAAGAGGCAUGCUAGGCUUGUAUGAAGCUGCACAUCUGAGGGUUCAUGGUGAGGACAUACUUGCAGAAGCACUUACUUUCACCACCACUCACCUCGAGGCCAUGGUAGAAAGUUUAGGAUAUCCUCUUGCAGAACAAGUUGCCCAUGCCCUGAACCGACCAUUAGAAAAGGUUUGGAGAGGUUAGAGGCAAGAUGGUAUUUAUCUGUCUACCAAGUGUUGGUUUAAGGGUAUGGAAACAAAGGACUAACUCAAAAGACACAAACAAAAAACAUAAUGAAUAGUAAGAAAAACUUAUUAGUUGAGGCGUGACAAACACUGUUCUUGAAAUAGAUCCACCCUCUUCGAAAACGAACUGAAUGCACUAAGGUGCCAGUGGUCUACCUCCAGGAUUCAAUAGCCAGAUCUUGCCUUGGGUGCACUCUAUAAGUGAGACAUGUACAACUUGGUUUUGAAAAAAUUCCUCCAAAAAGAUGUAUGAAAGACUCUCUGAAAAAUUGGUAUUCAAAGAGUAAAAGGUGACCUGCUUUUAUAGGUCACCAACACAGUCCUAAUGGGACUCUACUUGUAAUCAGAGGACUCAAAGUGGAAUGAGAUUCUACUUAUAAGUGAAACAGGACUCUAUUAGCACAAUCCCAAUGGGAUUCUUCCCAAAGGUAAAAGACUAAGUCAAAUGGAAUAAAAAUUAAAUAAAAAAAAUUGAAUUUUGUAAAAAUUAGUCAAAUUCGCUAAAACACUUUUUCACAUUUACACUCUUCCUACACCAAGAUGAAGCUUUCCAUGAUAAAACUUUACCAGAGCUAGCCAAAUUAGAUUUCAAUCUAGUGCAGUCACUGCACAAGGAAGAGCUAAGCAAUCUUGUAAGGUUGGUUUUUAAAUCACCCCACAUGUACUUGGCCAUUCUUAUCACUUUCUUGUAUACUGAUCAUAUUAAUGUCUUUUAGGUGGUGGAAAGAAUUAGACUUUGUUACAAAGUUAUCUUUUGCAUGAGACAGAUUGGUUGAAUGCUACUUUUGUAUACAUGGGGUAUAUUUUGAGCCUCAAUACUUACGAGCUAAACGAAUUCUAACCAAAGUAAUUGCUAUGACAUCCAUUCUAGAUGAUAUCUAUGAUGCAUAUGGCACACCUGGUGAACUCAAGCUCUUCACAGAAGCCAUUGAGAGGUUUGCUACUUGCACAUUACCAACCUUGAUUGUGUAUAAUAUAUGUAUUUAUAUAUACCUAAAUCAAGGGUCAUUAUUUUAUUUUCAGGUGGGAUAUUAACAGCAUAGAUCAACUUCCAGAAUACAUGAAACCCUGCUAUGUGGCACUCUUUGAUGUGUACAAAGAAAUCGAGGAAGAGAUGGAGAAAGAAGGAAACCAAUAUAGGGUGCACUAUGCCAAAGAAGUAGUAGGACAUCUUUAACUCUGGAUUCCCACCUUUUGCAUUGAUGAUAUUUUAUAUGGUCUCAUAUAUACAUAGAUAUAACUUGGGUGAAUGUCCAUUAGAUGAAGAAUCAAGUUCGAGGUUACAUGAAGAACACGUACCAACACUUGAAGAGUACAUGUGUGUUGCACUAGUAAGCUUUGGAUACUACAUGCUUGCAACCACAUCCUUGGUGGGAAUGGGAGAAAUAGUAACAAAGGAGGCCUUUGAUUGGGUGACCAGCGAUCCUAAGAUUAUGCCAUCUUCAAAUUUCAUUGCGAGGCUCAUGGAUGACAUCACAUCACAUAAGGUAUGCAGAAUAUGUUAUUCAAGUGGGGAGAAUAUAACACACCGGUUUUUUUUUUUCUCAACUUUUGCAUUAUACAUGCAGUUUGAGCAAAAGAGAAGGCAUGUGGCCUCAGCCAUUGAAUGUUACAUGAAGUAAUAUGGUGUCUCUGAGGAACAAGUAUACAGCGAGCUUCAAAAUCAAAUUGAGAAUGCAUGGUUGGAUGUCAACCAGGAAUGCCUCAAACCUACUACUAUUCCAAUGCCUCUCCUUGCUCCUAUUCUAAAUCUUACACGAGUCUCGGAUGUCAUUUACAAAGAGCAAGAUGCGUACACACAUGUUGGGAAAGUGAUGAAGAAUAACAUUGCGUACACACAUGUAGUUGAUUAUCGUCCCCUAUGUAUUGCCUUGUGGAAGAAGUAAUAUCUAAUAAAUCAUUAUAAUAAGGUGAGGGAACAAUACGUAAUAAAUCAUUGUAAUAUGGAAAGGGGGACACAUCAUAUGUAGCACCUAGUUUCUCUGGGUUCAUAGUGUUUUACUUUUGAAUAUUCCCUGAAUAUUUAAAUAAGAAUAUGUAUUACUUAAAUCACCUGAAUAUAUUAUUUAUUAUAUUAUAUUCUUUAAUACAUAUGUAUUAUUGUGAUUCAACUUGAGGAGUAUUGAUACUGAGUCUUAAAAUACAUAUGUAUGUAGAAUAUAUGUCUACAAAAAAUCCGGAUCUCCUUGUUAAUGUGUAAUGGUGUUUUGGAGUACUACAAUACUCACCAAAUAACUUCUUUACACUUUAUAAUGGACACUGACUGGUGAGUUUAUAGUUAAUUAAAGAUUUCACUCGAUAGCAAAUUAUUAUUAUUAUUAUUAUUAUUGUUAUUGUUGUUGCUAGCGUUAUUAUUAUUUAAUUCAUUAUUAUGAAAAUUAUUAUUAUUAUUACUAUUUAAUUAUUAUUAUUAUUAGCUAUUAAUUUUAGUUUUUUCUUUUUCAUCUUUUCUUUUUUGUUGUUUGUUAUAUACUUCAUAAAAUUAUAAGUUAUGGUCUUUUAUUAGGUUGAAAUUGGAAGUUCAAGUUCAUUAAAGUAUGACACAGUUAACUUAGGUUCACUAAUUUUGUAAAAAAUUUGAUGCAUUUAUAGGAUAAUUAAAUAAUUCAACAAACUUAUCAUUUUACUAAUUAAGGUUUUUUAUUUUAUUUUAUUUUUUAAAAAACUUUUUUACAUGUAAGAAUACAGAAAUUAUGGUUCAAUGUGAAACUUUGGAAUUGCAUGAAUAUGAAAGUGAAAUUUGUUGGUGUCGUUCCCAACUAGAGUUAGGUUCAUCCAACUUCACUGGAGUCAGGUGGACUGCUUCCUUUCUCCAACUCGUGAACUUAGCCGAUACUAAGUUAUGUGAUAACACCCAAUUUUUCCGUUCGUGCUUCUUGAGAAGUCCGUCCAGUUGUAUUGGAAUCAGACAGACUUCUUCCAUGCACAAAAGGAUGUCCAGACAGGUGAUUCGAGCACGUCCCUCCUAAACUUAAGUCAGUUAAGGAUAGUUCUAACUUAUUUUUGUGGCAGAAAAUGAGUUUAUGUGCAUGCCUACCUUGUUCAUGCUUUUUGAGGGGUUUAUAUAGAGUUGAUGAUACUGUCCCUAUAGUGCUGACUAUACACUCUAGUCUUUCUUGUAAUGAUGAUUGCCCUUAGGGCGGUUGAUUGGUGCCAUCUAUUGACGUGCCAAAAUCUCGGACCAGCAACCGAUUGUCCAUUUAGCUUGCCAAUGUCUGGGAUUGUGUGUAACAAUUAAUUGACAUUGACUUUUGGGUGUAAAUGGAGUCCUGUCCACUGCUUAGAUGUCAGGCGUCUAAUCCACUGCUCAAAUGUCCUGUGUCUGGGCCAACGCUCAGACAUCAAGCAUAGUUGAUCAUGCAUGCCAGAAAUCCUGAGGACUUGAUUAGACUGAUUUUUUCGUCUGAGAGUCCAACGAGCCUAGCCUAUCGAUUCCGUUCAACCUUGUGGAAGAAGAGAAACCUCUCACUUCUUGUGUCAGACAUAACUUAUCUUGGUCCAAACGAAUUGAUCCCAGACGGGUUAUAAGUUUGUUCUGGUCGGCCAAGGGGUCUUAAGCUUGAAAAUGACACGUGAAGGGAAACCCCCCACAAUGCCCUUUUAAUCUGUCUACUUCUAUUCAGAUGAAGAGGAGAUGUUUUUGGAGCGUCCAGUUAGUUUCCUAUCUGAACAGGAAUUCUGGGAUCGUUUCCAUAUUCCAGAGAAUAUCCCUAUUCUUCUAAUAGACGACGAGGCGUUAUCCUCCGUUGACCUGCCCAACAACAUGAUGUAUUUUACUAAGGAACAAUUCGUUGCAGGGCUCCGUCUACCUAUCCCCUCUCUCUUCAAGCAGUUUCUUCAUUUUAUGUAAAUCCCUUCAGCUUUUCUUCAUCCGAAUUUUGUCCGGGUAUUGAUGGGAUGUAGUGUUCUAGACAUGCUCUUUCAGUUGAAUCUCUCAUUGUUGGAAGUUUUGCUUGUUUACAUUGUCAAAAUGAGCUGGAAAGAAAGGUUUAGCUUUUCUUCCCAUAUUCCUUACUUGCAGCCAGUGACUGGUCUUUUAGAUUCAUGCAAAGGCUAGGUAAAGGGGCAUGUCCUAGUCUCUGGUCCUUGGAGUGGUUCGUCUGAGGAACCAGAUGGAGUCUUUUAUCCACAACAUUCAUUGGAGAUUCCGAGUAGGAUACGCUUCCAUCACUUUCUCUAUAUUUUGCAAUUAUUUCUUCCUCGCUGUCAAUUUAUUGUUGAUCUUUUUGUUUGUGUGAUAUAGGCAAGGAGAGGUGGGGACGCCUUGUAGAGUGGGUAGACAAGGCUUCUUUCACCUAUUUAACAAGUUGUUCGAAAUAGACGCGUUCAAAUGGGCCCCUAAAGUUCUUUUGUAAGAUAAUAAGUUGCUAACGCUAAUUGAUAAUCCAAAGUCGUUCAUCAUCCCCGUAUUUCCUCGUCUGGCUCCCCCGUCUUUGGUGCCUGGUGAACAUUUCGUGCUAAAGGAUUUGCCAUUCUAUGAGGUUGCUCGUCUGGCAUAUUAUAAGGCAUGUUAGGCCCGUUUAGAGGAGUGAGAGAAAAAACAUCAGGAAGGGACAUUGAGGCAAGCUCUAACUGCUAGUCUUCUAUCCUCCAGUUUUGUUGUCCAUCCUCUCACUAAAAAGAGGACGAAACCUACUGCUUCGCCUAUCUGGAAGGUAAGGACUCUGCCUCCUUCAUCUUUAUCUUCUCCAUCAACUUCAUCAUCUUCGUCAUCUCCAUCUUCUAGUGGCAAGCCAAAAUCAUGGGUUGUCCAGGUAGUGUCCCUUAUUAUUUGCGAGGAGGAAAAAGAAGAGGAUAUGGCUUCAAACUUGAGGGUCGGAUUUCGUGAGAGACAGCGCAAGUGCUUGUCCAAAUCCAUUGUUGUCAAUCCUACCCCCUCUAAGAAAGCUUGUUCAAAACCUACUUCAGCUCUUGCGCUCGUGUCGGUUCCUCUAACUACUGCUACAGUCUUCACCCUUAAGCUAGAUGAGAAACUUCCUUCUGUUGAUGAACAUGUUUAUCAUGAGACGAGGAUACCCUUCAUCAGCACGAACAACUUCAACAAAGAAUCGUUCGAAUACAUGACUUUUUUUUCUCUUUGUUCGAAGUCAACCUAUGUCCCCAAUCGGGAGGAGGUAUCUGAGCUUUUGAAGUGAAUCCCUGUCUUCACCGAAAGAGAGUCCCUGGUACAAAACAUAGGGUACUCUUUCCAGCUACUUAGCAAAUCCCAAUCGAGAUAGACAACGAUCCUAGUCGAUCUUUCAUGACCUGGCUUUUGUAUGACACUCCGAAUAUCGCCAUUUCUCGCAUUAUUCCCAUGCAAGACUAUAAGGCUUUUGAAAUGACAAAUAUGGUAAGUCACCUACCCUUUUCUUCUCAUUUUUCCUUAGCCUCUUGUUUCACAACGAUUUCUUUAUUGCAUCUUCAGGUGAUAGUCGAAGUUUGAAACCUCAUGCGGCAACACACUCCUUUUUUCUACCGAUUGGAAACAAUCGAGACCAUGAGGCCAUACUUUGCCCAUAAUAUGGAUGGGAAUGAGGAUCUUCUUGCCAGCUUGGAGACAAUAAAGAGUGAAGCUGCUGUUGCCCAAAAGCUUGUUAAAGAAGAAAUCGGUCUAUUGAGGAAGGCCGAGGAAGAGAAGGAGACAGUUCAAACUGAAGCUUGCCAACUAGUUGAAAAGAAGGAAACCAUGGUGGUUGACAAAAAAAAAGGCUGAAGAAGAGGCUGCCUAGCUGAGGCAGGAGCUACAGGAUCUCCGAGCAGGGUUUGCCUCUCAGAAAGAAGACUUGGAGGUUCACUACCAAAAGCAAGUGGAUGACAUGUUCUUGUACGACUAUCGUUGUUGUAUGAAGAAGCAUGGCAUCAUCCAUGAUGCUCUGAGUUUUCCUUUGGAUGACGAUGAUGAGUUUUUAGGCGACCCUGCCCAGGGAGGAGGAGAUGUUUUCGGAGACGAUCCUUAUGGCGAGUAGGCUUGAUCUCUUUGUUUGUAUUUAUUUAUUAUGGUUGGACGUGGCCUAGACUGCUAUAUCUAUAAAGACAAUGGAUGCUUUAUUUUUUCAAAUAUAUUUACUUUAUCCGUUUGUCUCUCAUACAUUGUUUUCAUAAGCAAACUUUAUUGAAAGUAAUACUUUAAAUUGGAUACAUUCUAAGAGCAGAGCAGGGGUACGUUGUCUAGUGUUUGAAAAUGGUAUACCCCUAAGUCUCUAGCCUUAGUUACAACAUAUGGCCCUUCCCAGUUAGCUUGAAGCUUUUCGGCUCCUAUUUCAGCUGUGUUCUCAAAUAUUCUUCUGAGGACUAAAGUUCCUAGCCAGAAAAACCAUGGUCGUGUUUUUUUGUUGUAAUGGGUGAUCGUCUUUUGAUGGUAAGAAACCAUUCAGAUAGUUAUGUCUCCUAGCAUUUCAUCUGCCCAAUCCAACUGUCUUAUGAGUUCUUCAUCAUUGUUCCUCUGAUCUUAUACAACUGUUUUAGUGGUAGGCAUGUCAAUUUCAGUUGGAAUAAUGACCUUCAUCCCAUAAGCAAGGGCAAAAGGAGUAGUUCCUAUUGGCCGUUUGGAUGUCGUUUUGUAAGCCCAUAAGAUUCCGAGCAGUUCAUCCACCCAUUUUCCUUUAGCUCCUUCCAGCAUUUUUUUAAUGCAUUCAGUAGGGUUUUGUUUGUCGCCUCAGCUUGCCCGUUACUCUACGGAUAGCAAAGUGUUGAAUACAAAUUCUUGAUGUUUAACUUCAAAUAGAAAGUUCGGAAGACGGUAUUGUAUGAUUGCUCGCAAAACUCCAAAUCGACAUACGAUGUUUUUCUAGACGAACUUGAAGACAUCCUUAUCUUUGAUGCUAGCAUAGUGUCACGGACUUAGUCGUUCACUAAGCUCGUGCGGCACUUAGACAAGCCAAGACGCUUGAUCUUGCUAAGUCAGCCUUGCUCCCAAUACUUAGCUCACCCGGCUAAGACACUCGCGACUCAAAAGCUUAAGAAGCUUGGUAGGCAACUCCUUAAAGAAUGGAAGCUUUCUAUUACUCAAAGAAGCCUUUACAAGUGCUUGGAUGCUCACUUGCUUGGUUAGGAAGUGAUUUUGGGUGGUGCCUUGGCCAAAUGAGGCCCUCACCUAUUUAUAGGCACCAAGGGAACUCUCUAGAACCUUGGAGGGUUCCCUUACAAAUCAAGAAUAUUCUAGAACAUCCUACCCUAUUCUAUGUACAACCCUAUGUACAAGAAUAUACAAGAGAUUCCUAGAAGUCUCUAGAAAGCCUUGGACUCCUCCCAUGCCUUCCACCAUAGUGUAGAGAUGUGUGGACAUCUCUAGGCAUUUCUAGAACCUUCCACACUCUUCCCACCAAUGACUUNNNNNNNNNNNNNNNNNNNNNNNNNNNNNNNNNNNNNNNNNNNNNNNNNNNNNNNNNNNNNNNNNNNNNNNNNNNNNNNNNNNNNNNNNNNNNNNNNNNNNNNNNNNNNNNNNNNNNNNNNNNNNNNNNNNNNNNNNNNNNNNNNNNNNNNNNNNNNNNNNNNNNNNNNNNNNNNNNNNNNNNNNNNNNNNNNNNNNNNNNNNNNNNNNNNNNNNNNNNNNNNNNNNNNNNNNNNNNNNNNNNNNNNNNNNNNNNNNNNNNNNNNNNNNNNNNNNNNNNNNNNNNNNNNNNNNNNNNNNNNNNNNNNNNNNNNNNNNNNNNNNNNNNNNNNNNNNNNNNNNNNNNNNNNNNNNNNNNNNNNNNNNNNNNNNNNNNNNNNNNNNNNNNNNNNNNNNNNNNNNNNNNNNNNNNNNNNNNNNNNNNNNNNNNNNNNNNNNNNNNNNNNNNNNNNNNNNNNNNNNNNNNNNNNNNNNNNNNNNNNNNNNNNNNNNNNNNNNNNNNNNNNNNNNNNNNNNNNNNNNNNNNNNNNNNNNNNNNNNNNNNNNNNNNNNNNNNNNNNNNNNNNNNNNNNNNNNNNNNNNNNNNNNNNNNNNNNNNNNNNNNNNNNNNNNNNNNNNNNNNNNNNNNNNNNNNNNNNNNNNNNNNNNNNNNNNNNNNNNNNNNNNNNNNNNNNNNNNNNNNNNNNNNNNNNNNNNNNNNNNNNNNNNNNNNNNNNNNNNNNNNNNNNNNNNNNNNNNNNNNNNNNNNNNNNNNNNNNNNNNNNNNNNNNNNNNNNNNNNNNNNNNNNNNNNNNNNNNNNNNNNNNNNNNNNNNNNNNNNNNNNNNNNNNNNNNNNNNNNNNNNNNNNNNNNNNNNNNNNNNNNNNNNNNNNNNNNNNNNNNNNNNNNNNNNNNNNNNNNNNNNNNNNNNNNNNNNNNNNNNNNNNNNNNNNNNNNNNNNNNNNNNNNNNNNNNNNNNNNNNNNNNNNNNNNNNNNNNNNNNNNNNNNNNNNNNNNNNNNNNNNNNNNNNNNNNNNNNNNNNNNNNNNNNNNNNNNNNNAGCCGCCUCAUCCGUCAAUGCGAUAGCCUCAAAGUAUCGCUCCAUAUGCCAUAAGAAGUUAUCCAACUCCUUGGCAUCCCGAUUGCCACUAAACCUAUGUGGCUUCGGCACCUCCACCCUAGAUGCCUCUUGUGUGGCCAUGACCCGUGCCGACACAGCAGCCUUGUAGAUGGCCAACUCCUGCCUAACUUCCUGGUCUCGGGACUCCAUUCGAGUGGCCAAGGCCUCUAUCCUUGACUCCAUGCUAGCAAGCAUGCUCAAGACCUUUCCUUGGAAGGACACAAACUCCUCGUGCGACACUGGUUGAACCUGUGAGAUUAGCACCCCCUCGCGAAGGUCUUGGAUCUGCUCCCUUAGAUCCUCUAAGCCCUUCUCCAUGCCUUGCUCGAUCAAGUCCAACCCUUCCCGAGUGUCCGCCAUGGCUAGCUCCACCUUCGCUAACCUUGCCUCCAUGUUGGCAACGGCAUCACGAGAUUUAUCCUUCCUGCCCCUGCCCCGUGCAGUAGGCUCGGUCUCUCUCCCACGGGUUUGCUCACUAGUCUCCUCCACGUUAGAGCCCGACAUGCUUCCUUUGCUAUGCCCACCUCGUAACCGCGCUCUGAUACCACUUGUCACGGACUUAGUCGUUCACUAAGCUCGUGCGGCACUUAGACAAGCCAAGACGCUUGAUCUUGCUAAGUCAGCCUUGCUCCCAAUACUUAGCUCACCCGGCUAAGACACUCGCGACUCAAAAGCUUAAGAAGCUUGGUAGGCAACUCCUUAAAGAAUGGAAGCUUUCUAUUACUCAAAGAAGCCUUUACAAGUGCUUGGAUGCUCACUUGCUUGGUUAGGAAGUGAUUUUGGGUGGUGCCUUGGCCAAAUGAGGCCCUCACCUAUUUAUAGGCACCAAGGGAACUCUCUAGAACCUUGGAGGGUUCCCUUACAAAUCAAGAAUAUUCUAGAACAUCCUACCCUAUUCUAUGUACAACCCUAUGUACAAGAAUAUACAAGAGAUUCCUAGAAGUCUCUAGAAAGCCUUGGACUCCUCCCAUGCCUUCCACCAUAGUGUAGAGAUGUGUGGACAUCUCUAGGCAUUUCUAGAACCUUCCACACUCUUCCCACCAAUGACUUAGUGUAGAUGGCUCCAGGAGUCUCCAGAAGCUUCCCUCCUUCUAUAUAAGCCCAUGGGGAGGGUCAUUUGAAGCAUCCUGUGACAAUAGGCUUCUGUUUCCACCCACUUGCUAAAAUAGUCAGUUGCAACGAGUAAAACUUUUUUUGAGCUAUUGCAACAAGUAAGGGACAAAUUAUGUCGAUCCCCCACUGCGCAAACAACCAAGGGCUUGUGACCAGACUGAGAGCUUCAGAAUGUACACGGGAAAUGGGAGCAUGUCUUUGACACCAGUCACAUCUCUUAAAAUAGUUUUCAGUGUUUUGUUUCAUGGUGGGCCAAUAGUACCCUUGCAUGUAAGCACGAUGUGCCAAGGUUCGUUCGCCUGUAUGAUUUCUAUAUACGCUUUCAUAGAGUUCGGCCAGGACAUACUUGGCUUCUGGCUUGCUCAAACACCUUAGGUAUGGUUCUCUAAAUGAUCAUCUAUAAAGCAGGUCAUUGAUUAAAGUGAAGCGAGAUGUUUGCACGCAGAGUCUGUGCAAUUGCUUCCAAUCUUCUAGUAAUUCUCUCGUCUAAAGGUAUUUUACAAUGUCAUGCAUCCAGCCAAGGUUUGCUUCAUUGGUACUGCACACUAGUUCGGGUGUGGCCUGAAGGUAGAUAGACAACAUCAUUGCCUCUUUUAUAAGGAGAGUGGCAACUAUUCCGGCCAAUGCAUCCGCCUUCAUGUUCUCCUUUCGGGGUACCAGUCUAACAAUCCACUCAUCUAGAUUUUUCAAGUGAUCUUCCACCAUGGCGAGGUAGCGAGCCAUGCGUUCGUCCAUUACUUCAUACUCUCGUUGAAUUUUCCCAACAAUUAGUUAAAAGUCGCUUCUGAUUUUCAAGUUUGUUGCAGCCAGUGUUAAGGCAAGAUCUAGCCUAACUAGGACAAAUUCAUAUCCUACUUUCGUACAAUCUCUCACAAAAUUCAUACACUCUCUCACAAAGUUCCUACCAUCUCUCACAAAGUUCGUACCCUCUCUCACAAAGUUCAUACCACAUCUCACAAAAUUCGUACACUUUCUCACAAAGUUCAUACUAUUUCUCACAAAGUUGGUACCUCUUCUCACAAAGUUCAUACCCUCUAUCACAAAGUUCAUACACUCUCUCACAAAGUUCGUACCAUGUCUCACAAAGUUCGUACAAUCUCUCACAAAGUUCAUACCUCAUCUCACAAAGUCCGUACCACAUCUCACAAUGUUCGUACCCCCUCUCAUAAAGUCCAUACCCCUUCUCACAAGUUCAUACCCCUUCUCACAAAGUUCGUACCCCCUCUUACAAAGUUCGUACCCCCUCUUACAAAGUUAGUACCACCUCUCAUAAAGUUCAUACCCCCCUCUUACAAAGUUUGUACCCCAUCUCACAAAGUUCUUACCACCUCUCAAAAAGUUCGUACCAUCUCUCACAAAGUACGUACCAUCUCUCACAAAGUAAGUACCAUUUCUCACAAAGUUCGUACACUCUCUCACAAAGUUCAUACCCUCUCUCACAAAGUUCGUACCAUCUCUCACAAAGUUUGUACCCCCUCUGAAAAAGUUCGUACCCUCUCUCACAAAGUUCGUACUAUUCCUCACAAAGUUCAUAUCAUCUCUCACAAAGUUCGUACCAUCUCUCACAAAGUUCGUACCCCCUCUAACAAAGUUUGUACCCCCUCUCACAGAAUUUGUACUCUCUCUCACAAAGGUCAUACCCUCUCUCACAAUGUUUGUACCCCUUCUCACAUUGUUUGUAUCAUCUAUCACAAUUUUCGUACCCCCUCUCACAUUGUUCGUACCCCUUCUCACAGUGUUUUCCUUCAAGAUAUAUAAAACUUCAUCUUCAAAUUUAAUCUACAAAUAAACAAAAUAAUAAUAUAAAAAUAUUAAUGACAAUUUAAUAAUAAAUGACUAAAUUGUCUCAAUUUGAUUAAUAAUAACUCAUAAAAAAAAAUUCAAAAAUCUAAAUGUUAUAAAGCAUUACAUAUUGUUCAUACCCUUUCUCACAAUGUUUGUACCCCCUCUCACAUUGUUCGUACCCCUUCUCACAUUGUUUUCCUUCUUCAAGAUAUAUAAAACUUCAUCUUCAAAUUUAAUCUAUAAAUAAACAAAAUAAUAAUGUAAAAAUAUUAAUGACAAUUUCAUAACAAAUGACUAAAUUGUUUCAAUUUGAUUAAUAAUAACUCAUAAAAAAAAUUCAAAAAUCUAAAUGUUGUAAAGCAUUACAUAUUUAAAUGUCAUUUAACAUGACAUUUCUACCUACAAAAUUUAUAUUUAAAUAAAAAAUAUCAAAUAUUACCUUUGACACUUGUAAUCACUUGAAAUCUUUCAUCUUUUUCAUAUAAUAGAAAUUUUAAAUUUUCUCCCUCAAAAAGUUUCAAACUUGAUCUUCAAAUUUGAUUUAUCAAAACACAUCUCACAUAUUUUAUAAUAUGGUAGUUGAAACUAUUUAAUUUUUAUAUUAAAUUAGUAUCCCUUUUUGUAAAUAUGAAUAAUGAGAGUAUAAGGAUAGUUGUUAGAAUUUUCUUUUUUUAGAUAGAAUUAGGUAACAUUAAAUAAUAAAUUAUAUUUGAUAUUUAAUAAUAAAUUAUAAAAAAAUUGUAAUAUUUAGAUAUGUAUGAAUUGCAUGUAAUUAUUUCUCACAAGCAAGCCAUCUUUAUCGGUUUAAUAAGUUUUUAAUUUUUUUUUUUAAGUGGGUAGGUACCCAAAAUAAAGAGUGGGUACCAAAGAACGAUAUAUAUUUUGUCUAUAUUCUGUAAGUGACUGAAUGAUAGAUGCCUGUUGGUGAAAGAGAUGCCUGUACGUCGGCUUAAGAGAUGUUCUUUAUAUCAAACAAUAUAUAUUUAUCUAUAUUCUGUAAGGGGCUGAAUGAUAAGAUGCCUGUUGGUCAAAGAGAUGCCUGUACGUUUGUCUCAAAGAUGCUUGUUUAUAUCUAAGAAACAAAAGAUUCACAUAAAAAAAAAAAAUGAUGCUUAGAUUAUAAUAUUGAUCCUUGUUCUAUUUGGUUUAAGAGAAUAGUUUGACAUACAUGCAUAAGGUAAUUAAUAAAUUCCUGGUCAAGUGUCACGUUCAAACAAAUUCCUGGUCAAGUGUCACGUUCAAACAAGAAGAUUAAUUAAUAAAAAAGGUCAUUUCAAGGAGUAAAAAAAUUAUGAAAAAUAUAUCAGUUUUAACCACUAAUAUUAAUUAUUAGCAAAAGUCACUUUGAACCAUAAAAAAAUAAAAAAUAAAAAAAAUUAAUAACAAAAUAUCACGUUGAACCACAAAUAUUAACUCACAGCAAAAGGUCACCCUACGCCAUACCUACUAACAGAAACAUGUUCAUUAGUUAACAUGUACACCAAACCACCAAGAGAGACAACACCUCAUAAAACAGUUUUUAAGACCAAAUUUUAAGAACAGUUUUUUAUGUUUUUAGAAACAUAAUUGUGUUUGGGAAUUGAAUUUUGAAAAAUACUUUUUAUUUUCAAAAACAAAAAAAAAACAUGUUUAGUUGAGUUAAUAAAAAAAGUUUUUAGAACAAGUAAAACAAAAAAAUAUAUUUGAAAGUUGCUUUUUUUUUUAAUUGAGAAUUUUCUUUAAUUAACUUGAUAUUGUAAUUAUAUACAUAAUUUUUAGAUUUACAUUUCAUUUAAAUUAAAAACUAUUAUAUUAUGAUAUUUAUUUGCAUGAGUUAUAAUUUUUUCAACAAAGGAUUACUUUACCUAAUUGAUGAAGGGUAAUAAAGGGACUCAUAAAUCUGCUCAUCUACAUCAUUUAUUUCAUCUAAUGAAAAGGUAUCAACAACCAUUGAUAUAAUCUACUAGCUAAAACAAAAAUGUAACAACAGCAACAAUUCAAGUAUUGGUACAUUUCAGAUCACUACAAAUUAAAAGACCUUUUGGGUACUUACAGGCGAAGAAUAAAGUGCAAACCAGCAGGAGAUAGACUCAAUAAACGAAUACAACUCAAUGGUGUAUUUAAUACUUAGAUCAGGCCUCCUUCCCCUGGAAGUUGUAAACAUGGAAUGAGCACCUGCAAAUCAAAGCAAGGGAACAGACAAAAACCAUUUUUUGUUACACUACAAGAACUAGACCAAGAGUAGAACCUGUAAAAUCAUAGUAAUCAAACACCAAAGGUCCAAAACCAGUGAUCCAUUUGCUAGAAAAGAGAAAUCAAAUUAAUGAAACACAUAUCACAAUCAUUUUAAAUAGAGCAGAGGUCAUUCAAAACCUAUGAAACUCUAGACGAUGUGUUAAUGAACCAGGAAAUAUUUUAAGAAAUCACACAAAGUGAUCUAUCUUAACCUAGUGUUAAUAUAAAAGAUUCAUAAUCCCAAGAUAGGGAAAAAAACAAAUACGCAGCCGAGAAUCAAACCAAUUAGGUAGAAGACAAAAAAAAAAAAAAACAUUUCAAAUUAAAUAUAUACUCCAAUCCGAAUCUCAAAACCAUAAAUUAUUUUCAUGGAGAAGACAAAGAAAGGAAGAAAAAGACAAUACCUAAAACACUGAGUCUCCUUCUCAUUGAAUCCCCUUGAUGCAAAAGAUGCAAAGGUUAUUCUUAGCUCUUCAUUAGGCAAAGAGAUCCAUAUGUUGCGACAUCUGCAAAAGCCUAACUGUUAUCUCUCUUGCCAAUAUCCAGAGGGUAGAAUAGGCCACCAGCCUAAAAUUCAAAGCUUCAUAACACCAUCAAAUAGCGUACAUACAAGCACAUGAACACAUAGAGAGAGACUUUUUACACGAACAGCACCUUCUCUGGCGGCUAAUACAAGAAUAUCAGCACGUGAGGGUAGGUUGCUUCCAGCUCUUCCUUGAUGGAUUCAAUUAUAUCAAAGCCUUUUAGAGUUUCAUUAGAAAGCGAAUCUUUCUCUGAAUGGAUUCCAAUAUUUUUCUUGCCGUCAGUCUCUUCCGUGCACAACCCUUUCAAAUCAUGGGCCCCAAAAACAAACCAAAUUCCACAUACUUUUCAACUAAAUACAACCAUGAAUGCCAGUGCUGCCCUAUAAAUAAUAUGGAGCUUGCCAAGCUAUUUCUCUCAUACCUACCAAUUCAUCAUUCAAGGUAUAGUACUGUUCUAUCAUUGUUCCAAGGAAUUAACAUGUCUACUCAAGUCUCAGCAUCUUCUCUAGCCCAGAUUCCCAAACCUAAAAAUCGUCCUGUGGCAAACUAUCACCCCAACAUUUGGGGUGACCAGUUUAUCUCCUACAUUCCUGAAGACAAGGUAAUUGAAUGAAAAUAUGCAUCAAGUUUAAUGGCUUACAUACUUAUUUGGCAGUUAUUUUUCUUAAUGUGUUGGAUGAAAAAAAAUUUUGGUCCAGGUUACACGUGCCUGCAAAGAGGAGCAGUUUGUGGAUCUGAAAAAGGAAGUGAAAAGGAAAUUAACGGCUGCUGCUGUUGCUAACCCUUCCCAAUUGCUGAACUUCAUUGAUGCAGUGCAACGUCUUGGGGUGGCAUACCACUUUGAGCAAGAGAUAGAAGAAGCAUUGCAACAUAUUUGUAACAGUUUUCAUGACUGCAAUGAUAUGGAUGGUGAUCUCUACAAUAUUGCUCUUGGAUUUCGACUACUAAGGCAACAAGGGUACAGUAUUUCAUGUGGUAAGAGACUAAGAAAAAAAUGUUAUGUUCAACCUUCUUAUCAUUUAAAUCUUAUGUUCAAGUGGUGAUGUUUGUGUAGGCAUAUUCAACAAGUUUAUGGAUGAACGAGGUAGAUUCAAGGAAGCUUUGAUCAGCGAUGUAAGAGGCAUGCUAUGCUUGUAUGAAGCUGCACAUCUGAGGGUUCAUGGAGAGGACAUAAUUGCAAAAGCACUUGCUUUCACCACCACUCACCUCAAGGCCAUGGUAGAAAGUUUAGGAUACCAUCUUGCAGAACAAGUUGCUCAUGCCCUGAACCGGCCCAUUAGAAAAGGUUUGGAGAGGCUAGAGGCAAGAUGGUAUAUAUCUGUCUACCAAGAUGAAGCUUUCCAUGAUAAAACUUUACUAGAGCUAGCAAAAUUAGAUUUCAAUCUAGUGCAGUCACUGCACAAGGAAGAGCUAAGCAAAUCUUGCAAGGUUGGUUUUUAGAUCACCCCACAUGUACUUGGCCAUUCUUAUCACUUUCCUGUAUGCUGAUCAUAUUAAUGUCUUUUAGGUGGUGGAAAGAAUUAGACUUUGCUACAAAGUUACCUUUUGCACGAGACAGAUUGGUUGAAUGCUACUUUUGGAUACUUGGGGUGUAUUUUGAGCCUCAAUACUUACGGGGUAGACGAAUUCUAACCAAAGUAAUUGCCAUGACAUCCAUUCUAGAUGAUAUCCAUGAUGCAUAUGGCACACCUGAAGAACUCAAGCUCUUCAAGGAAGCCAUUGAGAGGUUUGCUCCUUGCACAUUACCAACCUUGAUUGUGUAUAAUAGAUGUAUUCAUAUAUACCUAAAUCAAGGGUCGUUAUUUUAUUUUCAGGUGGGAUAUUAACAGCAUAGAUCAGCUUCCAGAAUACAUGAAACUCUGCUAUGCGUCACUCUUAGAUGUGUACAAAGAAAUCGAGGAAGAGAUGGAGAAAGAAGGAAACCAAUAUCGGGUUCACUAUGCCAAAGAAGUAGUAGGACAUCUUUAACUCUGGAUCCCCACCUUUUGUAUUGAUGAUAUUUUAUAUGGUCUCAUAUAUACAUAGAUAUAACUUGGAUGAAUGUUCUUUAGAUGAAGAAUCAAGUUCGAGCUUACUUUGCUGAGGCCAAAUGGUUACAUGAAGAACACGUACCAACAAUUGAAGACUACAUGCGUGUUGCACUAGUAAGCUCUGGAUACUGCAUGCUUGUAACCACGUCCUUGGUGGGAAUGGGAGAAAUAGCAACAAAGGAGGCCUUUGAUUGGAUGACCAGCGAUCCUAAGAUUAUGUCAUCUUCAAAUUUCAUUGCGAGGCUCAUGGAUGACAUCAAAUCACAUAAGGUAUGCAGAAUAUGUGAUUCAAAUGGGGAGACUAAAACACUAUGGUUUUUCCUCAACUUUUGUAUUAUACAUGCAGUUUGAGCAAAAGAGACGACAUGUGGCCUCAGCUGUUGAAUGUUACAUGAAGCAAUAUGGUGUCUCUGAGGAACAAGUAUACAGUGAAUUUCAAAAGCAAAUUGAGAAUGCAUGGCUGGAUAUUAACCAGGAAUGCCUCAAACCUACUGCUGUUUCAAUGCCUCUCCUUGCUCGUAUUCUCAAUCUUACACGAACCGCGGAUGUCUUUUACAAAGAGCAAGAUUCGUUCACACAUGUUGGGAAAGUGAUGAGGGAUAACAUUGCGUCUGUCUUCAUUAACGCUGUAAUAUAACCAAAUAGAGUAGUUGAUUACCGUCCCCUAUGUAUUGCCUUGUGGAAGCAGUAAUAUCUAAUAAAUCACUAUAAUAAGGUGAACGAGUGAUAUGUAAUAAAUCAUUGUAAUACGGUAAGGGGACACAUUAUAUGUAGCACCUAGUUUCUCUGGAUUCAUAGUGUUUUACUUUGGAAUAUUACCUGAAUAUUUAAAUAAGAAGAUGUAUUACUUAAAUCACCUAAUAUAUAUAUAUAUAUAAUAAACUUUAUUAUAUUAUAUUCUUUAAUACAUAUGUAUUAUUGUCAUUCAAUAUGAGGAGUAUUGAUACUGAGUCUUAAAAUACAUAUGUAUGUAGAAUAUAUGCCUACAACAAAUCUGGAUCUCCUUGUUAAUGUGUAAUGGUGUUUUGGAGUACUACAAUACUCACCAAAUAUUUUCUUUUCACUUUAUAAUGGACACUAACUUGUGAGUUUAAAGUUAAUUAAAUAUUUAACUCUAUAGAGAAUUAUUAUUGUUGUUGUUGUUGCUAGCGUUAUUAUUAUUUAUUAAUUCAUUAUUAUGAAAAUUAUUAUUAUUAUUAUUAUUACUAUUUAAUUAUUAUUAUUAUUAUUAUUAUUAUUAGCUAUUAAUUUUAGUUUUUUCCUUUACAUCUUUUCUUUCUUGUUAUUUAUUAUAUACUUCAUAAAAUUACAAGUUAUGAUCUUUUAUUAGGUUGAAAUUGGAAGUUCAAGUUCAUUUAAGUAUGGCACAGUUUACUUAGCGGUUCACUAAUUUUGUAAAAACUUCGAUGCAUUUAUAGGAUAAUUAAAUAAUUCAACUAACUUAUCAUUUUACUAAUUAAGGUUUUUUUUAACCCUUUUACGUGUAAGAAUAUAUAAAUUUCUAGUUCAAUGUCGAAACUUUGGAAUUGCAUGAAUAUGAAAGUGAAAUUGAUAACAUUUUUUUUUUCUGAAGAAUUGUGCUUUGAAGUGAGAUGGGCCUGAAAAUUGAUAUAACAUCCUCUUAUCAUCCACAUUUAAGUUCAAGAUUCAAAUAAAGUGUAAAAAUUGAGUUAAAAGAUAUUAUCAUUCAUUAAUCCUUAAAAUGCCCUUAACCCUUGCAUAAACACACAAUGAAUGUAAAUUUCAAUUUCUUUGUAUUUUUUUUCCCAGUCUAUUCCCUAUUACCUAUUACCCAUUACCCAUUUCUACCUUUUUGUUUUCUUUUUCAUUUUUUCUUUUCUUCCCAUCUAUAGUUCUAUUUUAUGCCCAAUGUUAAUCUCUCAUAAUUAUAUUCCCAUUUUCAUUCGAUCCAUUAUUAUAUCAUUAACAACCAUAUUAAUUGCUAUUAAUUUUAUAUUUACCUUACAAUUCAUCCAAAUAUUUUUCAUUUGUAUUUAUCUUUUAGUUGAACUUUCAUUUUUUAUUUUAAAUUUACAUUACCUUUUUAUUUAUAUUUUUCCCUUAUUUUUAAUUAUUUUCUAUAGUUUCCACAUUAACCAUAUUUUUUAAAAUUUUAAAAUUGACUAUCACUUCACUCUUAAUUUUUUUUAUAUAGCUUUUUAAGUUUUAAUGUUUUUAUUUUAAAUUUAAAAAAAAAUUAUUGAGAAAAUAACUAAUAUAUAAAGUUCUAAUAUUAUAUUAAUAAUUUUUCUUAUCUAAAUAAACUAAUGAAAAGUAUUUUUACUAACAACAAGAAAAUUGUGAACACAAUUUUUUAGUGAAACUUUAGAAAUUAAAUUUCAAAUAAAGUAUGUUAUAUCAAAUUUUAUCUAAAAUAUGUUGAAAGUGGUAUUUAAUUUUUUUUAUUGACUUUCAAACUUAUUAAAUUUUUUACUUGAAAGAUAAUAGAACAUGUUUAAAGAAAAUUAGUUUUUCAUUUUUUUAAAUAAAUGAGUAUAAAUAUUUUUAAAAAAUUUAAGAUAAUCUUAGUAAAAAAUUUGAUAAAUGUGAUUACAAUUUUAAAUUAGAUUUUUAAAUAUAGAUUCAUUUGGAUAAAAUUUCACAAAAAAAAAAUGGUGGAAAAAAAGGAACAUUGCUAAAACUACAAAAACAAAAUAUGCAAUUACAAAAUUUUGAUAAUGAAAUUUAAAAAUAAGAGUCGAAACAAUUCUUAGGUGAGAUAAUUUGAUUGGGGAGAUUAUGCAAUUCUUGAGUGAAAAGAAAAAAGCGGGAGAGUUUUUGAGAAUAACUUAAAAUCCUUGACAAAAAAUAGUAUUGUACACUCUUGUAUAAUUAGUAAAUUUGUCUUGUACAAUUAGUGUAAUCAAUAAUUCAGAUUCCAUAUAUUUCCUUGUGAAUAUAUGUUAAUAGGUUAAUUAACCAUGUUUGCAUUGGUUUGGUUUAAGAGAACAGGAAAAGUUGUUGUACAAUUUUGUUCCAUGAUUAUCAUUAAUAGGGUAUAUAUUCAAAUGAUCAUAUACAAGUUAGAUAAAGUGCAUGAGAUGAGUAUAUGAUUAAUCGAUGUGUAUGAGGAAUGUCAUCCAUCCUUGACUGGCAGAAUCACUUAAAUUCUUCACAAAUGACAACCUUGUGCACCUUUGUACAGUUAGCAUAUUUGUCUUGUAUACUUAAUGUAAAUAUAUUGUAUAGUGAACCAAAUUUCAUAUACCCUUUACUCAAUGUGUGUCCAUAGAUAGGUAGGUUAAACAUGUUUCCACUAGUUUAAUUCACAAAAUAGUGGAAGACGUAAAAACAAAAUUUUUCCUCAAACAUCAUUAGUGAGAUAAGUAUUCGAAUUGUCAUGUACAAGUUAAAUAAAGUGCAUGACUUGGGUGUGUGAUAGAAGAAUGUGUGAUAUGAGAGUGUGCAAUCCUUAAAUGGCAAGACAAAAAAAAAAUUGCAAGAACAAAAAGUGAGAAAAUCUUUAGGUAAUUAAUCAUGUUUUUUGAGUGACUCUAAUUAAUAAAUUAGCUCUAAGUGACUCUAAUUAAUUAAUAGCACAUUCCAGAAAGUCAAUUUAUAAUAUCUAGUACAAGCUUGCAUUUUUACCAAGACGCUUUUAUGUAGACUUAUGAAUUACAAAUACCCAAAAUACUCUCAAAGCAUUCCAUCAUGAAAUAGGAGCUCAAGUAGAGACCAUUGAGACCUAUAGGAAAACACUAACUCCUUCAAAAUCUAAUGUUGAAUUUGACUUUACACUCUACUAAAGAGAGUCAACUACACCCUAAUAUCUUAUGAAAUUACAAUGAGCGAAGAUCAAGUCUAUGACCUACUAUUCAUUGCAUGUAAACUCUUCAUAAAUCGAUGUCUGUAAUUUAACAAGAUAGUGUUAUUACCUAUCAAACUUAUCUCUUUAAUCCUUAAAUUAUAGAUCUCACUUCUUAUGUGAUCAACUGACAUACUUUGCCUUAGAGAAGUAUUAUCUUUCGAUGUGAAAAUUUAGUGGGUGUUAAUUGACUUUUUGGUAGUUCUUAAAGAAUAAUUUCCUCAAAUAACAAAAGAAGCACAUAAAAAAAAUGCAAUAAAAAAUAAUUGUGGUGGUCUCAAAGUGACUUGGCCAAAAGUUAAAUAAUUGGAGGAUGACAACACGGAACAAGGACUUUUCAAACAGUUAUAUACAAACUUAAUAUAAUAAGGGUUUUUUUAAUGAUUAUUUUGGGAAAAAAAUUUUAAAUAGGGGAGGAUAUAAUUAUAUAAAAAUAUGUGUAUGCAUAUCAAUACAUGUGUAUAUUUAUACGUAUUUUUACAUAUUAAUUUAAUAAAGUAAAAUAAAAAUCAAUUGGUAUGACAAACAAAAUUAAAGUAAUAACAAUCCUAUAAGAAAAUAAAUAAAUAAAUAAAUGAACAAAAGUAAGUUUGUGUCAAAAAAAUAUAGUAAAAAAAUAAAAAUCCUUGUGGAAAAACUAAUUGCUAAUAUUUUUUAUUUUAAAAACAUUUCUAAUAUUAACCUAUAUCGAAACUAUUUAAUUUUAUUACAUUUCAUGGAAAUAAACUUCCUGUAAUAAAAAUAUUUUCUUUUAGGUAUCUAUAGACGAGAAAAAAAUAUUUGAUAUAUGAUUAGAAAAAUGUUAGUGUCCGAAAAUCGAAAAAUGUCCUUGGAAGAUUGUAUUUAUUUCCCCUGAAUUUUCGGUUUAUCCGGUACGCUCCAUGCCAAACACUGCCCGUGUUUUACGCGGUUUGCAACCCAUACUCCAUGCUCCAUGUCGUAAACCAAUGAGAUUAAAGAUUAGUCUGACAGCUUCAUUGGAAAAAUUCAAAACUAAUGGAAAGAAUGAAUAAAAAAAUGAAAGAAAAUGAAUUGGUCCACAUGUGAAAAGGAGAGAGCUGGUCGUUGAAUGGGAAAUGGAGGAAAAUAGAAGAAAAAUGACAAAGGAAGGAGCCAAGAAAAGGAAGGAGGAAAAUAUAGUAUUUCUUGUUAAGCUAUAAUUUGACCUUGACCAUAAAGCUCAAUCAAACAUAUUUACUGCACUGUUCUUCUAAACCAUAUAUGCAGUUUGAGCAAAAGAGAGGACAUGUUGCCUCAGGCGUUGAAUGUUACAUGAAGCAAUACGGUGCCUCUGAGGAAGAGGUAUACGAUAAGUUUCAGAAGCAAGUUGAGGAUGCAUGCAAGGAUAUUAAUGAGGAGUUCCUACGACCUACGGCUGUUCCGAUGCCUCUCCUUAUGCGUGUGCUUAAUCUUUCUCGAGUGAUGUAUGUGAUCUACACGGGGGGAGAUGGGUACACUCAUGUUGGAAAAGUGAUGAAGAAUAAUGUUGCAUCACUGCUCAUUCACCCUAUCGCAUGACCAAAUGGAUCAAGUUGAUGAGCAUCUACAUAUUCUGCCAUACCUAAUGCAUCACUGCUCAUUUGAAUAUAUGUUUAAAACACAUGGAUCAAGUUUGAUACUUUUCUGUCAUUUAAAGUUCACGUGAGGGAGAAAAUUCUCCAUAGAAAAUCACUUGGCGGAGAAGAUUCAAACAACACGUGUAUUCACUAUGGAAGUUACCAGGAAAAGGGUUUAGAACAUACAAAGACAUAAAACACUAAAAAAUUCAUCCUAACGGGUAAAAUAUGAUUAUGAUUAUUAUUAUUAUUAUAAUAUUAGACAUGCUAAAAGUUUUAUUAUAUACCAUGUAAAAAAUAAAUGUUAUGAUAUUACAUUAAACUAUGCAGAGUUUAAAUUUUUGCCAAAAAAAAAAAAAAAAGAAAAAAAAAAUUGGAGAAUCAAAUUCAAUCAACUCAUCAUUUUCCAAGCAAGGAUUACGAUAUUGAAAAUUAUAGAUAGAUCGAUGAUUAUAUUUUUAAAAAACAUUGGAAUGAAAUAAUAAUACAUGUAUAGAAGUUUUUUAAAUAAUAUAUAUAUAUAUAUAUAUAUAUAUAUAUAUAUAUAUAUAUAUAAUAACAUUUGUGUGAUAUUGAAUAAUAAUCCAUAGAGCUUGAAAAUGCAUUUAAUUAUAAAAUAUAUAUGAUUGCAUGUAAUUUGAAAAUAAGUAUUUAUAAUUUCAUUUACGACUUUAUUUCUUCCUCAUUAUUUAAUUAAUAUAGACAAGGUAUAUAUAAAAAAAAGACUUUAGUGAAUGCAACUUCAAAUGACGAAUAAUGCACGGUAGCAGUAAGCGAAGACUCAUUAUUUUGACUUCAAGGCAUUAAUUCAUAUUUUAUCCAUUACACAACAAAAUAUAUAUAAAUAUCCUUAUAAAAAAUAUAUACAAUAUUUAUAGGUAACAACUUUCUUCUUAAGCAAAGCAGCCAAGUAAGACUACAAAAUCUAUACCAAACAAAAUAUCUACUAGGAAUAAAAUUGAUUGGCUCGAACUCAAACUACCUAUGGACAAAUUUGGAUAAUUAUUUCCAACAUUUAAAUUGAUUGGGCUUAGGUUAAAGUAUUCUUCAACUCUUAAGUCAAUUUUAGUUGGGCUCUUACCAAGGUUGUGACAUCUCGAAUCUAACCAAAAGUUGAUAUAAUAUUUAUAUAAUAAUUAUAAUUUAUAUUAUUAUGGACUCAUGCACAUUUUUCAUUUAUUAUGAAAAAUGAUUAUUUGAAAACCCUUUUUAGGUUUUUUAGAGUGAUCAUUUAUUUUAUUUAUUUUUCAAAAAGGAAAACAAAAUAAGAAAAAAAAAAAAAAAAAGACAAGUUCAUAAACCAAGAUUGAGUAAGAAGUCAAAUUACCUAUUGGAAAAAUACAAAGAUAAGUCAUACAAAACAACCCUCUAAGCUUAUAUACUUACAAUCUUUAUUAAGCAAAUGAAAUGAAUUAUGACAAUUAAAUAAUUGAUUAUGGAUACUCAAGAAAAGAAAAACACAAAUAUAAAACAAGUCAUGGUGUUUAUCAUGUUAAAAUAAUGUAAAAAAAAAAAACAAAUGAUAAAAGAAUUUGCAUAAAUUGAUUUAUGAAACUAAUUAAAAACAUGGGUUUAAUUAUUUCUAAAUUCAAAGGAUUAAAAAAGUUAUUCCAAUUUGAUGAUUUCAAUUGAUUUUAAGUACAAAAGAAAGUUUUGAUUUCAAAUUUUUUUUUGAAGAAAAAAAUGCUUCAAAUCAUAGAGAUCAUCAUUUAUAUCAGCAAUGCCAUGAUAGUUAUCAUAGGUGCUUUGUAAUGCUUGUUCUAUCUCGUUUUCAAAGUGGUAUGCCACCCCAAGCCGUUGAAUUGCAUCGAUAAACUUCAGCUGUUUCGAAGGGUUACUAGCUGCAGCAAUCAGCUCUCUUCUAACUUCCUCCUUUAGAUCUUCCAACUGCUGCUCUUUAUGGGCCAGAGUUAUCUGUAUCAAUAAAUUGCAAGAACAAAAAGUGUGAAAAUCUUUAGAUAUUGUUAUGUAAACUGCAUAUAUGAUCAGAAAAUUACCUCAUCAUCAGGAAUGUUGCUCACGAUGAAACUAUUGGCCCAAAUGCUAGGCUGAUAAUUUGCAGUCCGGCGAUUAGUCUCUGGAUUAGCAACUGGGGCUGGAGAAGACAUGUUACUGGUAGCGAGAAUUAAGGGCAUGUGUAACUCACUGGAGCACUCCAUAUAUGAAUAAGAUAGCUUGCAAUCUUCGGUAUUUAUAGGAUGGGAAAUCGUUCAUUACAAUUAUUGAAUAUCAAUCCCAGAUCCCCAGUAGCAUGGAUUCAAUUAAUUCAAGGUCAUCUAUCAUAUUUAAACCACGUUUAUUAAAAAUUAAAUAUUUAAAAUAUGUUUUUAUUUCUCUUAGAAAUACGAAAAUUGUAGCUUAUUCCCUUAAUAAUUCUCAGUAUCCAAUCAGCCACCAAACAGUGACUAAGACUUUCACGUGAAGAUCGUUGGGAAGGUUAAUUUAAAAAUAUUUUAAAAUACACGUAAGUUUUCAAAAAUCAAAUAAUUAUUUCUUGAAAUAAAAUUAUAUAAAAAAUAAUAAUUUAUCACUUUAAGUUAAUAAAAGCAUCUUACAAAUAAGUAUAUUAAAAAAAUAUAUAAUAUAAUAUGGGAUACAAAUCAUUGUGAAAAAUGUUCUAUGAUAAAUAAAAUUCCUUCUAAUCUUGUAAUUAAUAAUAAUUUUAUAUUAUAUAUUAUAUAAAUCAUUUCAUCUUCCUAUCUUUUUUAAUAAAUUGAAUAAAAUUUUUGUUGGUUGGCAUCAAUAAUAAAAUAAAAUAAAAAUUAGAACUUAAAAGUUAAAAAUAUAACAAAUAAAAUAUUGACUUUUAUUUCACUCAUAACAUGUCUGUUAAAAAUAUAGAUAUCAAGAAAGAAAAAUAUAAUAUGGGUCAAUAUUUUAUUUAAUUUUUUUUAUUUUAAUUGUAUUUAAUUUUUAAGUAUUUUGGUUUUAAUUGUAUUUUUAAUUUUUAAAAUUUCUUAUUUUAUAGUUGUUCAAUAUUCUUAAGAAUGUUUGUUUAUAAAGAGAAAAAAAAAAGUCAUAAAUUCGUCUCACAACACCAUGACUAAAAGGGAGAUUGGUUCUUUACAAUUAAACAUCUACACGUUUAUUUGUUUAUUGAUAUUAUUGAUGUAAGAGAUAAAAUGAUCAUUUUAGGAAAUAAUUAUUUAACUUAUGAGAAAUGUAUGUGUUUUAAAAUAUAUUUAAAUGGAUGAAAAUAAAACUAAUUUAUAAAAUUUUGAAUUUCUUUUUCAAAUUAGUGAGUCAUAACCUAGUUUUCCCUUAAUAUUUCAUUGUACAAUAAAAUUAAUAUCAUGGUAAUAAAAGAAUUUGGAUAUAACUAGGGAACUAAGUUCUUUUAUAUACAACACAAAAAUUAGUGUCUAGAUGAAAAGAAAAUUGCAAAUAAUUUGUUUUUCAAUCACACCUAUUGUAAGAAUCAUAUUAUUAAUUAUUUUGAUUCUUAAUUAACAAUAAUUAAGAAUAAUAUAAAUAUAUAUUUUUUUUAAUUAAAAUGUGAUUUGAGUUAGGAUAACUCUUAAAUUUUUGGCAAAUUUUCAAUGCCAAUAUUUCAUUUAUAUAAAACCACAUAAUAUUUCCUUGAUAUAAAAAUUAGGUCUAAAUGAUGCUUGAUAUGUCAAAUGUCCUUUCAAACAUUGAAAAAGUUAAAAAAAAAAAAAAAAAACAUUGAAAGUUAUGUGAUUCAAUUAAACCACAAAUUCCUUAGAGGAGAUGUAUAUAACCAGCCAAUCACUUUAUCAUAUGAAAAUCAUUCCUCCACCUUAUCAUAAUAAUUGAUUCUUCACCUAUCAAUAAUUUUAAAUUCCCCUAAUAUGGCAAUUUACAUCUCCUCUUUCUAUCAAUUUCUAGACCCAACCUUAUAUUAAUUUCUAAAAAUUUCAUCCCUUAAAUCGGAGUGGCAUGACAUUAUUUAGUAAAUUCCAAUAAAACUAUAAGAGUUCUAAACAAUCAAUGAAUCCAAAAUAAUCAUUUAAGUUUUAUUAAAUCAUUAUAUUUAUUUAUUAAACAUCUUUUAAGUCAAACUUAUUAUAUAAUAAGGCUUAAUUAUUUUAUAAUUUAUUUAUUUUAAUAGUUAAGAAAAUUGGAGGAUGCAUUGAAUUGAGCAAAACUAAAUCUCAAUCAUAAAUGAGCAAGCCUAUUUUAUAAAGAGACAAUAAAGUUUGGAAGGACCAUCUAUGGUCGAAUUCAUACACCAAAAUCUCUAGAAAAUCCGAGUGGGCACCAUCACCAUUGAAUAACGGCCCUACUUGGUAUGUGGGGUGAUGUUGUGGGUUUUGGAUGUUAAUAUGAAAAAAAGAGUCGAGUGUUUUGCAAAUGGCCGGCCGCCCUACUUGGUAUUACUGAGUGUGGAUAUGUUGGAGUUGUUUUGGGGCUUAAAGUUUUAGUUUGACUUGUUUAAAUUUCCUUUUUUUCAUGUACAUUGUAUUGACUCUUCUCAUCAUUGUUGUCGCAUUCCUCGGUCCUUAUUUUAAUAAUUUAUUAUAUUUUUUAUAUGAAAUGCAAAAUAUUUGAGUACUUUUUGAGUGGUUGCUUAUAAUAUGCAGUGAAAUUUGUUCCUACUAUUAUUUGUUAAAAGGGUAAAUAUUUUAGUGGUUGCUAUUUCUAAAGAAAUUAAGAUUUGGUUCACUUUUUCAAAAAUUAAUUUUUGCUUCCAAUAACAAAUAUAUAUAUAUAUAUGAAAAAAAUAUGAAAAUGAAAACAUGUCUAUGUGUUAAUUGUUCCAAAAAUAGAUUUUUGAAAAUAGGGUAUUUUUUAGGAAAAGUUUUAAUUGUUUUUAGUUGUUUUUUUUUUUUUUGUGAAUGUUUAAAAAAUAAUAUAUAAAUAAAAAAAUGAUUAAAAAUAAGGUAGUAUAUAUAAAAGUUUUUUUUAUUGUAGAGAAAUUUGAAAAACACGCUUUUAAUGUUAGAAAAUGAUUUUUAUACAAUAAAAAAACUAUUACAAAACAGAGUAGUCAAAUAAGCAAUUCUAUGACACUUUCCUUUCAUCUUUAGAUUUUGUCAUGGUAAUCAAAUUACCAAUUAUGAUUAGAAUUCCUUUUCUAUUAAUUAAGUCUAUAAAUUCAUUGUUUUAGCUAUGAGUUUAGUAAAUUUUUAACUAAAAAUUUGAAAAAAAUAAAAAUAAAAUUACUAUUCAUAUAUAUUUUCUUUUUUUGCUUUUUUUUUUUUUUUUUUUUGAGAAUUUUGUUAACUCAUCCCUCUUGGUGUUCCUCAAUUGGAAUCAACAAGAAGGGUUUUUUUUUUUAAUACUACUUUUUUGUCUUUUGAGAAUUUGGUUCAAUAAAGGGUUUGAUUUUAAAUUUUUUUUAGAUACGUAUACUAAUUAUUAAUUAGGAUAUUUGAUUGAGACAUGAAUGAUCUUGGCUGAUUUGUAAACUCUAUUUGAAAGUAGUAAAAGAUUUGUGUAAUCAUUAUUUCGUUAUAAAAUUAUCUAAAGAAAAAUUAUUAGUGCUUUAGUGCAUUAGUCUAGUUAAAUUAAAUUUGUAAUUUUUUAGGACGUCAUAUAUAUAUAUAUAUAUAUAUAUAUAUAUAUAUAUAUAUAUAUAUAUNNNNNNNNNNNNNNNNNNNNNNNNNNNNNNNNNNNNNNNNNNNNNNNNNNNNNNNNNNNNNNNNNNNNNNNNNNNNNNNNNNNNNNNNNNNNNNNNNNNNUAUAUAUAUAUAUAUAUUAAUGAUUUAUACUCCCUUUAAAAAUUCAAGGUUGCUGCAUAAUUAAUUUGAAAUUAAACAGAUAAGUAUAACUAAAUUGAUUUAGAAUAAUGAGCAAAAGGGAUAAGUAUUUAUAUGGAAAUUGAAAAUAAAAAUUUGAAAAUGAAUUUAAAUUUAGAAUUUAAAAUAGAAAAACUUUCAAAUAUCUUUUAGUUUAAAAAAUAUUUUUAAAGUUUAAAAAAAUCUUUCCUUCCUAACUCUUUUUUUUUUUUUUUUGGUAAAAUAUCAUUUGAGAGUUUUCAAAGAUCACCCCCUAAGCUUAAAGUCAUUAUUCUUUGUGUUUAAUAAAAAAAGGUUUCAAAACAUUUUAAAUUUGUUUGUUGAGUUUGAGAUAGAAGAUCACAUCCUCUCAAGGUGUCGAGGAGUCCAGUAAGGAGAAUGAUACGUUUGCAUCGUGGACAUGAAAUUAGGUACAAUCAUUAGAUAACUUUAUGUACUUAUCCUUCAAAUUUAGUGGAUUUUAAAUUUAUGGUAUUUGACCUUGUGGUUCUUAUAUCAAAGUCUUUGGGAGGCUUUGUGAGUGAUUUCUAUGUAAUUGCUUGUAUUUUUAAGUGAUUUUUUAUUUUUAUUUAUUCUUUAUAUCCUAAUAAAAGAAAAUAUAGAAACUAAAGAUUGGCAUACAUUGAGCUAAAUUCAAGAAGACUAUCUAUUUACUCCCUUUGAGGUGAAUAGAUAAAAAAGAAAGAAGAGAAAUGGGAGAUUUGUCUUUCUUUAAAUCCAAACAAGAUGAUAAGUCCCAGUCAAAGAAUCAUGUACUACAACAAUUGAUUACAAGUAUUCUCUUUGGGUGAGAACAGACCACACAAAGAAAUUGGGUGAAAAAAAUUGUCAUAUCCUUUAUUGAUGUCCAUGAGCGAUUUUUAACAUAUGUCGCUAAAACUAAAGGUCUUUAACACCAUAAUAAAAUAACUUCAAAUAAUAAAAAAAAUAACAAUAGUGAAAGCAAAAAAUCAAUGCAAUAGCUUUUGUUCUUCUACCACUACUUAUGACUUGUUCCAGCACAUGGUUGUUAAUCCCUUCUAAUUCCUUGGCCAGAAGAGAAUAGCAGCUUGACUAUGAAAUGAUCCCACAACCACUUGAAUGCGUACGUGUCUUCACGCAUGAUAUUUUGGAUUUCUUUUGAUGGCACAUUGCAAACGUUGUAGCCCAUUCAAAGUCUUGUCAUUACUCCCCCCUCCAAGUGGAUGCUUGUCCUCAGGGUCCUAAUUUGGAAACCUCUGCAGAAGCUCUUCGGUACUCUCCCACGUAGCAUCCUCCACAGCCAGCAUACACCACUUGACUAAACUUUCUUCACGAAACUUAGCCCCGUGUUUCACCCAGCGAGUGUCUAGUAUGGCUUUGGGCUCAAUCACAAGUGUACCAUCAUCUGAAAGUGGCAGAAGUUCUGAACUGUUCACGGAACCAUCUUGAUUACUACUCAAAAAGUGCUAUUUCAUAGCUUGUAAUUAACUCUUUUAAACACUUUUGAGUAGUAGUUAUUACCUUUUAACCCAAUUAACAUAUUAAGGACCUUUGCAAUAAAUUCUAAUCAAAUACUGUUAAGUUUUGGUGUUUUGAUAGCUUUUUGAUCACCAAAGCAAUCCAAGAUUGAGGAGAGUUCUUUGGAAUCCAUGGAAAAGCAAUGGAAAGCUCAGAAACAUGAAGAACCGAAGCUUUGAAGUCCUUUGCCAUAAGCAAAUCUGGAAUGCAAGGAGGGGAAGCAAAGAGAAAUCUGCCAUGAAGCAUUCUAGAUGACAGUCAUGUAAGCCACUUUUGGAGUACUUCCUGGAGUCCAAUUUAUGUAUGCUAUAUGUCGUUUCGAAGCUUAAGAAGUCAACAAUCCAAUGCUUUAAACAGUACGCGAUUCGGAGUUGAAAUGAAGGAGUUACAACCAUUGGAAGCUGAUCACUCCAAGCUAAAGGAAAAUUUUGCACGGCUGCAAAAUCCCCCUUUUGCUGCGAAAAUGUUGUCCUUUUGUUGCGAAAAUUUCGCAGCCAUUUUGCACAAUGCAACAGAAUUUCUCCUGAAGCUUCCUGAUAUUUGCGACAUACAUUUUGAGAUUUUUUGCUUUAGAUAUUUGAUGUCUAAAUCCCCAAACUCUCCUUGUAACCCACCUAUCAUAGGAUUCCUUAAUCUUUAAGUAAGAACAAAGGGUGAAUAACCUCUUAUAUAUAGUUUGUAAUUUUCUUUAUACAAUGAUCAAUCUCUCGAGAGCCUGUUCUCAGAGAUGAAUCAUCAUGUAAUUGGCGAAAGGAAGAAAUAUAUUUUACAGAGCACUUGCUCUGUUUUUCCUUCAUAUUUUUGUUUUCUCAUUAUUUUUCUUUCUAGCCAAUCAAACUUUGAGGAUGUUUUCUCAGAGGAUGAGAGGCUAGGCUCUUCGUCUCUUGGAGUGAAGAAAGCCGGGUAAGUUUCCUCAUGCAUAAAUUGGAAGUUUUGUUGUUUUAGUUUUUAAUGAAGAGAAAGUGUGACCCGUUAAUGGUUUUUAUCUUUUUAGUUAACUUAAAAUGCCUUUAAAUCACCUGGGCCAACACUUGGUAAGGCAAGUGAUCUCCGUCCAUUGAGAUGCACUAGUUUACCUAUUGCGAGCCUUUGGGAGGUGGUUUAAAGGUAGGAUUUUCUAGAAUAGCCAACACUUGGUAAGCUUUUGGACUCCAAGGAGACAUCCAUUAGUUAUCUCUUGCGAGCUUUUGACGGGUAAUCCAAGGUUAAGGAUCACCUUGAAUGGCAAAUGCUAGGUGAGAGGCACGAGCCAUUGCAAGAUGCAUCAGUGAGAGAGAUUUAGUGUUUGAACCCAUUAAUGGGAAGCAUCUGUACCACACCGGUUAGAGAAUUAACUAUAUGUUAAUUCUCUAAUGCGAGAAAAAGAAACAAGUGACCGGAACUCCCUUUUUGUACAAGGAACCUGAGCCUAGUGAUUUGAAACUCCAAGAAACACUUUUCUUUGUAAGUAAAAUCAGUUGCUAUUUUUGGUUAGUUUAAAACCAAACCUUUUUCAUUCAAACAUCUUUAUGUUUUAUUUUAAAGCUAACCUUGAAAUGAAAAGACACCAAUUCAUCUUUGAAUUAAUAUCAAUUGUGGAGUGAAAAACCAUCCCAGUGAAUGACCCUAGAGCCACUAUGCUAUGCUAGCUAAGGCUAUCCUAGUACAUGGUGUAAUAGGUUAUAAAUUUUGUUGAUUACUCCUGAGGACCAAAAUCAAGGGACACCAGCUGGACACGAAUCAAAUGGCACCACUGUCAGGGACCAUUGAGAGGACAUGAAUCAACUGAGACACCAAUUGGGAACGCAUCACAUCUCCAAGCUUCUUCCUUAGCAUCAAUACAUGAAAAACAAGGUGCAAGCGCACAUUGUCGGGUAGCUUCAGUUUUUAUGCGACAGCUCCCACUCUCUCCUCGAUUAGAUAUGAUCUACAGUAUUUGCUUGCAAGGUUCUGAUGAGCGCGUUGAAAACGAAUUGUUGGCGAUAAGGCUGUAGUUUGAGGAAAACAAGAUUGCCUUCUUGAAAUGUAGCAUCCCAUCAGUCACGAUAUGCUAUUUGCUUCAUUCGAUUCCUUGUAAUUGCCAAGUUUUCCUUGAGAUGUUUCAAUAAUGCAUCUUGAGUUGCAAGGCUAUGAUCAACUUCAUCAACGGGCGAAGACCCCAUCGAAUACAAUGGAAUAACAGGGGAAAGUCACCCAUAAAGAGCCUGGAAUGGGGUCAUGCCUAUAGAAGAGUGAUAAGCAAUAUUAUACCAUAACUCAGCCCAAGGAAGAAAUGUACUCCAUUGGCGUGGUUGUUGAUAGAUGAAGCAAUGCAGAUAUUGUUCCACACAGCGGUUGACAACUUCAGACUGGGCAUCUGUUUGAGGAUGGUAGGUAAAACUCAUCUUGAGUUAUGUACCCAACAUUGUAAAAAAUUCCUACCAGAACUUACUGAUGAAAAUGGGGUCCCUAUCACUAACAAUAGACCGCGACAUUCCAUGUAGUUUCACAAUGCCCUCAACAAAUUUUUUUGCCACCACAUUUGCUGUAAAUGGAUGAGAUAAGGGCAGAAAAUGUGUGUAUUUGCUGAGACGAUCAACAAUCACCAGAAUGGUCUUUUGAUCAUGGGAGAAUGGUGUUUUGAGCAAAACUAAAUCUCAACCAUAACGUAUCUAGUUUGAUUUAAUGUGAUUUAGUGUAAGAAAUUUGAUGUGAUUUGGUGGACCAUCAUGUUUAUGAUAGCUAAAAACUAGUAGGCAAUGAAAAUAAAAUAAUUCAUUCUUGCAGAGAGAAAGGGCAAGAGACAAUAAAAUAAUAAUUAUAGCACUAGACUUCUUCCUUACUAUCUAGUUUUCCCAUCUUCUUUUGUUUGUGAUUCCACUUGGGCUUACCAUUCUAUUUUAUAGAAAUAUGAGGAAAUUAUUCUUAUAAUUAACGUAGAAAAGUGAGGCAUGUUGAUGUUGGAUAAUUGGAAGUAACAUGUCUCCCUGAUGUCGUCGCCCAAUCAACUGAGAGUGAGGCUUCCUUCUCCUCUCCUGCAAAAGACACACCCUCCGAAGCUCUAGUUAGAUUGACAAUUAGAGAGAAUACCCCAUAUUGGGAACUCAAGAAGUGGAUUUUCUUUGCCCUCCCCCUCCCCCUCUUUCUUUUUGAGCCAUGUGAAGACUUUUAUUGUGUUUGGAGCCUUGUCACAUCUAUGCUGGGAAGGUGCUUUGACUUUCACAAUCAUGAUGGCUGCACAGAGGGUGGCAAAGCAAUCAUUAUCCUUUAGGCGGUUGAUAGGGGUCGUCGAUGGGGUGACCUGGCGUCUUGCUUGUCACCUCAUUCUACAAGCGGUGCAGUGCAGAGCGCAGCAGGUUGCCUGAAAGGACAUGGGGAUGUCCCAUCGAGCGUGCUUUUGGUGAGGAGAAGAAUGAUUGCCCGCGAAAACCGGUCAGGGAUCCUGUUUGGAACGCAUCAUGCAUUCUUGGAGAAGCACGAGGCAGCCAACCAUUGACUAUUGGGGCCGAAUUAGGUGUUCCUAGCUAAUGGCACAUGUCUAGACAAAGAUGAAGGGAUGCCAUGUGUCCAACAAAAGGGUGUCUUGCGAGGUCAAGGCAAUCUGCCACAUGUCCGCCCAAAUGAGGUCCUUACAAUGCCCCCUUUUAACCCAAUUGUUUUGUCCGGACAGAAGAGGCGAGUUAGUGGAGGGAGAUCCAAUGUCCACAGAGAAGGCUGCACACAACGUCAUUUUCUUUAGCAAUGAGCAGUUCAACGCGGGGCCCCGUUUCCUCUUCCAUCCAUUUUCAUGUAGUUCUUGCACUAUACCCAGAUCCCUCCAGCCGUUUCCAUCCUAAUAUCGUUUGGGUGUUAAUGGGGUGAAGCAUCCUGAACAUGCUCUUCUAUCUGGACCUCUUCCUAUCAUAGGUCAUCUUCGUCUACACCAUCAAAAAGGGCAAAAAUGACAUCUUUAGCAUGUUCGCCCAUAUCCCGUCUCUCUAGUUGGUGAUGAGUCUUCUUGAAUUGAACAAAUGAGGGGCCAAGAGACAUGUGCUGGUCCGGGGACCAUGGGUCAGCUUGAUAGAGCAUCCAGAAAGGGAUUUCCACCCUAACUGUUCAUUAAAGAUUCCGAGUAAGAAUGGUUCUAAGUGCCUCUCCCCUUACUAUUUUCUGUUGAGUUAAUGUCACUUGGUCGCUAAUAUUUUAUGUUUUGGCUGGUGUAAGUAAGGAUAAGAGGGGUCGUCUGGUUGAGUGGGUGGAGAAGGCUUCAUUCGUUCGAAAUCAUUGCCAGCGAAAGGAACUACCAGACGCUUCUUUCUGCCCGAAACCUACUUGCAGUUAUCCGGGAGCCCCAACCGUACGUCCUCCUCAUCAUUCCUAGGCGGUUGCCUAAGGUUGUGGUGCCCCGGGAACACUUUGUCUUGAAGAAUCUUUCAUUUUACGAAGAGACGUGUGAGGCAGAUGCCAAGGCUCGUUAGGAGCGUCUUGAGUAGGGGGAUGAGAAAAUGUAGGAGGGGAAAUUAAGGAGAGCGUCGGGUGAGAAGGGUCAGGCCUUGUUGUCUGUGGCCUAUCCUCCAACUAAAAAGAAGAAGAAGAACAAGAAGAAGAAGAAGAAAAGACCCAACGUAAAAGUGACCAAGGCUUCGACUCUAGUUCCUGAAUCUCCGUCUACCUCUACUCUUUCCUCUUCCAAUUCGGCGGACAGCUCCAUCCAAGCUUCCAAGGGUGACUCCGAUUCCUUGAGGCUCGAUCUAAGCGAUCCGGGGACUUGUCAUUCUGAGCCUGAGUCAGUGCCUAUAGCCCUUAGAGUUAUAGACGAACCAGAAGCAGAGGAAGACAUGUCAACUGAUUUGAGAGUCGGUUUUAAGGAGAGGCACCGUAAACGUCUGCAUGAGGCUAUCCAUAUGGUCCCUCCUCCAACCAAAAGGGCUUGCCCGGAAGGGGCUCGGGAGGAGCCUAGGAGACAGGUCCUUCCAAUGCCAAUGCCCCCGUUGGAUACCGUGGGGCCUAGCAGCACGCUUGUUGUUGAGAAAGAGGUCGACCCGACUCUAGGUGGGGUCUCUGGUGGUGUUGCUCUUGUUGAGGAGGUUUUGGACCAAAAAGACACUCCUGCGUCCGCUCCUCCUCCAAGCUGGGAUGAAAUGAUGGAGAUGCUAAAGCACAUGUCAUGCUUCACUGAUGCUGAGCCACCUUUCACCAAGAUGUCAGAUUUAUUUCCUUUUACCAAGCGGAUAUCGAUGAAUUUAGGCGGUGACCCUCCCAUCUUCGUCUCAACCCGACUUCCUUUUGGCACGCCCGAGUCUACCACCUCCCGUAUUCAACAACUGCGGGAUUGCAUGGUGCAAGAGACUGCAAAAGUGGUAACUUCUUCUAUGUUGCCCCCUUUCCGGAUAAUGCACACCUCCCUAAUGGCGCUAACCCUAUUUCUAUUAUUUCUUUUAGUUGGUGGUUGGCAUCCGCAACAUGGUGCGUCAACGCACACUACUUUCAAAUCUGAAUUUUUCUUACUUGCUCUAUUGUUGCCCAAAUUUCUUAAUCAUUUUUCAUUCUCUAGUUAUUCUACCCAAGAAUUUGAAUAGAACCUCCAAAUAAUCAACCAAAAUUUCAACUCUUGACAAGCAACCACACUUGGACACUCAUAGUUCCACUCUCCUUACAGUAUAAGAUUCUAAACUUAAGGAAUUUUGAUUUCUUGUUCAGUUUUACUGUCUACUUUGCAUGUUCUUGGUAAGAUAAUGGUAGCUCCACACAAGCAGAAUGACAUGAGUAAGGUACAUGGUGCUACAAGGAUGAGAUGGAGACCAAAAAAAUUCUGUCAUGAUUUGAAUUGUUGCCCAAAUGAGGUUUUCUCAUUGCCAGGGUAUAACUCUCAAAUUAAGCUUAUUUGUAAUGUAUGGGAAAAUUAUAUGCUAAUAAUGUCCAAAAGCUUAUGGCUAGUGAGGUUUGUGUCUAUAUGAAUGUGCUUUUGAGCAUUGAACCUUAAUUUACAAUCUAGAGAUUUAAUAUGGAAUCUUGUUUUUUCUACAAAUGUUGGAGAUAUUACAACAUUAGAACUGUUGAUUUUCUAUGAUGUGUUGAUUGAUUACUACUCAAAAAGUGCUAUUUGAUAGCCUUUAAUUAAUCCUUUUAAACACUUUUGAGUAGUAGUUUAGGCCUUUUAACUCAAUUGGCAUGUUAAGGAUCCUUUAAAGCAAUUUUGAUCACUUUGUGUAAGUUUUGGUGUUUUUGUUAGUAUUUUGAUCACCAAAGCAAGUCAAGAAUGAGGAGAGCUAUGAGGAAUCUUGGGCAAAGCUUAGAAUUCAAUUGCCAAGAGUGAAUCCGGAUUGCAAGGAGAAAAAGCAAAGAGAAUCUGCCAUGAAGCCUAUUCUUGAUGACAGUCGUAGCAGCCACUUUUGGAGCACUUUCUGAAGUCCUAAUGAUGCAUGCUAUAUACCAUUUCAAAGAUUAGGAAGUCAACAAUCCAAUGCUUCAAACGGUGCGCGAUUCGGAGUUGAAACAAAGAAGUUGCAGCCAUUACAAGUCAAUCACUCUAAAGUGUUGCGGAAUCAGCCAUUUGUUGCGAGAAUUUCGCAGCACUUUUGUACAGUAAGGUGUUUCUCCUUCUGACGAUGCACGAACCAUGCCGCGAGAAGGGAGCUGGAAACCUCAAGGUGGAAGCCAACUUUGCAGCCUGGUGAAGAUAGCUUGGUGUUGCGAAAAUAUUUCGCAGCCCUCUCAGGUGUCUGCGAAAUUUCGCAGACACCACUUUUCUCCUGCGAAAUGGCUCCUGAAGCCUCCCGAAGCUUGCUACCGACAUUGGGAGAUAUUUUCCAUUAGAUUUUUGUUGUCUAAAUCCCAAAAUACUCCUUGUAAACCACCAAUUACAUGAUUCCUUAGUUUUUAAGUUAGUAAAAAGACCAAAUAUCUUUGUAAUAAUUAGUUUUAUAUUGUUUUGAUAUAAAUACCUCUCGGGAGCCUGUUCUCAGAGAGGAGUUCCUUCUGUAAACGUUUGGUAAGCUAGUAAAGUCUAUUUUCUUUCUACUGCCUUACCUUCUCACUUUGUAUUUUCAUUUUAUUUCUAAGUUAUGAAUUCUCUGAGGAGUUUUCCCCAGAGAAUGAGUAACUAAACCUCCAAUUCCUUGGAGCUAAGGUUGCCGGGGAAGGUUCCAAGUGCAAGAAUGCAAAGCUUUGUGGUUUUAGCUAUUAAUGAAGAGGAAGUGAAAUCCUUUAGUGAUUUCUAUGUUUUUAGUUAACUUAAAACACCUUGGAGUCACCUGGGCCAACACUUGGUAAGGCAAGUGAUUUCCAACCAUGGAAAUGCACUAGUUUACCCCUUGCGAGCCUCUGGUAGGUGACUUCAAGGUAGGAUUUUCUGGAAUUACCAACACUUGGUAAGCUUUUGGACUCCUAGGAGACAUCCAUUAGUUAUCUCUUGCGAGUUUGUGAAGGGGAAUCCAAGGUUAAAGAUCACCUUGAAUGGGUAAGUGCUCGUGAGAGGCAUGAACCAUUGCAAGUUGCAUCAGUGAGAGAAUUAAAGUGAAAUCUAAUUGAAGGAGUCUCUGUACAUCACCGGUUAGAGAAUUGACUCUAAGUUGAAUCUCUAAUGCGAGGAAAUGAACCAUCUGACCGGAGCUAUGUCUUUUGCAUGAGGAACCACCCCAGUGAACCUAAAUCUCCAAGGAAUGCUUUUCUUCCUAAAUUAUUCCAAACUUCUGUUAAGUUAGUUAGUUUAAGUCUAAACCUUUAUCAAUCAAAGUUUGUGUUUUACUUCUUAAGCUAACCGUGAAAUGAAACAAGACCAAUUCACUUGGAAUUGGUAUCAUUGAUUGCUUGCAAAUCAUUCCCAGUGAACGAUCCUAGAGCCACUAUACUAUAGUAGCUUUGUAUUUGCUACCCUAGUGUAUGGUGUUAUAGGUAUAAAUUUUGUUGAUCACUUCCUCAAUCAAGGAGCGCCAGCUGAACACAAAUCAGCUGAGACACCAAUUGGGCAUGAGUCAAAUGGCGCCGUUGCCGGGGAAUGAGUGUCAAGUUCAUUGUGAUACCAUUGUUGAGCACUUGUGAUUUUCAUCACAAGUUGGUAAAGUUUCUUUCAGUUUACUAAUUUUCAUUCUUUCUUUGUUAAUUCAUAAUCUAAGUUUAUCUUUUUAAAUUUUAGUCUAGUUUAAUUUUGUUGUUGUAGCCCUGUUUUUCUUUGUGUCUUCUGUUUUUAUUUAAGUUGCAGCUGAAUACUAGUUGUGUAUGCCCAACUGGAUACGAGACAUUGGAGGUAGGCUUGUUAAGUGUGAUACACCUCAGAAAGGAGAAUUUGAAGUAAUCUUGAACAUCAUGGAGGCUGCACCUGAAGAUCAGCAUAGUCACCAAGGUCGUCAAGACAAUCUCAAUGAAUUCAGAUCAAUGAGGGACCGUAUGCAUCCACCUCGUAUGAGUGCACCAUCAUGUAUAGUGCCCCCUACAGAGCAGCUAGUGAUCAGACCAUAUCUUGUUCCACUUCUACCAACUUUCCAUGGGAUGGAAAGUGAGAAUCCGUAUGCACACAUCAAGGAAUUUGAAGAUGUUUGUAAUACAUUCCAAGAGGGAGGAGCUUCAAUUGAUUUGAUGAGGCUUAAGUUAUUUCCUUUCACUUUAAAGGAUAAGGCCAAAAUUUGGCUUAAUUCUUUAAGGCCAAGGAGUAUCCGCUCUUGGACUGAUUUACAAGCUGAGUUCCUUAAGAAAUUUUUUCCUACUCAUAGAACAAAUGGCUUGAAAAGGCAAAUUUCAAAUUUCUCAGCUAAAGAGAAUGAGAAAUUCUAUGAGUGUUGGGAAAGAUACAUGGAAGCUAUAAAUGCUUGUCCUCACCAUGGCUUUGAUACUUGGCUAUUGGUGAGCUAUUUUUAUGAUGGUAUGUCAUCCUCAAUGAAGUAACUCCUCGAGACAAUGUGUGGAGGAGAUUUCAUGAGCAAAAAUCCAAAGGAAGCUAUGGAUUUCUUGAGCUAUGUAGUUGAUGUUUCAAGGGGAUGGGAUGAACCAACCAAAGGAGAAGUAGGAAAGAUGAAGUCUCAGUUGAAUGCUUACAAUGCAAAGGCUGGGAUGUAUAAUUUAAAAGAAGAUGAUGACAUGAAAGCAAAGUUGGCAGCUAUGACAAGAAGAUUGGAGGAGCUGGAGCUGAAAAAAAUACAUGAAGUGCAAUCUGUUGCUGAAGCACCAGUGCAAGUGAAGCUGUGUCCCAAUUGUCAAUCAUUUGAACAUUUGGUGGAGGAGUGCCCUGCAAUUUCAGUUGAAAGGGAAAUGUAUAGAGAUCAAGCAAAUGUUGUUGGACAAUUUAGGCCCAAUAACAAUGCUCCUUAUGGAAAUACCUACAAUUCAAGUUGGAGGAAUCAUCCAAAUUUCUCAUGGAAGGCCAGAGCAACUCAAUACCAACAGCCGGAUCCACCAUCUCAACAAUCUUCAAGUAUUGAACAAAUAAUAGCCAAUCUCAGCAAGGUAGUGGGAGAUUUUGUGGGAAAGCAAGAAGCCACCAAUGCUCGAGUUGAUCAAAGAAUGGACAGAAUGGAGAGUGUGUUGAACAAAAGAAUGGAUGGAAUGCAAAAUGACAUGAAUCAAAAGUUUGAUAACAUCCAAUAUUCAAUUUCAAGGCUUACAAAUUUGAAUACACUGCAAGAAAAAGGAAGAUUUCCUUCUCAACCUAACCAAAAUCCCAAAGGUGUCCAUGAAGUGGAAAGCCAUGAGGGAGAAUCAUCACAGGUGAAAGAUGUGAAAGCUUUGAUCACUCUAAGGAGUGGUAAGAAAAUUGAGCAGCCAACACCCAAGCCACAUGUUGAAAAAGAAGAAGAGAUAAAGAAAGGGAAGGAAAUGGAAGAUAAAGAGAAUGAGAUCAGUGAAGAGAAGAAGGACUCUGAUUCAACAAUGAAAGCAAUUCCAGAGAAGGAGCUUCUGAAGGAAGAAAUGCUAAAGAAAUCAACUUUUCCACCUUUUCCUCAAGCAUUACAGGGGAAAAAGGGGGUUAGAAAUGCAGCUGAAAUCCUUGAAGUCUUGAGACAAGUGAAAGUUAAUAUUCCACUGUUGGAUAUGAUCAAACAAGUUCCAACGUAUGUAAAAUUCUUAAAGGACUUGUGUACUAUCAAAAGAGGGUUGACUGUAAACAAGAAAGCCUUCUUGACUGAGCAAGUAAGUGCAAUCUUACAAUGCAAGUCUCCUUUGAAGUACAAAGACCCUGGAAGUCCUACCAUUUCAGUCAUGAUUGGAGGAAAGGUAGUGGAGAAAGCCUUGCUAGAUUUAGGAGCAAGUGUGAAUUUGCUUCCAUACUCUGUCUACAAGCAACUAGGGCUUGGAGAGUUGAAGCCAACAACAAUCACCUUAUCUCUGGCAGAUAGAUCAGUGAAAAUUCCAAGAGGAGUAAUUGAGGAUGUAUUGGUUCAAGUAGAUAAUUUCUACUAUCCUGUAGAUUUUGUUGUUCUUGAUACUGAUCCAACUGUAAAGGAAGCUAAUUUAGUUCCUAUCAUCCUUGGAAGGCCAUUUCUUGCAACUUCAAAUGCAAUCAUCAACUGUAGAAAUGGGCUUAUGCAACUCACUUUUGGUAACAUGACACUGGAUCUAAAUAUUUUCUAUAUGUCUAAAAAGCAAAUCACUCCGGAAGAAGAAGAAGGUCCAGAAGAGCUAUGUAUAAUUGAUACUUUGGUGGAGGAGCACUGCAAUCAACAUAUGCAAGAAAAGUUGAAUGAAAGUCUUGAGGAUAUUGAGGAAGGUUUUUCUGAAUCUCCUAUUGGGCUUGCUACUCUACAAAGUUGGAAAAAGAUAGAAGGAAUUCUACCUUUGUUCAAUGAAGAAGAGGAGGCAUCUAUUGAAAAAGAAAUUCCAAAACUCAAUCUGAAGCCUUUACCUGUGGAGCUGAAAUAUACAUAUCUUGAAGCAAAUAAUCAAUGUCCUGUUGUGAUAUCCUCAUCUCUGACCAGUCAUCAAGAGAAUUGUUUAAUGGAAGUUCUUAGGAGGUGUAGGAAGGCAAUAGGAUGGCAAAUAUCUGAUUUGAAAGGCAUUAGUCCUUUAGUUUGUGCUCAUCAUAUAUAUAUGGAGGAGAAAGCAAAGCCAAUUCGUCAAUUUCAAAGAAGGUUGAAUCCUCAUCUACAAGAGGUGGUGCGAGCUAAGGUGCUGAAGCUACUUCAAGCAGGAAUCAUUUACCCUAUAUCUGAUAGCCCUUGGGUGAGUCCUACUCAAGUGGUACCAAAGAAGUCAGGGAUCACAGUGAUUCAAAAUGAAAAAGGGGAAGAAAUUACUACACGCCUCACUUCAGGUUGGAGGGUGUGUAUUGAUUAUAGAAAGCUGAAUGCUGUCACCAGGAAGGAUCAUUUUCCAUUGCCAUUUAUUGACCAAGUGCUGGAGAGAGUCUCUGGACAUCCAUUCUAUUGUUUCUUGGAUGGGUAUUCAGGGUAUUUUCAGAUUGAAAUUGAUUUGGCAGAUCAGGAAAAGACCACUUUUACAUGUCCAUUUGGAACAUUUGCUUAUAGAAGAAUGUCUUUUGGUUUAUGCAAUGCACCUGCUACAUUUCAAAGAUGUAUGUUGAGUAUUUUCAGUGAUAUGGUGGAGAGAAUUAUGGAGGUUUUCAUGGAUGACAUCACUGUAUAUGGAGGUACAUUUGAGGAAUGCUUGGUUAAUUUGGAAGCAGUUCUUCAUAGAUGCAUUGAAAAAGAUCUGGUGCUGAAUUGGGAAAAAUGCCAUUUUAUGGUACGUCAAGGAAUUGUCCUUGGCCAUAUCAUCUCUGAAAAAGGCAUUGAAGUUGAUAAAGCAAAGGUGGAGCUUAUUGCCAAAUUACCAUCUCCAACAACUGUGAAAGGAGUAAGGCAGUUCCUUGGCCAUGCAGGGUUCUAUAGGAGGUUUAUAAAAGGUUUUUCAAGUCUUUCAAAACCUCUUUGUGAACUGUUAGCUAAGGAUGCUAAGUUUAUAUGGGAUGAAAGGUGUCAGCAUAGCUUUGAUCAACUGAAGAAAUUUUUAACAACAACUCCAAUAGUGAGAGCCCCUAACUGGCAGUUACCUUUUGAACUGAUGUGUGAUGCCAGUGACUUUGCUAUAGGAGCUGUGCUUGGCCAAAGAGAAGAUGGGAAGCCCCAUGUGAUUUACUAUGCAAGUAAAACACUAAAUGAAGCUCAAAGGAACUACACAACUACAGAGAAAGAAUUGUUAGCUGUGGUAUUUGCUUUGGACAAAUUUCGAGCUUAUUUAGUGGGGUCUUUCAUCAUUGUCUUUACUGACCAUUCAACCUUGAAGUAUUUAUUGACAAAGCAAGAUGCAAAAGCAAGGUUGAUUAGAUGGAUUCUAUUGUUACAAGAGUUCGAUCUUCAAAUCAAAGAUAAGAAAGGAGUGGAGAAUGUAGUAGCUGACCACUUGUCAAGGUUAGUUAUAGCACAUAAUUCCCAUCCCUUACCUAUCAAUGAUGAUUUUCCUGAAGAAUCACUCAUAUUCCUAGUAAAAACUCCUUGGUAUGCUCAUAUUGCUAAUUAUUUAGUAACUGGUGAAAUUCCAAGUGAGUGGAAUGCACAGGACAAGAAGCACUUCUUUGCCAAAAUUCAUUCUUAUUAUUGGGAAGAGCCCUUUCUCUUUAAGUAUUGUGCAGAUCAGAUUAUAAGGAAGUGUGUCCCUGAAGAUGAGCAGCAAGGGAUUCUAUCUCAUUAUCAUGAGAAUGCAUGUGGAGGCCACUUUGCCUCUCAGAAAACAGCUAUGAAGGUAUUGCAGUCAGGGUUUACUUGGCCAUCUCUUUUCAAAGAUGCCCACAUCAUGUGUAGGAGUUGUGAUAGAUGCCAAAGGCUUGGAAAGCUAACAAAAAGAAAUCAAAUGCCUAUGAACCCCAUUCUAAUAGUUGAGUUAUUUGAUGUAUGGGGCAUUGACUUCAUGGGACCUUUCCCAAUGUCUUUUGGUAAUUCUUACAUUUUGGUAGGGGUAGAUUAUGUUUCUAAAUGGGUUGAGGCAAUCCCCUGUAAACAAAAUGAUCAUAGGGUGGUUCUCAAGUUUCUUAAAGAGAACAUAUUCUCAAGAUUUGGGGUGCCCAAGGCCAUAAUCAGUGAUGGAGGUGCUCAUUUUUGCAACAAACCUUUUGAAGCUCUGUUAUCCAAGUAUGGAGUGAAGCAUAAGGUGGCCACACCUUAUCAUCCUCAGACUUCCGGGCAAGUUGAGCUAGCUAACAGGGAAAUAAAGAACAUCUUGAUGAAAGUGGUGAAUUCCAACAGAAAAGAUUGGUCUAUUAGGCUUCAUGAUUCAUUGUGGGCAUAUAGAACAGCUUAUAAGACUAUUCUAGGGAUGUCUCCCUAUCGUCUUGUCUAUGGCAAAGCAUGCCAUCUCCCUGUGGAAGUUGAAUACAAAGCUUGGUGGGCAAUAAAGAAGCUGAAUAUGGACUUGAUCAAGGCCGGAGAAAAGAGAUUUCUAGACCUUAAUGAGAUGGAGGAAUUAAGAAAUAAUACUUAUAUCAAUUCCAAAGUUGCAAAACAGAGGAUGAAGAAGUGGCAUGAUCAACUCAUCUCCAACAAGGAAUUUCAGGAAGGGCAAAAAGUUUUGAUGUAUGACACAAGACUCCAUAUCUUUCCUGGGAAGCUCAAAUCAAGGUGGAUUGGUCCAUUUGUUAUUCACCGAGUAUAUUCCAAUGGAGUGGUGGACUUAUUGAAUUCCAAUGGCAAUGACAGCUUUAGAGUCAAUGGAUAUCGUCUUAAGCCGUUCAUGGAGUCAUUCAAAUCAGAAAAGGAGGCAAUCAACCUCCUUGAACCUCAAAAAGCCUAAGUGAAAAGGGUUUGUUGGACGUGGUUUUACCACAGUCCAAAAUUUUUGUAAAUUUUGUAAAUUUUCAAGUUGUUUUUAUGCUUUUGAUCUUAGUUAUUGAUCUUAAAUCAUGUUUUUAGGUGUGUUUUAAUCGUUUUAUAUGAUCCCAGGUGGAAGAAAUUUCAAGGGGAGUGAAAAGAAAAAAAUCGGGUCGAAAUUGGAGCUGAAACAGAGCAAAAACAGGGGAAAAACAAAGCUCUGCGAAAUUUCGCAGGGUGAAGGAAACCUCUGCGAACUGGGCAUUUUGUUGCCAAACCAUUCCGCAGCACUGUAGAAGUCUCUGCGAGUGUAUUUCGCAAUUGCGAAAGUGGUUUUGGCACACGAGUGCCACUUCGUAGUACAGUAGCACCCAUUUCGCAGCUGCGAAACUCAUUGCGAAAUGGAAAAGCGUGAUUUCGCACCAAAAGUCCCAUUCCGCAGGGCAUUUCGCAAUUGCGAAAGUGGUUUUGGCACACGAGUGCCACUUCGCAGCACAGUGACAUCAAUUUCGCAGUUGCGAAACUCACUGCGAAGUUGCUGCGAAAAUGGCAAGUUGCUGCGAAAUUGGCGUUUUGUUGCGAAACUUAAACUGACCCCUGAGCUUCCGUUUUUCCUAUUUAUACCGGUCAAAAGUUCUGCGAAAAGGGUUUCAAAAAUCAGAGCACCAUUCUCGCAGCCCCUUCGUCUUCUUCGCCAAGCCACGCCGUCCGUUUCUCCGGUCGUCUUCUCCGUUUAGCAGCGCCGGCCAAAGAUCGAUAUUCCAAAAUGGCACGAACGCGAGGGGCAAAGUCUUCAUCCCCUUCGAACCGCAAAAGGAGUCUGCGAAAGGAGCCAAGUUCAGGUUCUGUUCCAGAACCUGCUCCAAAGCCUUCGCCGUCGAGACCAAAUCCUCCUUCAGUGAAGCCGGCACCACCAAAGCCGCCGGCAAGGCGAUAUUUAACAAGGUCAGGCGGUCAGCCAUUGAAGAAGAAAACCAGGGUUGAGAGCUCUGAACCAAUUGAUUUGACUGAGCAAUCCCCUGAGAAAUCCCCAAAGCUAACACCGGUUCAAUCUCCGGUAUCUUCACCAAAUCCUUCACCGGUACAAAUUCCAGUGCCGUCACCGGUUCCCUCGCCAAUUCCCUCACCAGAAGCAACUCCAAUUCCAUCGCCGGUACCAUCUCCGGCACCCCAAGAAAAAGCUUAGGAGCCUCAAGCGCCAAUUCCAGAGCCCCAAAUUGCAGCUGAAGCACCUCUGGAAGAAGUGAUUAGGAGGCCAAUGCUGCCUCAGCCCCCAAUCAAAGGAAACUUGGAUUGUCGAACUCGGGCAUUCCAUUCUGAGCUUUGCUUCGAUUUAACAGCAUUCAGAGUGAGGCCAGAGCUUGCCCAAUCCUUCCAGCUACUAAGGAGAUAUCAUAUGGAGCAUCUGCUCGCUCCAAGGGAUUUUUUCUAUCCCCGGGUAGUCACGGACUUCUACUAGACCAUGACAACCAAAGAAGUAAGAAAUCCAACUCUGAUCCAUUUCACAAUUGAUGGAAGACAUGGAAUUUUGGGAGCAAGACAUAUUGCUGAAGCCCUGCAAAUUCCUUUUGAGCCAACCCAAUUCGACAAUUUUAAAGCUUGGGCAAAUCCUACUGAGUUAGAGAUGGUUCACAUCCUAACCAGAGGAGCUGCAAAUCGAUCGCAUUUGCUGAGGGGGGAGCUACCUCCAGUUAUGUUUUUGAUUGAUGCCUUUUUGAGGCAUAAUAUCUAUCCCCUGCAGCAUUGGACCCAAAGAAGGGGAAUUCUCCUAGAAGCCCUGUAUAAGAUGUCAGAAGGAUUCUUCUUUGGGCCUCAUCAUCUUAUCAUGGCAGCCCUUCUAUACUUUGAGGAGAAGGUUCACAAGAAGAAGGUUCACAAGAAGAAGCUUCAAAGAGCAGAUUGCAUUCCACUCCUCUUCCCACGGCUGCUAUGCCAAGUUUUGGAGCAUCUCGGAUACCCCUCUGAGCCUCAGCAGGAAAGAAAGAGAAUAUGCCGUGAGCCAUUUACCCUUGAUAAAUGGAAUAAUAUGACGGCCUACAAAGUUGAUCAGCCAGGGCAACCUCAGCCAGCUGCAAGGAGAGCCUCCCCAAGACGUAUACCUGAAGGUAUAACACUUGCUACUCCUGCCAUCCCUCGAGCUCCACCAACUACCCCAGCUGCAUCACAGCCAUCCACAUCAGCUGAGCCGAGGAUGGCCAUCCCUAUAUCCGAAUAUUGAGAGCUGUGCCGAGCAUUGGAGACUCUUACAGCUUCCCAGACCAAUCUUGCUCAGGAGUUGGCAGCCAUCAAAGCAUGCCAGGAGCAGAUGUUAGCCUCUCAGGCUCAACAAGCUGCCAUCCUAAGGCAGCUUCAAGUCCAUUUCGAUCUGCCACAAGCUGUAGAGCCCUCCACUGAGACUCCACCAGAGCCACACUCUCAGCCUUCAGAGUCUCAUCCUCCAGAGCCCGAAGCCCCAGUUGAUCCUCCUACUGAGGAGGCAGAUCCUUCUGCCUAGCACCAUCACCCCACUCAUCAGACAUUAUAUAUAUUUGCUAUUUAUGUUUUUAUGCUUGUUUUGUUUUAGUUGAAAUGAAAUCCCAGUAUUUUGGUACUAUAUAUGGGAUUCCUUGUGUUACUUGUCUUUAGCAUUGUAAUCAAAUGAACUCAAAGUAAUACAAGUUGAAUUUUUUUUUUCUUGUUAAAAGUUAGCAUUAAGUUCUCCUUAUUUCCUUUUCUCACAUAUUCUAUUUUUUUUGAAACAUGUGGUUUUCCCCAAUCAAUAUUCGAAUUUGAUAUCAGCAUGGAGGUACCACUUCCUCCCUUUUAUUACAGUCACUCAAAUCACAUUGAGGACAAUGCUCAGUUCGGUUGGGGGGUAUGAGGAAGGAAGUAUGCUAAAUCUUUUUGGUAUUGCAAUUAUAUUGGUUAAUUAGUUGUAGAUUUUACGUUUUACUAGUGUUACUCUAUUCUCCAUGAAUUUUGAGGAAAAUUUUCAAAUUAAACCAAGAGAAAUUGAACUGUUGUUUUUCACUUGACUUAGAGUAUGGAUUAUGCUUACUAAAGUGGUUCAAUUGUUGAAACUUCUACUGUAAUUGAAUUGAGUUCUUCCACUUUAAGCUAUCCACACAUUGUGCACAUUAGUUUCCGAUUAUAAGAUGAAAAGCUAUUACCCUCUUGACUUAGGAUAAUUUUGAGACUUGGUAUAUUUGACCUCAUUUGAUAAAAAUUGAAACACCCUGCAAAAGGCCAAUGAGCCUUUGAAAUAAAGAAAGUUGUUUGCUUGCCUUGAAACCCGAGCAAGGUCUGAGGGGCAUAUGGUGAAAGCCUUUAAAGCCUGGUGCCCUAAACCUUAAUUGGUUGGGAGUCACUGACCUCAAUGCUCGUUACAAGGGUGAAUAGGUAGAGUUAGCAUAUGGUAGAUGUUUGGGUAUUAGAAAUUCAUUCUUAAAAGUCCGGGGAAAAAUCCGAGGAGUUAGUGGUUGAAAGAUCCUUAAAACUUGGUGCCCUAAACCUUAAUUGGUUGGGAGUCAUCGAUGGACCCCCAUUACAUGGACAAGUCAGAAAGAGUACCCCAUAAAGCUACCUUGAAAAAAAAAAAAAAAAAAAAAAGAUGAAAGUGUGUUAUUUUCUUAUUGAUUUUGGUCAGUUUGCUAAAGUGUUGAAAAGAGAUAGGUUGGGGGUGAGAUUAGUUUAGCAUAUUAUUCUCGGAAUCUAAGGAACUAAUACACAUAGAUUUUUGUGGAAGAUUGAAAUUUAGUUCUUAGAAAGUGAAAUGAUUUUAAAACUUCGGUUUGCAUAAUGCACUCCCUUGAUUGACAGUGCUUAGCAUAGUUUGUUAUGACUCUUGUUGAGAUUUGGGUUUGUAUUUCUUUAAUGAUUCAUGUGAGAAUUAGAUCAUCAUGCCACUUAAGAAUUAUUUUCUUUUAGCAUGAUGUUGUAAAUUUUAGAUUAGUUGCUAUUUAUUUUCAUUUUUCUCUCCUAUAUUGCUAAGGGACUAGCAAUAUGUCGGUUGGGGGGAGUGAUUACUACUCAAAAAGUGCUAUUUGAUAGCCUUUAAUUAAUCCUUUUAAACACUUUUGAGUAGUAGUUUAGGCCUUUUAACUCAAUUGGCAUGUUAAGGAUCCUUUAAAGCAAUUUUGAUCACUUUGUGUAAGUUUUGGUGUUUUUGUUAGUAUUUUGAUCACCAAAGCAAGUCAAGAAUGAGGAGAGCUAUGAGGAAUCUUGGGCAAAGCUUAGAAUUCAAUUGCCAAGAGUGAAUCCGGAUUGCAAGGAGAAAAAGCAAAGAGAAUCUGCCAUGAAGCCUAUUCUUGAUGACAGUCGUAGCAGCCACUUUUGGAGCACUUUCUGAAGUCCUAAUGAUGCAUUCUAUAUACCAUUUCAAAGCUUAGGAAGUCAACAAUCCAACGCUUCAAACGGUGCGCGAUUCGGAGUUGAAACAAAGAAGUUGCAGCCAUUACAAGUCAAUCACUCUAAAGUGUUGCGGAAUCAGCCAUUUGUUGCGAGAAUUUCGCAGCACUUUUUUACAGUAAGGUGUUUCUCCUUCUGACGAUGCACGAACCAUGCCGCGAGAAGGGAGCUGGAAACCUCAAGGUGGAAGCCAACUUUGCAGCCUGGUGAAGAUAGCUUGGUGUUGCGAAAAUAUUUCGCAGCCCUCUCAGGUGUCUACGAAAUUUCGCAGACACCACUUUUCUCCUGCGAAAUGGCUCCUGAAGCCUCCCGAAGCUUGCUACCGACAUUGGGAGAUAUUUUCCAUUAGAUUUUUGUUGUCUAAAUCCCAAAAUACUCCUUGUAAACCACCAAUUACAUGAUUCCUUAGUUUUUAAGUUAGUAAAAAGACCAAAUAUCUUUGUAAUAAUUAGUUUUAUAUUGUUUUGAUAUAAAUACCUCUCGGGAGCCUGUUCUCAGAGAGGAGUUCCUUCUGUAAACGUUUGGUAAGCUAGUAAAGUCUAUUUUCUUUCUACUGCCUUACCUCCUCACUUUGUAUUUUCAUUUUAUUUCUAAGUUAUGAAUUCUCUGAGGAGUUUUCCCCAGAGAAUGAGUAACUAAACCUCCAAUUCCUUGGAGCUAAGGUUGCCGGGGAAGGUUCCAAGUGCAAGAAUGCAAAGCUCUGUGGUUUUAGCUAUUAAUGAAGAGGAAGUGAAAUCCUUUAGUGAUUUCUAUGUUUUUAGUUAACUUAAAACACCUUGGAGUCACCUGGGCCAACACUUGGUAAGGCAAGUGAUUUCCAACCAUGGAAAUGCACUAGUUUACCCCUUGCGAGCCUCUGGUAGGUGACUUCAAGGUAGGAUUUUCUGGAAUUACCAACACUUGGUAAGCUUUUGGACUCCUAGGAGACAUCCAUUAGUUAUCUCUUGCGAGUUUGUGAAGGGGAAUCCAAGGUUAAAGAUCACCUUGAAUGGGUAAGUGCUCGUGAGAGGCAUGAACCAUUGCAAGUUGCAUCAGUGAGAGAAUUAAAGUGAAAUCUAAUUGAAGGAGUCUCUGUACAUCACCGGUUAGAGAAUUGACUCUAAGUUGAAUCUCUAAUGCGAGGAAAUGAACCAUCUGACCGGAGCUAUGUCUUUUGCAUGAGGAACCACCCCAGUGAACCUAAAUCUCCAAGGAAUGCUUUUCUUCCUAAAUUAUUCCAAACUUCUGUUAAGUUAGUUAGUUUAAGUCUAAACCUUUACCAAUCAAAGUUUGUGUUUUACUUCUUAAGCUAACCGUGAAAUGAAACAAGACCAAUUCACUUGGAAUUGGUAUCAUUGAUUGCUUGCAAAUCAUUCCCAGUGAACGAUCCUAGAGCCACUAUACUAUAGUAGCUUUGUAUUUGCUACCCUAGUGUAUGGUGUUAUAGGUAUAAAUUUUGUUGAUCACUUCCUCAAUCAAGGAGCACCAGCUGAACACAAAUCAGCUGAGACACCAAUUGGGCAUGAGUCAUUGAUGUCUUUUGAUAAACUUAGAAUGAAUUGUGGACUUGGGAAGGAAGUAUUUCAUCAAUAAGCAUGUAAAAAACACCAUAAGCACAUGUCAAUAUGAAAAUGACUAAAUUGGGGCAUAAAUACCAAAAAAUGAAAACCUUGUACCUAUAGUAAAAUAAUGGAAGUUCAAACUUUGGAAAUCAUGUAUUUUUCCUUUUUAAACUGAUCCAUGCAAUGAAAACAUGAAAAAGAUUGUUGAGGUUGUGGCCAUUAACAAUAUAUCCCUAGAAGGAUAAUACAAAUCAUAAAGAGAAAAUUUGUAAAAAGGACACCGUUGGGCUAACCUAGAACUACAAGCUAGGACAAGAAUUGGUCACAACCAUGUACCUACAAAAUCUACUUAUAAUUUCUAGGGAACUUCGAAGUGCAUAUGCAUGUGUGUGUGUGUACAUGUUUGGAUGUAUAUAUAUGUUUACAAGAUAAAAACAAAUCCUUGUACUAGAUGUAGGCAAAGGUAUUCACUAGAUAUAAAAAUUUCCUUGUGUCACUUGUUGAGACAAGAGAAAUACCUAUUUGGAUGUGGUGAUUAGAUUUCAACAUAGCCUUCUGGAUGGUUUUUGAAUUAUGAGGCGGUGGUGUUUGUUGUACCCUUAAAUUUUACUCCGUAUAAAGUAAUUACUAAUUUAUAGAGGCAAAAAUUCCUUGUAUCAUGAAAGGAAUAGCAGUUUCUUGUUCAUACUAUUUUGUUUGGAAGUUGGGUUCCUAUAUUGUUCAAAAUGCUAUUUUGAUUGCUUGAUUGUUGCAACUCACAUUUCGUUUGUUGUUUGUAUUUUGUGUGCAGGGUAAUAUGAUACUAUCAGAUAUUGGACUUGCUGAGAAGCGAAUAAAUCAUGCUACUCUCAAUGGUAAUAAUAGUCUACCUAGUGUUUUGCAUCAGAAACACAAUUAAUAAUAUCAUGGCCUUGCCUCUAGUCCCAAUUGGUUUCUUUAGUUUUUGUCCAUGAAUGACACUUUAUUCAAAUAAGCAUUGGUGUGUUGUUACUGGUAUAAUAUUUUUUCUUAUUCAUAGAAAAGUAACUAUUUAAAUAUGUUGUUCUAUGUCCUCAUGGAUUUCUGUUGACAAAACAUCAAAUCUCAGAGUUUCUUGGCCUUACUUUUUGAGUGUCAAGUCAUUUUCUCAAUAUGUUGAUCUAAAAAAUCUCUUUUGUGUUCCAGGUUUGUUUUGUCGAUGCUAAUUGGGACUCACCAUCUGUAUGUAUCCAUUGUAUGAUUCUAUUAUUAUUAUUAUUAUUUUAUUUUUUUGCUGAAAAAAAGGUUUAUAAUAGAUAUCAUGUUCAAGAGAAGCAUUUUUGUUGACUUAUGAGUUUUGUAUUUCUCCAAAUUUUGGAAUAUUACCAUGAAGCUUUGGUGCCAAUCUUGAAAGGGUUAGCCCUUUUCUUUUUUUGUUUACCCAAUCUACACUUGCUAUCGGCGUUGAAAAGGAUCCAGAACAAAUUGCCAUUCAGUUAUGAAGUGGUUGGGAUAAAGCCAAGCUGUUAUUGCAGCAUGAAAUUGAAUGUAAUAUCAUAAUAUCUAGAUUCAAAUUCUCAGAAGAAAAAUGUUUCUGAUUCACUCCAUUUUUAUGGUGUUUUGAAGGAUUAAAUGGGGAACCUCACAAAUGAGCCUCACAAAAAUUUAAUAAUAAUAACCUAUAACUGCGGCUAACUCCAAAAGGCAACUAUAUGUCAUUUAGUGGGGUCAAAAACAAGAUGCAGCUAUAGGAACCAUUUGUUGACCUUUACUAUGGCUGCUACUAUUGCUCUGACUUUUGCUGCACUUUACAUGUGGUUGACCUAUAGUUGGGGCCAACUCUAAAAUGCAACUAUAUGCCAUUUAGUGGGGGUAAAAAACAAGAUGCACCUAUAAGAACCAUUUUCUGACCUUUACUAUGGCUGCUACUAUUGCUUUGACUUUUGUUGCACUGUACAUGUGGUUGACCUAUAGCUGGGGCCGACUCUAAAAUGCAACUAUAUGCCAUUUAGUGGGGCUAAAAAACAAGAUGCAGCUGUAGGAACCAUUUGCUACACUUUACUAUGGCUACUACUAUUGCUUUGACUUUUGUAGCACUUUACCUAUGGUUGACCUAUAGCUUGGGCCAACUCCAAAAUGCAACUAUGUGUCAUUUAGUGGGGGUAAAAAACAAGAUGCAGUUGUAGGAGAGUUUGCAGCCAAAGUAGUGUUUACUUAAAAAAAAAAAAAAAAAACCAAACUAAUACAUCUUUCAAACUAUUUGUCAAACUAGUCUUUUGAAUCCACAUCAACAAUCCACAUCAGCAGACUUUUACUCUAAAGACCCUUUUUUUCAUCUGAAAUCAUUCAACAAAGAAACCCUAACUAUUAUUUUCUCUUCUCUACGGCUCCCACCAACAGCUUUACUAGCAACGUCUUGUAGUGGCUAGGUAAGUUUUUGAAGCAUUUUAACAAAGUGGUUCAUGAGUUUUUUUUUCCCUCAUUUUCCUUAGCUUUCUUACUAACCAAACAGAGGAAAACAAAAAAUUAAAAACAACUUUUGAAAAUUUUAAGAAUCUCAAGUUGUUUUUUGUGGUUUCUACUUGUGAACGGAAGAAAAAAAAACACAAAAAAAUCAUGGAGAAGAAAAAAAGAAAGAUUAACAGAGAGAGAUAAGAGCACUAAAGGAAAUUGGUUUCUGCACUUUGGGGGUUUGGGUAGAUUUCGAAUUUGGGCGAUGGUGGGUUAGGGUUCAAAGUGGACUAAUCCAAUUGGAUGAUUUGAUGGAGUAGUUCGGGUUCAAAGUGGAUUGAUCCAAUUGGAUGAUUUGAUAGAGCAAUGAAAGAAGAAGAGAGGAGUGUGGAACGAGAGGGAGAGAUUGUGAGAAGAGAGACGAAUGAAAGAUUUGAAGAGGAAGAAGAAGUGCAGGUUAAUGUGCAAAAAUAAUAAAAAUUUUACCCAAAUGCAAAUUCUUUGAUUUUGCCUAGUUUUCUUAGCAACCAAACGCAGGGUCUCAAGAAAAUUAUGAGUUCUGAUGAUAGAGAGAGGACAAGAAGGGGGGUAGAUACCGAAGGGCUGCCGAAAAGGAUGGUCGUAUGUGGAGAGCGCAAAAACCCUACCUGUGUUUAGCUCCUAAUAGAGUAGAUGCCUUUCUCAAGCAAAAACUCUAUUUGGGAAUUGAGAAUCCCAAAGAAGGACAAUUUUAGAAUUUCACAAGUCGGGCUUCAGCUUCAACUUUGAGGGAUAUUUGAUAAUCAUUUUUCAAUUAAUCUUUAUAAUUUUAAAAUUUUGAAAAUUGUAUGCAUUUUUUAAUAUAAAAAUUAUUUGUUUAAUCAUUUUUUAUUUUCCUUUUUUAAUAAAAAAUUAAAAAUUAAUCAUAAUCCACUUAUUUAAAAAUUAUCGUUAAUCCUUAUUUAGUAUGAUAUUUACUUGUUUAUUAUUUAAAUAUUUUGUCUUCUUAGUUAUUAUAAUUAAUAUAUAUAUAUAUAUGACCAAAAUUUAAAAUAAAAUAAAAACUAAAAAAUAUAAUUUUAUUUCCCAUUCAAAUCCAUCACCCUUUAUUAUUAUAUUUUGUUGAAUUUUUUUUAUUUAUAUCUUUUUUCUAUAAAGAGAGUAGAGUUAUGAAGAAAACAUUUAAUUUAAUUUCUUUUUUUAUAAAAAAAAAACCAACUUCUAAACAUGUUUUUUUUUUGUUUUAAUCAUUAUAAAAAAAACAUUUUUUAUUAACUCAACAAAACAUGUUUUAAAAAUGACCUUAUUGGGUAUAUUUUAAUUUAUUUUUUCAAGUAUUUUAAAUUUAUUAAAUUGGUAAUAAGUCUUAAAAAUGGACUUUGGAAUUAAAUUGUAUGAAAAUGUUAAAUAUUUGCAAAAAAAAAAUCUAAAAAACCACUUAGUCCUCCCUUUUAAGCAAAUCAAAAUUAUAUUUUAAAAAUGUUAUUAUUAAUAUUACAUUUUAUAAAACUUUCAUUAAUGACAUGUAAAACCAUUACCAAAAUGUUAAGAACUUUAUAAAAUUGGACCAAAUAAUCUUCCAAAUAUAACCAAAUUACUUCUCAAAUCCAACAAAAUCAUUCCAAAUAUGACAAUGUUAACCAUAAUACCUCCCAAUUCUUACCUCUCAAUAGUAAUAGCACAGUUGCAUUGAAAAUCAAAUUCUUCAAUGCUUGCUCUAUCAUCAUAUGAUUUGUUUUGAAGCUUUUAAUAAUGAACCGUGAACCCAUUGGAUUGUACUAGAGAGGACCCGCAUGAUAAAGGUUUAAAUUUGGGCAACACCCUUAUAACAUUAUUAUUAAUAAGUUGUGAGCCAUAAUGGGGCCAAGUCAUUACUCUUUGUUGGGAAAAUCUUCCAAAGGCAGGCUUAGGCUUUUUGUGGUUCUUGCACAAAAAGCCUUCCUUGGAUUUUGAGCAUUGUUUCUUGUACCAAAAGUCAACUAGAUUUACCGAGAAACCAUCAUUACAAAUGCUUAAGUUUUUCAAAUUAUUUUUAAACUUGUUUUCAUAAUUUAUUAACUUUAUAAAAUUGGAAGUGAUUAUUAAAUUUAUUUUUCUUUCUUUUUCUCCUCUAAAAAAAUAUAUACUUUUUAUUAUAUAUAUUAAAAAAAUUUAUUAGGAUCAAGGAGAUCUGAGUGUGUCAUUUUUCAAUCAUCAUUUUUCUAAAGCUAAUAUUAUUGCACAUAUAACAAUCCCUUCCCCAAUACAGGGCUCCUAGAACUCGAAUCAUGACCAAACUCUAGGGCUCCUAGAACUUAAAUCAUUUAAUGGCAUGUGGAACAUUUAAUAGCACCUCUAGAAAUGCUAAGAACUUUAUAAAAUUGUAAAAAGACAUGUAGAACCUAGGCUGGAUCUCCAAACCAUGAAAAUUGCUUGUAAUUAUUGGUUAGCUUGUGGAAUAAAAAAUCUAUAAGAUGGAGAUAGACUCCUAAAGAUUAUAAGAUAUUUUAAGAACUCAAUAGUUAUAAAAAAGAAAAAAGAAAUAACACUAAAAACAAAUUUAAUAUAUAGAAAAUAUUAGUUUUUACUUAAAAUUUAACUUAUUAAAUUAUAAAUUGUAAAAAUUUAAUUAAAUUAAAAAAAUUAAAUUUAACCAGAUAUAAGCAAAAGUGCAUUAAUAUGUCUAUUCCGCUUUCUCUUUUUUAAUUAUUUUAAUGGAAAAUAUUAAAAUAUUUAUAGUCGUAACUAUUAAAUAUGUUGAAUAUGUACACAUUACAUCCAUUUUUGAAACUUAUAUAAAAUCAAAUUUUGAACAAAUUUAAAAUUUUUUUUCACUUAAUUUGGGUAGAUUAAACAACGACAUUUUAAUUGUUAAUGGAAAAAUAACAACCUUUUAUUCAAUUUUAACGGUAAUAAAUAAUAAGAAAAUAUUAUUAAUAAAAAACAUUGAAUUAUUUGGAUAUUGAGGUGUUAUUUGUUAUUUGAUUAUUGUUAAUAACAUACCCUAUUAUUGUUAUUUGUUAUUUCAUUACAAAUUGAUGUUAUUACUAAUGUUUUCUAUUGUGUAAUUUUGUGGUUAAAAAUGAGAUUGAUUUGAUUUUUUUGGCUUCUUCUAUAGGUAAACUAUGUCUAAUUUAUCGGUGGCAAUAGUUUGUUUUUGUAAUGGGAAAAUGGUGAGAACACAAACCGAUGUUGAUUAUGUUGGAGAUAGAGUUGUGGUUGAACCUAUUGAUGUGCCUCUUGGGACAACAUAUGAACAACUGUUGGAAAUGAUAUACUCGGUCACUGACAUCAAUAAAGAACAUUUUUGAUUAAUUCUUAGUUGUAAGUAUCCUAUGAAAAAAGGGAAUAAAUUCCAACCUUGCCUUGUAAAGAAUGAUAGUGGUGUAGCUCGAAUGUUAGAAAUGCAUAACAGAUUUGGGAUGGAUGAAGUUGAAUUAUUUGUUGAACAAGUACCUAUUGACUUACAAAUGAAUUCACCAAUUGGUAAUUGCAUACCUUUGUUACUUGGUGAAAAUGAUGGUACUAGUAAUGUUCAAAAUCUAUUUACUUUUGAGCAUAGAUUAGAAGAGGAUGAGGAAGACGAAGAAGGAAGACGAAGAAGGAAGAUAAUGUGAUGAUGACAAUGUAGGAGCCGAGGAUGUUCAUAAUGAUGAUAAUCAAGAUAGGGAAGGUAGCUCGCCUUUUUUAGCUGUUUGUGAGGCAAUUGAAAGAGAACAAAUGAGAUAUGUGGCUGUGGAUGGGGAAUGAUGUAACUUGUCAAAUAAUCCAGAUACAGAGGAUUUAGAUGAACCAAUUGAAUUAUCUUCAAUGCAAUAUCAUUUGGCACCAUCACCAUAGUUUGAAAAUGUUGAAAACAUUGGUCAUGUUGUGUCAAGUGAAUGGACCCCAUGGGGAAACACUCUUAUGGGACAUCCAAUUGGAGAGUUCAUACUUUAUAAAUAAUAAUGAUAUUGUUAAAAUGAAUACAACUUUGAAAAUCGUAGUAAUUACCUUCUUAUUGUGCACCAAGAAUCAUGUUCUUGAAGUGGUGAGAGUCUGCUUUAUUGGGUGCAACACUCUCAUAUAUGAACAACUUACUGAUCAAACAUCCCAUGGUUUCCUUGAUGGGACCACAUUUGAAAAGAUGUUUCACAUAUUUUUGUCUUGCUGCUGAAGAUUUGUGAAAUGAGGAUGCAUUAGGCGGUGAUGGAUUCAAAUAUUGAACACUUUGCAAUCUUUGCAUAUGCCUUGUUAGAUUAGUUGGAUGUGAAAACUUACCUAUUAUAAUUAUUAAAAUUAAAAAUAUAUGUUAAUUUAAUAUUAUUGAUAAAGUUGAUAAGAAACAGUAAUAAUUCAAAUUGAUAAGUCAGUCUUCCAUUUUGCAUAUACCUGUUUUUCUUUUAUCUUUUACAAAAUGUUCUUCUUGUUGUCGAUUUCAUUCAAUAGCUUUUGAUGCUUGAACUACCGCUUUAUAAGCAUGUUGCUCAUCAAGGUGCAUGUCAGCCAUACAUAUACACAUCAUCAUCAUCAUCAUCAUCAUCAUCAUCAAGGUUUUUGUAGACCCCCAUAUGGGGCUCAUUUUUUUCUCCCACAUUUCUACAGGUUACAUUCUUUUUCUUACCAGGUGUUACUACCCCAGCGAGGCACGUGUCGCUUCCUUGGUGGCCAUAGGGGAAUCAACCUUGCUUUUUGAAGCUGCAGUGGGAAUAUGACACGUAGGGGGAAUAUUCUAGAGGGUCUGUAGGCCGUUAUGGAGGAGCGGAUGAGAGAGAGGAUAUCCUGCAGAGGGUGGUGUGGCUUUUGGUGGUUUUCUGGAGAUAUAAGAGGGGCAAAUCAGGUAGAGCAAAAGGCAAGGAGGAGGAUUCGGUAGGGGGGGGGGUUGCUUUUUGGGGAGGUUGGCCGUGAUAUUUUCAGCAAGAGUUUUCUUUAUUGAGAGAGAGGGGAGGGGGAAGUUUGAGCAACUGAAAAAAAAAAACAGAGGAGGAGGAGGAAGCUGCCGAGGAGGGUGACUUGGAGACUGGAGAGUGAGAUUUCUUUUUGGAGGGUAUUCUGGCUUGAGGAGCAAGUGAGAGAGGAUAUUCAUUCUGGAGAUCGACAGAGAAGGGAGAAAAGGGAGAAACAGAGGAAAAGAGCGUCUGUAGGUGAGUUUGAGGUGAGUUUCUCGCUUACUUUGAUUCAAAUAUUUUCUCAUCUCUUUCCCAUUUUGGUUUGCUCUUCAUUGCUCAUCAAUUUGGGGUUGAACAAUAUGGAUUAUGUGCCGAAUCUUGUUGAUUACUGAAUCAUUUUUAUACUCUGUUGCUGUUGAUUUUACCGUUGUUCUUGUGAUUUGGUUUGGAGCUAGUGGAACUUUGUUUCUCAUAUAUUGUGUAAACCUGGCUCAAGGUUCUCCCUCAUCCCUCCUGUUUUGAGCCCAUGAUCAUCACUUGAUAUGGGAUCAUGUACAUUCAUGAACUGCAUGCUCACCUGUUUGUUCUACCCUUAGUUUUCACUCUAGUUCAUGCCUUAGUGUUUAUUCCUCUGAUUUUGCCGGGGUUGGGGUGUUAAAUAUCUCGUCUGGGACUGGCUAUCGUGAUUGGGGAUGUUUUUGAGACCUGAAAAGCUAUGUGGACCUCACUGAGACGUCCGGAGAAAAGAACUUGAGCUAAAUCAUCGUGAGAAUGUGGGUACUGUGAACGUUUUGGUUGAUGUCUCUACCUUGCUCACAAACGCACCCUAUCUGCUGAAUCUGGAACGUACUCACCAUACCCAUGACAGCAAGGCCCUUGAAGAUAUCGUGUUACACAAUGGACUAGACAAGGAUAGAUAGCCCUCGCUGCAUGGUUCAAAAGGUUCAAACCAAAAUUGCAUGCGGAAAAACCUGUUCCUCAUGCCGACAUCUGUUCUGAGUGUGGCUCACCAUUAUUUCAUGGCUCAUGGAGUGGGCUCCUUCUACUGGGCCUAUGGACUCAAAUAUACCAAGCUUGUAACCUGGUUGCAAUGGAGGUUUAUUGGUGUUAGUUUGAAAAAGAAGCUUCUUAGGGACUUGCCCUCAUUGCUCCCUUGUGUGAAAAUCUAUUUGUUACUAUGUCUGGGCGCUUGCGAUGAAUCCAAAGGUAGAUAAUGCCCGACAAUAUUUGAGGAUUUCUCUUAGCUGUGCGUCCUGGAAUGACAUGAUGGAGGCUUGUGAUGCUCGGGAUCUUGAUAUUCUGCAAAAAGAGUUCCCUAUUUUAAACAAUUAUAUUCAUUUUGGAGAUGCAGAGAUGGCGCAGAAAUUGUAUCGUAUUAUCCGAGCUUGCAUGGGUGGCUAGAGGCAACUAAGCAAUGCUGCGGCGACUGUUCUGUAUAAUCACUCUGGCGGCGAGACUCUGCACAAUGCAAGUCCUGCGAGCGACGCUGGGGAUGCAGUCAUGGCGUGAUGGCUCCAGUCCGCCGGAUUGCAGCAUCUGACCUUUCCAUUGGCUUCCACCAGAGUUGAUCAUCACCUCCUCCCCGAUCUUCUAAUGCAGGGUUAUGGAGCGCAAUCUGCUGUGGGAAGGCUUUACCUGGAGGUCCAAGGGCUUGGGCAGACAUUCUUUUCAUAACUUACUAGGUUACUUUUCUCAUUGCUGAGAUAUGCCUGUUAGCGGGUUCAGUGAGGAAUGCCUACCCUAUCAAGUACGAGACAAUUUUCAGUGAGGAUCCCCCGUCAUGUGAGACCUUGAGAAAGGGUGUGUUUGGCACUAGGGCCGCUUUCCCAUUCUUCACUGCCAUACCCUCUGAACCUUACUAUGUUUGCUAUUCGUAAGUUAGAGGAAGUUCUCUAGCUUAUGGUGAUUGAAAAACUGGUUUUUGAGAUGGGAACCUACAGCUGGGCUUAGUUAAGAUGAUCAUAAUUGUUUUAAUUCUGAGAAGCAACCUCUACAUACCCAUCAAGCCACCCCACUAAACCCUUUCCCUCUCUCUAAGCCUAUUCAUACCCAUUUCUUACUCCCUAUAGUUUGCCACCCUCACUUUUCCACCUUGUACAUCAUGAAGCUCAUUCAUCAAGCCUACCUAUUUAACCCCCCCUCUUGAUACCUAUUCCAGCACAUGCAUGGCUGUCCCAAAGCUCCUUCCAAAACCCUUGUUAAUAUCCUAGAUUUAUCCACCCACGUGCAUGGGAACCAUGCUAACCUGGUUAUUCUUCAUAUGCCCAUUUCUCAUUUUCCAUACAUGCCACUUUCACCUUCCAUGCUCAUACCCAUCAUCUAUCAUCCAUUCCUUACCCCUACACUCAGAAAUUAUGCAUCCAUAAUCAUCUUCAUACCCACCAUGCUCAUUCAUACCCAUCUUUCUCUCUCUACCUCUUCAUACCUCCGCAUGCCUAUCUCUUCGCAUCAUGCACACCAAACCCAUACCUGUGGCCAUCUUUCUAUGUUCAUUAACCCCAUAUUACAAGUGUUCUUGUUAUUGAUGACAAUCCGAUGUGGGCAAUUACUGGUAAAGCCUGAAGAAGAACAUGAUGGUCCAGUAAAUGAAGAGAAGGCCCAAAUUGGUUAAGACACCUAUAUUAAGUGAAUGAAGAACUGGGGCAACUUAGAUCCAAACGUCCUCAUUAUACCUUUUCUGAGGAUGAGAGUGGCGGAGAGUUCAGUAUGACACGCCUUCACCAGAAUCUGAGUCCGGGCCUUCAUAUUCCUGCAGAGAAGGUUUUUGACUUGUUAUCAUCUCGGCCGCGACCAAGAUGUCACCAUACUCCAUCACCAGAAUUAGGAAAUAAACUAUCAGUUUCCGGUGACCUUGAUCCUUACUUUUCCUUCUCGUUGGCCUCGUCAGCAGACGUCAGCAAAUGUUAGAAAUGAGGAGCCCUGAUGAAGAAAAUGGCCACAGCCGCAGCCCUAGUCCCAUUCCUAGGAACGAUGCAAGUCUUGCUGAUGAGUAUGGUAUCAAGUUCUUUGAAACUAGUGCAAAAACACUAUAUUGAAGACAAUAGGAAUGCCAAAUGGUGUCCCGCUCCAGGCUGUGAUUAUGCAGUUGAUUUUUUAUUGUUAAUAGUGGAAGUUGUGACGUUUCCUGCCAGUGCUCAUAUAACUUUUAAUGGAAUUGUACAGAGGGAGCUCACCUUCCUGUUGAUUGCAGCACUGUGGCCAAUUGGAUUCUGAAAGAAUAGUGCAAGUGAGUGUGAAAAGCCCUCUCUGUCUUAGUCAUCAAGUAAGCCUUCAAUCUGGCAGAAAGUGAAGAGGUGACUCCCAUUUCCUAGGAUCCCACUACAUGAUUUGCCAGAAAGUCUAACAGAUAGAUUUCAGCAGUGCCCAGGCCAGCAGCUUUCCUUGUCGAGCAGCCAGAGUGGUGAACUCAUUAGCAGCCGCAUCAAGGCCGCAUGGUAUUGGCGAUUCAUACGUGGCCUCCCUGUAAGGCAUGAAAGCGUUUGGUGCACUCUUUGGAUCGAUGCUUCUUAGAGAUUCUGUAGCUAUGCAAUCAUGCCAGGGUGAAAACUACAUGUUGUUUCCCCUAGUACCAGUGAGAUUGAUGCAAACAAGCAUGAUGGUGAUAUGGAAAGAUAAAAUAAUCUAGGAUAAUUCUCCUGAAGUUGGUGAGAAUUCUGCAGAGAGUUGUGAAAUCUCUGGACCUGAUUCUGAAGUUGUGGUGGAUAAAGAAACAGAACUGGUAACCAAGGCUCAAAAUCAGAGGUCAAAGUUCCAAGUGGCAAUAGAUGACAAGUAUUGGAAUGACAGCCUCAGCGCGGUCCAUUCUGAUGAGAGGAAUCUAAAACAGACACUGAAUGGUCAGAUGUUAAUGGCUCAGCCAGAGACGAUGCAUCCUGGAUCUCAUGGUUUUACCAUAUGUGGGGAUAUUAUUCCUUCUGUGAAUUUGACGAUGAUUGCAUGCAAGAUGAUUUUGAUGACCUCUAUGGUUUGAGCAAUCAAGUCGCCCAUUAUGAUCAUGCGUUUGACUUGAUUUUGGAUGUUGAAUUCUCGCAUGGUGAUUCUCCCACAGAGAAGCAAAACGAGAUAGUGGAAUCUGUAGCAAAGGCUUUAUGGUCUGUUUCAUUUCUGUUACUUAUUGACUUAGCAAAGACUGACUGCCAUGCUAAGCGAGCACGUAGACUCUGACUUUGGUCGAUAUCCAAGAAUUUGUUGCUGCGGACAAACCUGCUUUCUAGUGACUUUGAUGGGGCCUGUAAUGCCUAUCUAGAAGGGUGAUAAGUGCCUAGCCUUGAGGUGCUUAAACUGACAAAGGAGUGUCUCAUGGAGAAGCUUGCUGCUGGUGUCCCCCAAUUUGUCCCGUCUUUCAUUGGUCAUCUCAUACCCAACUUUGGUGGUUGUACUCCGGGCCCUCAUGCACAAUCCUAAAAAUUGUAUGGCCAUCCUCUUGUGCCUUUUUUUCAAAAUCCAUGUUUCUUCAUUCAUUUUCAUGUCUGUCUUUAAAGAAAUAGGUUUUCAAUUAACUUCAAACUCUUCCAUAUUUCAUCCUUAGAGUUUUUAGGUUUCACAAGUCCUAUUUUCAAUAAAAUUGGUUGCCAUUUUCUCUUCGGCAAGCCAUCUUCCCAUCUUCCAUGUUUUUUUUAAAAUGUUUUAAAAUAAGUGUGAAUUUAUUUUCGUAAUUCCAAGUGAUGGAAUUUACAAAAUUGAUUCACUCACAAAUAAAUCGGGCUUUGGUGGGGGCCCAACAUUAUUGGAUGUUUCCUUUGAAAAUCCAUUUGAUUGAAUUGUGACAUGUGAUGAUUUAUUGCUCGGUUUAGCGACAUGGGUGCCACAUUUUAUGCUCAUCAAUUGUGCAUUAACCCCAUUUUGUGAUAGCGCGUUGCUGUUUAUGGAUCAAGUACGCAUCUUUUCUCACUCUGGCUAUCAUCCAUAUAUGUUUUGGCUUUCAGUAUGUGAUCAUGACGGUAUUCAUUGAUUUCCUUAUCGAUUGCUACAUUAGCUUCAUUUUAUUAGUAGAGACCUGACUUUAAGGACUUAAAGGGGUGCUACGGUCUUUACCGUACCUUCUUGAUAAGUAAACUGACCCCUGAGCCCGAUCCAGUUCUUCACAAACCACCUUUUCCAAAUAAAGAGUCACACUUAGAGUUUUCUUUCUUAUUUUGUUUACCCUUUAAAAAUAAAACAAAAAUAAGUGGCAACUCCAAGUCAUUUUCUAAUAAAUAAAAUAAAAUAAAAUCAUUUUUUUGAAAUAAAGAAUCGAGCACCCCAUCGAGUGGAAGCGCAUUGAGCCGAAAUGCGGGGUCCACAGUUUUCCUCAUCCUCCUCAUCAAUUACAUGUCUAUGUCUUCCUCCCAUUGUGUCUUGCAAUUCAGCUCGAAUCUCUUCUAUAUUUGUGGCUUUCUUCACUUUUGCCUUAUUUUUUUUCCUUUAGAAGUCGACUUAUUUCUUGUUUCACUUCUGGAGGCACAUUAGGACACUUUUUUGUAUUUGAAUGAGGGUUUGUAUGCGACAGGUGAAAUUUAAAAUGAGUAAUCUUACCACUCUUUAUUUUCAACCUAUAGUAAUUGCAUAUUGUUCCAUUUUUGUUCCCUUCCAUAAGUGUACAAUAUUUCCAACUAGGAUCUCAACCCAUGAUACCGCUUCCACUUCCACUAACCAUUUUCUAAACAUGUAUUUUAAAUUCUCAUACGAAACUAAUAUAUGUGAUGUGAUAUCAAAAGGAUUUGCAUUAUAAUUAAAUUUCUAUAUGAGUUAAGUACUAAGUUAUUAAAGAUAAAUAUCUAAGUUAAUUUAAUAUUAAUAUUAUUAAUGAAAUUAAUAAGAAUCAUUACUAAUAAAAUUGAAAUUAAAAUUGAAUUAUGCAUAUAUAUUAUGUGAUAUGAAAUAGAUAAAUAUUACAAUUAAAUUUCCAUAUGAAUUAAAUUUAAAUUUAAAUUUAUUAAAAAAUAAAACCAAAUAUGCAUAUAUGUCAAAUCAAUUUCCAUAUGAAAUUUAAUGUUAAUGGGACAAAUUUUAAAAUUAGAUAAUAUCAAUUAAACUAUAUAUAACAAAUAAAAUUGAAUUAUGCAUAAUAAAAAUAAAUUUUAUGAAAGGUAAAACAUACCUUAAUUAGCCUUGACUUUGAGUUGAUCCCCUUCACCACCAAAUUUUCAAGAUUUAAUUUUAUUUAUAGAAAUAAAAAAAAAUAAAAAUUUGGAGCAAUAGAACAAGAUCAAAAAUUUAUGUAUGAAAUGGAAUGAAUUGUGGGUAUUUAUAGGAUUUUUUUUGGCCAAACUAGCCAUUGGAUGGUCAAAUAGCAGUUAUAAAUUAAUUUUAACCAUUGGAUCAAAAUUUGGCCAUUAGAUCUUCAUAUAACCGUUGGAAACAUUUCUUAGCCAUUGGAUCAAGUCAUGAUUGAUUUUCCACUAUUGGAUCACAAAUAUGAUUGUUGGAUGCCUUUAUAAAAAACACGGGUGAAAUCUAGGCCAUCGGAUUGUCAAAAAUUCAAAUAUGACUGUUGGAUGCAGUAGGAGGAAAUUUCAAAAAAUUGCCCAAAAAAUCGUUGAUUUAUCGUCGAUAUUUUGAAAAAAAUUGGUGAUUUUUUUACAGUCUUCCUCCAUUGCUCCGUGCAUCUCUCCAUGGUUGAUUUUUUCAUUUCCAAACCGACAUAUUGCUAAUAUUCGACGAUAUUACCAAAAUUUUGCCAAAAUUCCCACCAAUCAAUAAUCGGUACCCAAUAUCGUGUCGGGAACCACCAAUAUUUGAUAUAUUGACAUAUUUCAUCGAAAAAACCAAAAAUCCUUAAUAGAAAAUAAUGCCUUAUUAACACACUUUUAUUCAAAGUGUUUGUCCUUAUUCUCGACAAAGAAAGCAUUUUAUUCAAAGUAGAACACUCCUAAAACUAUGACAUCAAUACAUAUUAUCCCCUUUCCAUUUCUGACAAUAUGGAAGAAGCUGGCAUUAGCUUUCAUUUGUUCAUACUGGCAUAGGGUCAAUGAGCAAGGAUGCAAUAUUAUCUUUCAUCACUUUCCCAACAUGAGUGUAUUCAUUGUUUUCCUUAUAAAUGAUGUCUACCACUCGUGUAAGAUUGAGAACUUUGAUAAGGAUUGGGAUCGACAUGGAAGUAGGUAUGAGGAAAACUUGGUUAAUUUCCUUCCAUGCAUUCACAAUUUGCUUGUUAAACUCGUCAUAAGCCUGUUGCUUAAGACACUAUAUUGCUUGAUAUAGCAUUCAAUGGCUAAGGCAACAUGCCCUCUCUCUUGUUCAAACUGCACACAUAUAUAUAGUAAUGCAAAAGAUGAGGAAAAACCUACCAUAAAAUCAUCACGAAUGAACUUAUAUGCAAUAUAUUCUACACAUAUUCCUUAUGUGUCAUCAUAUCGUUCAUGGGCCUGGCAAUUAAACAUGAAGCUAUUGUAAAAGGGUCAUUGUAAACCCAAUCAAAGGCCUCUUUUGUUAUCAUUUAUCCUAUUCCAAUGAAAGAGAGGGUUGUGGCUAAGGGAAGAGCUGAGCCUACUCGUGCAACUUGCAUGUAUUCCUCUAUGGAACCAUUGUACUUUGUCAAAGAGCCAACCUGAAUUUUCAACCAACAAACAUUUGUCAAUGUUACAUACUUGUACAUAUGCUUUAAUUUUUAAUUUGAUAUGAUUCGCCUAUUUAACUCGAGCCCAACACAUUUUGUCAAAAUAAUCUUAAAAUAAUCUCUCUCUCUCCUUCUCUGUGAUUGUUAAAUUUAAUGAAUAAGUAUAUUAUUCUAUCAUAUUGGUAUAUGUACAAAAUUAGCUCUCUCUGUCUCUCCCUCCUCUCUCAUUGUUAAAUUUAAUGAAUAAGUAUAUUAUUCUGUCAUAUUGGUAAUAAACAUUACCACCGUAUAUGUACAAAAUUAGCUAAGCUAAAUAAGAUAAAAUAGCAAGACUAAGUAAGAUAAAUUGUAAUUACAAGGAGAGAUUGACAUUCUACCGGAGGUAAUCUUGGUUGACACCUAAGAUUACCUUUAAUACUGAUCACCAAUUGCCAUGAAUUCAUGCACCUGACUAUGUACAAUGUAUUCACUUGGGCUGUCUCCUAUCAUCCCAGAUCAAGUAUAGGAUACUGAACAAACAUUUAAAUACAUGAAACGAUGUUCACAACAUCAAUGGAAUUAAUGUUUUUUGCAGAAAAAUGUGUGGAUGCAUGCAUGUAUACAAGAAUACUUAGAAUUUGGCUGUGCUGUUUGUUGUCACCUCGCGUAUCCGGUGGUCCACGUUCCUGCUAGAUGGAUGGACACGCGAUUCUCAACACACAAAGGGUUCUUGAUUCAGCGGUCGUACCUGCAAAAGGCAUCCGGACAGGGUGUCUGGACGCACCCUCCGAUGGUUUUGUUAGCCAUGGUAAGAGAGGAAGAUAUAUGAGGCAGUUGGCUUUUUACUAGGUAUCAGGAGGUUACCCAGAGAGAGAGCCCCAAUUCUUCUUCGCGUGAAGACUUAUAUAUAUAGCUUUAAGGGUACUGUUCCUCUCAUUAAUGGUGAGGAGAUGUUUUAUGUUGUCAUGAUGACAUUAAGUAGCAGUAGAGACAUCAUCACCCUACGAGCGGCUGUCAAGAACCAUGGUAGGUGACGCGAUUGUCAGAGAUCGUGAUAGGUGAUCAUGUAGAAUGAUCGUGGGAAGUGACUUGCUAUCACUUCAUCUUGUCUUCUCACUCUGCAGGUGACAAGAUGUGGGCCAUGGCUGCUUGUUGUGAUUGCGUGUAAGACUCGCUUUACUUUAAUUGACCAUCCAGACGAUUUAUAUCCGGAUGGCUCAUGCUGAUUAUCCGGAUGUGUUGUGGAGACUAUCCGGAUGUCUACGCUCUGCCAGCGUCGUUUGCUCUUCCUUGGAUAGGAGAAGCUGAAACGUCGUUUGCCUUUCCUUGAGGCGGUCUGGAUAGGAUAACUGCACCAUGCAUAUCCUUAGGAGAAUCCGGAUGAUGAUGGUCCGGCUAAUAACACGUGCCACGCGUCAUCAUGAGCUGCGUGCCACGUGUUUCCCAAUGGGAGGGGUCCCUACAUUGCCCCCCUUUUUAACUUGCCUAUUUUGCCCAAAAAAUGGGCGGGUUAAAAAUAACUGGCUUUUGAAAAUUGAAGAGGUCCCUUCGUCUGACUGGGCCACGUGGCGAGUGGGGGUGCGGAAGCUAAAAAAGGCAUUUAUGACGAGCCACCGACCCUGUGUAUCCCUAGGCAAUAUGUCGUUUCAAUGAUAACAUGGUUGUCCUGCUAUAAAUAGGGCACUGUACCUCUUUUUGCAUUUUUUCCUACUGCAUUCUCUUGAGAGCCUUUCUUCUUCUUGCUUUUUUCUACGCCCUUUGCUUCUCUGAGAAAAAACUUCGAAAGCUCUUUUGUACCAGUGUUUUUGUAUUGCGACUUCGUUUGUUUGCUGCUGGUGAUUUUGUACCGAGUCAGUAACCGUUCUUCUUCUUCAGAGCUUUAUUUGGUACGUACCUCUUUGCUACUGUCAUUCCUUUGGUUGCGUUUGCUGGUUCUUUAAACUUGGUUUCUGGCUUGCUUGGGCAUUGUUUUGGACAAGUCGCUUGCAAUUGUUGUUGAAUGUUGGUACUUUGUUGGUGUUGGGGGGGUGUUUUUUAGGGGUUUUUCUGACUGCUUUGGGUUAGGGUUUGUGUAUUUUCUGACUGCUUGGUUUGAACCGUUGUAUUGCUUUUGUAUGUAGAUUUUGGUUUGGCUUUGUGGUAAGAAAUGGCUCCAAAAAAGACUGUUUCAUCUGCCCGGGUUAGCGAGGCUGGCGAAAAGGCGAUAGACAAAUUAGAUGUGAAGGAAUUCCGGGAGCGGUUCUGCAUCCCAAAUGGCGUAUCUAUAGACUUGGUGAACGAGGAGGCAGCUAUGCCUACUGAGAAAGGUGAAGAAAACGUUAUCCUCUUCACAAAGGAACAAUUCAACGCGGGGCUCCGGUUCCCUCUGCCGGCGUUGUUCAAGGAAUUCCUCCACUUCUCUCAGAUUCCAUCCAUCUUCAUUCAUCCCAACCUUGUCCGGGUGUUGAUGGGAUGCAGCAUCAUCAACAUGCUGUACAACCUCGACCUUACGCUACUGGAAGUGCUCUUUUUCUAUUCCCUGAAGAAGGCAAAAAAUGAUAUCUUCAGUGUGUCCACGCACCUGCCCUCCCUUCAAAUGGUGACAGAGAUGCCAGAUUCGAUAAAGGGAGGGGCGAAGGGGCUGGUGGCGGUCCGGGGUGGAUGGGCGGGGCUAUCGGAGCAUGCGUCGAGGCCCUUUUCUCCAAAUUAUACCUUAAAAAUUUCGGGUAUUCUUGUUUUGCGAUUCUUUGUCCGGAUUUUACUUUGCUGAUUUUUUGCUGAUUUUUCCGGACGGAAUUCUCACCUUUUGUUGCUGUUAAUGCAGGUCUGGAAUUGAGGGGCCACCUUGUGGAUUGGGUGGAAAAGGCGUCCUUCGCCUGUGUCUGCAAAUUAUUUGAGAUAAAUCCCAAGAAGAGGGCCUGCAAGACAUUGCUUUCCGCGCGGAAUUUGAUGGCGGUCGUCCGGGAGUCCCAGGAAUAUGUUAUCAAUAUUCUCCCCAGGAAACUGCCAAAGGAUGAGGUAGUGCCUGGGGAGCAUUAUACUGUGAAGGAGCUCCCCCUCUAUCAGGAAGCUAAAGAGGCUGAUGCUGAAAGACGGCGAAAGCUCCUGGAGGAUCGAGAUCAGAGAAAAAAUGAAGGCACUAUCCGGAAGGCUCCCGGACAGAAGCGGGGUCCGGACUCUCCUCCAAAGAAAACUCCAGCAAAAAGGAGGAAGCUGGUGAAGAAGAAUGGGAAGGAUGUGAAGGAACCCACUCCUCCCAAGGAGUUUCCUCCUCCGCAAAUUACCUAUGAGGGGGAAGUAAUGAUAGAGGAGCCAGUAAACGCUGCUCCGCACUCUAUCUCAAGCAGCCCCGGACGCAUCUCGGGGUUGAACCAUUCUGGCACUUCCUUAGCCGCGGUUGCGCGUCUGGCUAACGUGGCUGAGGAAGCUGCAUCUAUCAACCGUCCGGGCAACCUUAAUCCGGAUGCUGAUGCAGCUGAAACGACCCCGUUGGAGGAAGCGGUGGUAGAAAGCCAAAGUUAGCCUUCCGACGACCCGGAUCGCUUGGCCAUAAUCCCGGUGAAAGGGCCUCCUUCAAAGAAGCCGCGUUCGACGCGCAAUCUAUGGUCCGGACUCCUUGGGCGGCUUCAAGAGCGGCAGCAAGAGAUUGAAGUUAGCUGCGCUUCUGCCCAUGACGCUCAUCCGGAUGGAGGCGAGGUGGAGAUGGCAACUGAGACUUCAGCCGCCCCGGCAAUAAUUCCGGCUGAAGAUGCAUCCGGACAGAUGCGUCCGGACGAAGAUGUGGGGGUCCCGAAUCCGGGACAAGAGUCACCUUCUGUUUCCUCAUCUGAGGAGGAACCUGCUGACGAUGCAGCUCCUGCUAGCCUUUUCAGCUACGCGGAGUUGGAAGCUAAGCUAAAACAGGUUACACCCGGCUGGACUGCCAUCAAGCCCUCUACUAAGAUGUUUGAUAUGAUAGAAACGGUAUACCGUUGUCUUGUGCUUUUGCUUUUUGAUUCUUUGUUGCGCUGAUGUGUUUGUUGUAGUAUGAUUUAUGUCUUUGCUUUUCUUGUUUGCGUGUCAGCUGGUGAGGAGCCUCCGCGACAUGGCUCAACAACACGAUCUUUUUACUCACCUGCUGCAGACUGCAGACUAUAUGAAGACCUUCUCCUCUCGACGCCGAGAGAUUGAAAAUCAGCUGCGUCUGAGAAUGGAGGAGGCUGAGGCUAGUCUAUCCACCAUGCGAGAGGAAAAUGAAGCCCUCCGAGUGGAGUUGGCUGAGGCGAAGAGUCGAGAAGAAUCGACUGUGGGCCGCCUACAUGAGGCGGAAGGUGAGGCAGCCCGGCUGAGGGAUGAAGUGAGUCAACUCCGGACAGAAGUUUCGAAUGAAAAGAAACAAAAGGAAGACUUGCAGCUGCGCCUGGAUGUGCAAAAAGAAGACCUUGAACAGGAGUUUGCUGUGGAAAGAGAGGAACUUGCAGCGGAUUACCAGCAACAAGUGGAUGAUAUGUUUAUCUUUGGGUAUCGCUGCUGCAUGAAGAAGAACGACAUCAAGCGAGAUACCCCUUCAAUUCCUCCGGGUGAAGAAAAGAAGCUCCAUGAGAAGCCCGCUCCCUGAUAGUUUAUCUUUUUUUGCAAUUUUUCUGCUGUAAUUUUUCCUUCUGUAUUUUUGUGGUCCGGAGAUCUCUUUGUAAUUACACUUAUUCAUAUCAAUAAAAACAUACUUCUUUCUCAUUUGCACUUGUGUAUACUUUUUAUUGAUAGUACUGCUUUAAAUUGGACACAUUCCAUGGUCUGAGUAACGGACUGCCAUCUAGCUUUUGUAAAUGAUAGGCUCCAUUUUCGUUUGCCUUAGACACUAUGUAGGGUCCUUCCCAAUUGGCUUGGAACUUUCCUGCGCCUACUUCAGCAGUAUUUUCAAAAACUUUUCUAAGUACUAGCGUACCAUUUUUGAAGUUUCUGGGCCUGACUUUUCGAUUGUAAUGCGCUGAUGCCAUUUGUUGAUAAUCUGCCAUCCGGAUGGCCGCGCUUUCUCUGACUUCGUCUGCCCAGUCUAAAUUUCUUCCUAGUUCCGUGUUGGCAUCUUCUUGUUUUGUUGCAUCGGUCCGGAUAGUAGGAAGACCUAUUUCAAUGGGAAUGACUGCAUCCAUUCCAUAUGUGAGGGCGAAAGGAGUGUUUCCUGUUGGUCGUCCGGGUGUGGUUCGAUAGGCCCACAGGACGCCGGGUAGCUCCUCCACCCACUUCCCUUUGGCUUGCUCAAGCCUUUUCUUUAAGGCAUUGAUUAGAGUUUUGUUUGUGGCUUCCGCUUGCCCAUUGCUUUGAGGAUAACGCGGCGUGGAGUAUGAAUUCCGGAUAUUCAGUUCCGAACAGAAAUUCCUGAAUGCAAUGCUGUCAAAUUGUGGACCAUUGUCAGCUAUGAUGAUUUGGGGAAUUCCAAAGCGGCAAACAAUGUUCUUCCAUACGAAUUUGGUGACAUCUUUAUCUUUGAUGCUUGCAUAUGCUUCAGCUUCUACCCAUUUACUGAAGUAAUCAGUGGCGACAAGGAGGAAUUUCUUCUGGGCAGGUGCUGCUGGGAGGGGUCCCACUAUGUCCAUGCCCCACUGCGCGAAAGGCCAUGGGCCUGAGACCGAUUUCAAUGUUGCCGAUGGCAUAUGUGGAAUGGGAGCGUAUCUUUGACAUUUAUCACAUUUUUGGACAUAUGCUACCGCGUCUUUCUUCAUUGUGAGCCAAUAGUAUCCUUGUGAAUGAGCUGUAUGUGCCAGGGAUCGUCCUCCCGUAUGAUUUCCGCAUAUUCCUUCAUGUAAUUCAGCUAGCACAUAUUGGGCCUCUGAAUGCCCAAGACAGCGAAGAUAAGGCCCUGUGAAGGAUCGCUUGUACAGGUGCCCCCCAAUCAGGGUGAAACGGGCAGCUUGCACCCGGAUUUUGUGCGCUUGUUUAGGAUCUUCGGGUAAAGUGCCUGUCCGGAGAUAUUCUGCAAUAUCAUGCGUCCAUUCUUGAUCAUCCGCUUGGUUUGCCUCAAUGGUGUUGCAAGUGGAACUUUCUGCGACAGAGGGAUUGACUUGUACAUGGAUAGGCAAUAGAAUGGCUUCUCUGAUGGGGAGGGAAGCAGCUAUACCGGCCAAGGCGUCAGCGUGCCCGUUGUCAACUCGCUUAAUUUUUUCGAUUGUCCACUCGGUGAAUUGCUGUAAGGUGCUUCUUACAUUGGCCAAGUAUCGCGCCAUGCAUGCAUCCUUAGCCUCAUAUUCUUUCUGGACAUGCCUUACCACUAGUUGCGAGUCGUUGUAGAUCCGGAGUUUGGAGACGGAUAGAGCAAGGGCGAGGUCCAAUCCGGACAGGAUGGCCUCGUAUUCUGCUUCAUUGUUAGACGCGGAGAAUCCCAGCCAGAUGGCUUGCUCCAGAUGUUCCCCAGUUGGGGACUGUAGUAAGAGCCCAACUCCAGAGCCUGAUGAGCGUGAGGCUCCGUCAACUCGUAGAGUCCACCACUCCUGUUCACUUGAUUCGUGGUGCUGGUUGGGUCUUCGUGAAUAUUUGAGCACAAAGUCGGCCAUUACUUGGCCUUUUUUGGAUAAUCUGGGUUGGAAUUCGAUUCCAAAUUCGCUCAAUUCGAUGGCCCAUUGUAGCAUUCGCCCAGUUAAUUCUGGUUUGUGCAGAAUGCUACGAAGGGGUUGGUCGGUCAGUACAAUCACUGGGUGGGCUUGAAAAUAGGGGCGGAGCUUUUGAGCAGCACUUCGAAGAGCUAAGGCUGUUAGCUCCAUUUUUGAAUACCUGGUUUCUACAUCUGCCAAUGCCCUGCUGACAUAGUAGACAAGUUUCUGCUCCUUUGGUGAAGGACAGCGGAAUAGAACGGCGCUGAUUGCCCAUUCUGAGACAGCCAGAUACAUGUAUAACUUCUCCUUUGGGAUGGGGCUGCUUAGGAUGGGUGGCUGCAUAAGACAAUGCUUAAUUUUUUCGAAAGCACUUUGACAACUGUCUGUCCAUCCUUGUGCUCCAGCUUCUCGUAUUGCCAAGAAGAAGGGUCGCAAUUCUUCAGUGAAGCGGGCUAUAAAGCGCCCUAAUGCGACGAGCUUGCCUGUGAGUCAUUGUAGCUCCUUCUUGUUCCUGGGAGGGGGUGUUUCCAUGACUGCCUUGACUUGAUCCGGACUGACUUCUAUGCCUCUCUGGCUGACCAUAAAUCCUAGGAACUUGCCAGCACUUACUCCAAAGGCGCAUUUAGAAGGGUUUAGCUUCAUGUCAUACCUUUGCAAGAGGUGAAAAACUUCUUGUAAGUGAAGAUCAUGCUGCUCUCGGGUUUUGCUUUUAACCACAAUGUCAUCAAUAUACACUUCUACCGUGUGGCCUAUUAGAGGUUUGAAGAUUUUAGUCAUUAAUCUCUGAUAAGUGGCGCCAGCAUUUUUGAGUCCGAAUGGCAUGACUUUAUAGCAGUAGAGGCCAUGUGGUGUUAUGAAUGCUGUCUUUUCUUCGUCAUCUGGAGACAUGGGAACCUGGUGAUAUCCGAAGAAGGCAUCCAAGAAAAAGAGCAUCCCUUGCCCGGAAGUGGAAUCUACAAUUUGACCUAUUCGUGGUAAGGGAAAACUGUCUUUUGGACAUGCGUUAUUGAGAUUGGUGUAAUCAACACAGACUCACCAUUUGCCCUCUUUCUUUGGUACCACCACUACAUUUGCCAACCAAUCCGGAUAAGAUACUUCUCUGAUGAAUCCGGCUUCCAGCAAUUUGUCAAUUUCAUUUCGGAUAACUUUUUGUCUAUCCGGAUGAAAGCGUCUAAUCUUCUGUCGAACGGGUCUGGCUGCUGGAAAGACGUUAAGCUUGUGAGAGGCAAUAGAGGGAUGAACUCCCUUCAUAUCCGAAUGUGUCCAUGCGAAGAUGUCAUGGUUGCUUCGAAGGAUAUUUUGUAUGCUCUGAGUUUCUUCUUGUGUCAUGAGGGAACUGAUGUUCAUGAGGUGAUCAUUCUCUUCUGAGAUUUGGAUUGUUUGUAAGGGAUCUGCUGCCAGGGGAUCCUUGUCCGCCGGACCCAAUAAUUGCUAUUGGUCAUGCGUAUGGCUGGGUUCAGGGGGAGAUGCAUCCUCCUGGCUAGUUCCCGCUUCUCGUGCUAUUUGAUAGCACUGUCGAGCGGCCAACUGGCUGCCAUACAAGUCAGUUUGCCCUUCGUUGGUGAGGAAACUCACCAUUUGAUGAUAUGUGGAAGGGAUGGCUUUCAUGUAGUGAAGCCAUGUGCAUCCCAAGAUGACAUUGAAGGGUGAUAACUCUUGUACCACCGAGAAUUGCACGUUGAGAGUGACUGGGCCAGCUUGGACCGGCAGUAUAAUGUCUCCUAAGGAUGUGGUUGAUGACCCGUUGAAUCCGGAUAAGAUUCGUCCGGGGUUUUCGAGACCCGCGAGACUAUGUCCCAUAUGGCCAACGACUGAUGUUUGCACUAGAUCGGCUGAACUGCCUGGGUCGACCAAGAUACGUCUUACAUCGAAAUCUCCUAUUUCUAGGGAGAGGAUGAGGGCGUCGCGAUGUGGCUGUAGCGUCCGGGUGGGAUCUACUGGAGGGAAAAUGAUUGUCCCAUCUAUGGGGCGAGGGCCCUCUCCAGUGAGACCCGACCGGAUGGAAUUAAUGUGUUCGCGUAUUGACGCGGCUCGCAGCAAUUUCUGCCUUUUCCGCCUGGAAUCGUAUUCCUCGUCAGAUGGGCCCCCGUUGAUAUAGUUUAUGACAGCCUUGGGGGCGACUGGGGCCCUCGGGGCCCCAGAGUUAUGAUGUUGAGAUGCGUCCCUUCCUCUAAUAUCUGAGCGGAGGUACUGUUUUAAAUGUCCUGCUUUGAUGAGCCUUUCAACUAGAUACUGGAGGGACCGACAUGUCUCUGUUGUAUGACCAUGGUCUUUGUGGAAGGCGCAUUUCUUGUUGCGGUCUCUCAUGGAUGGGUUCGUUUCGAGGGGUCUAGGCCACCUGAAGUCGGACAACCCUUGGAUCAUUGGGAGAAGUUUUUCGUAUGACACGGAUAGGGGUGUGAUGGGCGGCCUAUCCAGACGACUCGGCCCGUCCUGCCUCCGGUCAACUGGUUUUGGCCGGUUCGGAGGUUUGGCAUGUCUGUCCGCGUCAUCUCUAGAAGUUUGUCCGGCAACCAAAACUUGCUGAGUGGCUGCACGUACGUCAUCUUCGAGCAUUGAAUAUUUGUUAGCACGUCUGAACAAAUCGUCCAUCGUUGUAGGAGGCUUUUUGGCCAGCGAUUCGAAAAAUGGAGUGCCUGGACAGAUGCUUCUCUUGAAGAUCUGUAGGACAGCAUCCAUGCUGCAAGCCUCUAUUUGAAGUACGGCUUGGCCAAAUCGUUUCACAAAUUCCCUCAAGGAUUCGUUGUCUCUCAUUUUUAUGUUCUGGAGGGUGCUGAUAUUCUGCUUGUGUCGAGCAGAGCACAAGUACUGUCCCACGAAAGCUUCAGAGAGGUCCCUGAAAUUGUCAACAGAGUUAGGAGGUAGGCGAUGAAACCAUGAGAGGGCCUGCCCUUGAAGGCUGGCGGGGAAUACUUUGCAUAGCAAUGCAUCGUUGCCAAUAUCGAGCGUCAUAAGCUGUCGAUAGUGCAUGAUGUGAUCGAAGGGAUCGUUGGUCCCAUCGUAUGUGGAAAACUUUGGUACGAAGAAUCCCCUUGGGGGCUCGUAAUAGGUGAUAUGAGAGCAAAAGGGCGUGGAGAGCAUGUCAUCCAGCCUUUUACUGAUGGAGCCAAUGGGUGGCUCGUUUGGGAGGUUUCUCCCAUCUGGUCGUUCCGCUAGGUGUGAGUGAACGUUCCGCAUCGCUGGGGUGACCAUGGGGUCACGAUGCGGAGGUACGUUCUGCACCAUGGGAGCGAUCAUAGGAUCGGGGCGUGGUGCCCGGGUUGUGGCUACUGGUGGCCUUGAUCUCCCAGGCUCUUGUGGGCCUAGUCUUGCGCUCAUAGAACUUGACAACUGUGAUUUUCUAUCACGUUGUCUUUUUACUGAAAAAUGAGUGGAAUCUGAGCUUUCCUCACGGGGAGCUCGAGGCAUAGGUGUACGUGGCUCAUGGGGCCUUGCGUUGUAUGCUCCUGGGACAGCUCCUGUUGACCCAGGAUAUAUUGAUUCUGGCUCUGGCCUUAAGUUUGCCACCUGGCCUCUUGAACGCUGACGACGACGAGGACCUGACGUUGAGGCUUGAAUGCGUAACACAUCGUUUUCUUCCCUUAACCUCUCCGUCUCCUAGAGGAGAGCUCUUAGUUGUUUUUCGCUCGCCAACUGUCUUUUUUCGAUGGCCUGACGCCAUUCGAGAUUAUCUUCCUCCCCUCUACCAGAUGAUCGACUUUGGGAAGGUGUGGCCAUCUUUGCUAGUGACUGAAUCAAAAUAAAAAGUAAAGUUUCCCACAGACGGCGCCAAUGUUGUCACCUCGCGUAUCCGGUGGUCCACGUUGCUGCUAGAUGGAUGGACACGCGAUUCUCAACACACAAAGGGUUCUUGAUUCAGCGGUCGUACCUGCAAAAGGCAUCCGGACAGGGUGUCCGGACGCACCCUCCGAUGGUUUUGUUAGCCAUGGUAAGAGAGGAAGAUAUAUGAGGCAGUUGGCUUUUUACUAGGUAUCAGGAGGUUACCCAGAGAGAGAGCCCCAGUUCUUCUUCGCGUGAAGACUUAUAUAUAUAGCUUUAAGGGUACUGUUCCUCUCAUUAAUGGUGAGGAGAUGUUUUAUGUUGUCAUGAUGACAUUAAGUAGCAGCAGAGACAUCAUCACCCUACGAGCGGCUGUCAGGAACCAUGGUAGGUGACGCGACUGUCAGAGAUCGUGAUAGGUGAUCAUGUAGAAUGAUCGUGGGAAGUGACUUGCUAUCACUUCAUCUUGUCUUCUCACUCUGCAGGUGACAAGAUGUGGGCCAUGGCUGCUUGUUGUGAUUGCGUGUAAGACUCACUUUACUUUAAUUGACCAUCCAGACGAUUUAUAUCCGGAUGGCUCAUGCUGAUUAUCCGGAUGUGUUGUGGAGACUAUCCGGAUGUCUACGCUCUGCCAGCGUCAUUUGCUCUUCCUUGGAUAGGAGAAGCUGAAACGUCGUUUGCCUUUCCUUGAGGCUGUCCGGAUAGGAUAACUGCACCAUGCAUAUCCUUAGGGGAAUCCGGAUGAUGAUGGUCCGGCUGAUAACACGUGCCACGCGUCAUCAUGAGUUGCGUGCCACGUGUUUCCCAAGGGGAGGGGUCCCUACACAGUUGUGACUCAGCAACCACCGCUGAUAGUGACUAAACCUUGCAUGGACUCGAGCCCACGUAGCAUUUAGGCAUAAAACACAAUAACACGUCCCGAUCAUGCGCCGCAAGGCUUCGUUUACUAAAGAAAAAAGGAUACUUUUUCUCCAUAUAUUGCCUAAUUGGGAUGCAAUUUUAUAAUAAGAAUGGAGGAGAAAAAGAGAACAAGCCCCAGACAAGUGACCCAACAAUGACUUCCCACUUCGGAAACACUGUUCCAUUGCCCAUGUUUUUUACGACACCAGAGUGAAAUGGUGGUGAGAGGUCAUGAUCAGUAAGUAUAAUAUUAUUUAUAAGUUGUUUAACACAUAGAAUGUUUUGUUGUAUAGCUAGUCAAAAUCCGCCUAUAAAGUAGCACAAAGCUAAAGUGCAGAGCACACAAAUUUCUUCUUCGAUUGGCAACCUUUUGAAAUGCGAUGCCAGUACUGCUAAUUCAUGCGUACCAAACUGUAUAUAAUAAUAAACUCCAUACUGGGGAAAUCAUUAAUGGAACUUGGAAUAUUAUUCUGGCCCUUGGGCUGUCCACAAGAUUAAAGAUGUGAGACAAGACUCACUAAGUUCUAAGGUUGUGCAGUGUCUUCACACUUGGGGGCAUUCAACUCGAAUGGAAUGUCAAAACCCAGUUCUUGUUUGGUACUAGUUUCAGCACAUGGAGUAGUGCCACUUGUGAGAUGCCAGCAUUCAACCAUUUGACCAUUGGGCCAGACCACCGUCCACAUACAACUGAGUUCCAAAAUGCAAGAAACGUGGCCCCCGCAUAUCACGUGUCUACCCGCCCCAUUGUGAAAUAACUUCUACAAAAACGGCCGGCUAGUUCAUUUACGUUACGUGGGCACGUGAUCUUACAAAUAAACGCCCCUCAUGCACGUUCCAUUCACUAACACAUUUUGGGUUGGCUGUUUCGGGCCAAAUGCCAAGUAAUUUCAAUGCUUGAAGUUGUAGUUCAGUUUUUGGUUGACAGAUACGUGUACCUUACUAUUGUAUACCCUAAAAAAUCCAUGAACAUUUUGAAUAAUGUUGAACAUGUAGUAGGCACAAAAAUAGACACAUUUCAAUAGAUUUGGGUUAGACAUACUCAUGUUUGUGUUAUAAUCAUGUUAAGUUAUAUAUAUAACAUGUUUAAUAACUAGGUCAUAUUUAGUCUAUAUGACUUCUCGACCCAUUAAAGCUAUUUAAUUUGUUCACUUCAUGAAUUUUCCAUUGCACCCAGCUAAUUUCUACAUGAAUUUUUAAAAUAAUGUAGUUUAGGUGGUUGAAAGAAUUAGACUUUGGGAAGGUUAAUUCUGGAUGGUUGGGAUGCACUUCGAGUCUCAUACAUACAUGGAUAUAACUUGGAUGAAUGUUCUUCAGUUGUAUAAGUCAAGCUUACCUAUAAAUAUUAUGUAUAUUUUUUAUAAUGAAUUAGGACGAUAUUAAGUUGGUUUACUAAACAUCCAUAUAAUGUUAAAUAUAAAUAUUGAAGGAUAUGAAAUCCACAUAUCAAUAUAUCAAACUUUUACCAAACCCACCUCAUGACAACCUUCUUAUGGUUCUCACACGGAUUUCUAUUGUUAUCAAACAAAAAGUCUAUAAUAAAAUAUUUUUUAUUAUAAUUCAUAGAUACUCUGACAAUUAAAUAAAAGGAUAAACUUAUUUGUGGAAUAUAAUUAAAAAGAAAAAAGAAAAAAAGAGACGGGUUAGAGUUUUAAAUUAUUAUUAUUUUAUAUACUUUAAAUAAAAUAGUAAUAAUAUAAUUAAAAACAAUGUCCUCUUUCAACUUUCAUACCUUCAACCUAUACGAGCUGUGAUAUUUUCAAGUUGGUAUUCUUUAACACAAGUCCAUUCCUAACUUAUUCAACUUUUACGACUUCAACGUAAACCUCGUGAUGGUACAAAUUAGACUAUUCUGCCCUACCUAAGUUAAAGUCCUAAAAAUUUCAUAAGAAUUAUGGACUCACCUUAUUAUGAAUCUAGACAUUAUUUAUUCUGAUUUAUCUAUUCUUUAAUAUAUAUAUAUAUAUAUAUAUAUAUUGGUUUUAAUAGGCAGAAAUGUCCUUAAUGACCUUGUACAUAGAGUACAUAUAUGAGUGAUAAUAAUACGUGUUUAAGAAUAUGUUUGACAAUAAUUUAAAAAAAUAUUUUUAAUAUUUUUAACAUUUAAAUUAUACAAAUUUUAAAGUGUUAAAAAGUUUGAAAACACUUACUAAAAUCAUUGUCAAUUAAUAUUAUUAUAAGCUAAUUAUUAUUAUUAUUAUUAUUAUUAUUAUUAUUAUUAUAUCAAACAUGUUAAAAUUUUAUUAUAUACCUUAUAAAAAUAAAAGUUAUGCUCUUAUAUUAGGUUGCAAUUUGAAGUUCAAGUUCAUUAAACUAUGCAGAGUUAAGCUUUAUGUUAAAAAUAAUAAAUAAAAAAUUAUAGAGAAUCAAUUCAAUCAAUUCAUUAUUUUCCAAGCAAGGAUUAAGAUAUUGAAGUAUUGAUGGUUAUAUUUUACAAAACAUUGAAACAAAAUAAUAAUACAUUAAUAAUAUAUAUAAUGAUAAUAAUUCAUAAAUCUUGAAAAUAAAUUUAAUAUUAAAAUAUCAUUCCAAGUAAUUCUGAAGUAUUCAAAGAUGUAAAUUAAAGAAAUAAUAAUAUAGGUAUAAUUAUUUUUUAUUUAAAAGUAUUAAUAAUUUCAUUUACAACUUUAUGUUGUCAAAAAUAGACGUAUCAAAAGAAUUAUCAUAAGAAAGCUUUAUAUUUUUAAUAAUAAAUUAAAUUAAGGUGGUGUUUAUUUUUUUAUAUUUAAAUCUGAAUGAAAAUUAAUUUAACUUAAUAGAAUUAAAUAUUAAAUUAUUUGUUUCUUAUCAUUUUAUUUUUGUUAAGUAUUAAAUAUUAAUAGGGUGAAAGCCUUGUUGAGCUUGUGCAAAAAAAUUAUUUUUAAUAUUCAAUAAAAAGUUAAAUAUUUUGGUUUUUGCUAUUCAUAAAAAAUUCUUAAGAAUUAAUUUUUUAUUUUUAUUCAAAAUAGUCGUGUUUGGUCAAACACUUUAAAAUGCAUUAGCAUAUUUGUACUCAAACGUUUUUAUGAAAAUAAUUUUACACUAAAUCUCCUAUUUGUAAGCAUGAUUAAAAUUAUUUGAUCCAUGAAACUGUUUUAAUGAUCCUUAUUGGGCUUCGAGUUCAUGCCCAUUUGUUGAUAAUUUUUCAAGUAUUCUUAGUCCGAGCGAGGAGUGAUGGCUAGGCUAGGGAAUUUUUUCUUUGUUAGGAUUUUGAUUUAAACUUUAUUAUGGACAUUGUUUAGAAGUUAAAAUUUUAUUCAUGUUUGAAUUAUUUGAUUUUGGAGUUAUUUGGAUAAUAACACUUUGGUUGAUGUGUUAAUUUUUUUUAUUUUUUUUUAAGUUGAGAAUUGGGGAUUAUAAAAUUUAUUUAUUUUACUACUCUGAAUAUGAAUUUGGUAAUUGAUAAUUUCUAAUUACAAGAUAAAUGUUUGUAUUGUUUCCACUUUAAGCCUUCGGGCUUAAGGUGUGAAAUGAUCGUCAUGCCCAUGGAGUAGGUUUUGGGGCAUGACAUAAUUAGUACAUUUUCAUUAUAUAGUUAGUAUAACACCCUUGUACAAUGAUGCAAAUUUCAUCCACAUGCAUACAUUAUGUGUCCAUAUAGGAUGUGUGAAUCAUAUUUCCAAUGAUUUUGUUUAGAAAAUGGUGUAAGACAUAAAAACAAAUUUUUUUCCCCAAACAUCAUUAUUGGGAUAAGUAUUUGAAUUAUCAUAUGUAAGUUAAAUAAAGUGCAUGAAAUGAAGGAAUUUGAAAUAGAAGAGUGUGAAGUUAUUGGAUGAUAGGAAAAAAAAAAUAGUUGUUCAAAAUUGACUAAAAUCCUCCACAAAUGGCAACCUUGUAUAGUUAGUGUUUUUACCUUAUACAAUUAGUGUAACACUUUUUUAUAAUGGUAUAAAUUUCAUACAUAUGUAUAAAUUAUGUCCACGCGAGUGUAUAAACUAUGUUUCUAAUGGUUUAACAUUUAAAAUGACUAAAACAAAUAAAAUAUUAUUUUAUUUUAUUUUCAAUGGAAAAUGUUAUUAAAAAUAAGACAAAGAAAUGAUUUAAAAACUAUUAUUUAACUUAAAUUUAUUUAUUUAAUUCGUUCCCAUUCCUUAUUUUCAUAUGCCAAACAUGUUCUUAUUCCAAUCUCAUUACAAUGACAUUAAUACAUAUUAUUCCCUUUCUAUUGCAGACAAUAUGGAAGAAGUUGGAAUUAACUUUCAUUUAUUUACUUAUACCGGCACAGAGUCGAUGAAUACGGAUGCAAUAUUAUCCUUCAUCACUUUCCCAACACGAGUGUAUUCAUCCUUUUCCUUCUAAUUGAUGUCUACCACUUGUGUAAGAUUGAGAACUCCGGUAAGGAUUGGGACCGACAUGGAAGUAGGUAUAAGAAACCCUUGGUUAAUAUCCUUCCAUGGAUUCGCAAUUUGCUUGUUAAACUCAUCAUCAUAAGCCUGUUGUUCUAAGACACUAUAUUACUUCACAUAGCAUUCAAUGGAUGAGGCAACAUGCCCUCUCUCUUCUUUAGAAUUCCUAGCAUACCUUUCCUAUCUUCCCAAGGCCGCACAUAUUUUUUUUUCUCACUUAAAUUUGGAGCACCUUCCUUUCUUCUCACAUAAGCAGUGCACUUUAUUUUUUUUUUUCUUCAAUUGGUGCAUUUUUAUUUAAUUCUCAAGGUGGCCUAUCUUUCUUCACUUAAUGACGUACUUUCUAAAACUUCAUUGCUUCCUAUCUUCUUUUCUUCUUGUUAAAGUGGUGCACCUUUGUUACUUGACACAUCUUUUUACCUUAGGGACUUGGUGCACCCUUGGCUUGUGGGACCAUGAUUAAAUAAAGACUUUUAAUUUUUAUUUGGGAUUUUUUUUCUUCGAUUUGAGAAGUACACAAAAAUUAAAAAGGAAAUUUAGGAUUAGAAUUAGGGUGUAGAUUUUUUUUUCUCCUAUUUAAGGUUUGCAUGAUUUAGAAGGAGCAUAAAGAUUUAAAAUUAGAUUUUCUUUUUGUCCAUUUAAGGUUUCAUUUGGGCACUGCAUAAAGAUUUUGAAAGAAAUGUUAGUAUUUAGAAUUUUUUCCAUUUAGGAUUUGAUUUGGAAAUUUAGGUUUUAAUUUGGGAAAUAGAUUAAGAAGAUUAAAAAAAGAAGAAGAUGAUAUUUUAAUUUUUAUUUAAUAUCUUAAUUUUAAUUAUCUAAAAUUAUUUAAUUAUUCUAAUUAAUGAUAUUUUGAGGUUAAUUGCGAUUAGUAUAUUAAUUAAAAUUAAUUAUAUAUAAAAAUCUUAAAUUAGGAUCAAUGGUAUUUUAGAAAUUUUUAUUAAAUUUAGUUGGUAAUAAUUUGUAGAUUAUUUUGUAGAAAGCUUAAUUAGAAUUAAUUAAAUCUUUAUAUUAAAAAAAAAACUUAAGAAUAAUUAGAUAAUGAGAUAAUAUAUACUAAGAUAAAUAAAAGAUACUUUAGGCAUUUUCUUCGAUUCUUUAACAAUGAUAUCAUUAAUCAACUAACAAUCAAUCCUUAAGGAUAGUCAAUGCUUGAUUGAUGGUCAAGUUAUGUAAUGGUUGAUCAAGGGAGUGUUGGUAUAAUUUCAGAAUCCUGAAGAAUUAAAAUGUAGUUAUCAGAUACCCUUCUUUAAUUGAGAUAAGUUGCUUCAAUGAGUGAUUGUCGAUUGAAAUUUUACUCCUAAAAUAUGUUUGUGGCUUUAGCUUGUCAAAGAAUAUGCUGGGAAUCAGUUAUGCUUGGGUUACGAGUUCCAUAAGCUUACGGCAUUAGAUUUUCAAGAUUGUCUUUCUUUGGAUGAGACCGUUAUAGAGAAGAGGGCCUUGCCAAUCCACUUUCAUUCAAACUGUUUGUCCUUAUUCUCAAUGAAUGAAGCAUUUUAUUUAAAGCAGAACACUCUAAAACUGUGAGAAACUAGCCGCCAAAGCAUUUAUUCCAAUCUUAUUACAAUGCCAUCAAUGCAUAUUAUUCCCUUAAUUUCCAUUGCUGACAUAUGGAAGAAGCUGGAAUUAACUUUCAUUUGCUCAUACUGGCACAGGGUCAAUGAGCAAGGAUGCAAUAUUAUCUUUCAUCACUUUCCCAACAUGAGUGUAUUCAUCAUUUUCCUUGUAAAUGAUGUCUACCACUCGUGUAAGAUUGAGAACUCCGGUAAGGAUUGGGACUGGCAUGGAAGUAGGUCUGAGGAACCCUUGGUUAAUAUCCUUCCAUGCAUUUGCAAUUUGCUUGUUAAACUCGUCAUAAGCCUGUUGCUUUGAGACACUAUAUUGCUUCACGUAGCAUUCAAUUGCUGAGGCAACAUGCCCCCUCUCUUGUUCAAACUGCAUACACAUAUAGUAACGCAAAAGAUGAGGAAAAAAACUACCAUACAAAUUGUCACAAAUGAACUUAUAUGUAAUAUAUUCUACAUGCAUACCUUAUGUGAAGUCAUGUCAUUCAUGAGUCUAGCAAUUAAACAUGAAGCUAUUGUAAAAAGGGUCAUUGUAAACCCAUUCGAAGGCCUCUUUUGUUAUGAUCUCGUCCAUGCCAAUGAAAAAGAUGACUGUGGUCAGGGGGAACGAUGAGCUUACUCUUGCAACUUGCAUGUAUUUGUCUAUGGUAGGUACAUUUCCUUCAUGGAACCAUUGUGCUUCAUCAAAGUAAGCGACAAUCUGAAUUUUCAUCUGACAAAACAUUCCUCCAUAUUACAUACUUCUACUUAUACUUUAAUUUUUAGUAUAAACUUGUGGGAAGGUAAAACUUAAUAUGAUACCUAAACAGAAAUUGAACCCAACACAUUUAAUUUUCUUGGGUUUGGGUUGAGUACAAGCAAGUUUAGGUUAAGUUCAUAUCAAUCUAGCUAUAUAACCCAUUUAAUAAAUAAAUUAUUUUUUUAUCAAUUUGAAUGAUACUAAUCUGAUUUAAAUUGACCUAAUUUAAUAAUUCUAGCUUAUUUAAUCAAUAUUCGAUUCCUAUAAAGCUUGAUUUUGGAUAUACUUUAAUUAAAAUUCAGUCACAAGCCUGUUAGGUUGGGAGAUUAAUAAUAUAAACCAUAUAAAAUCUAAUUCAAUUUUAUUAUUAAAUAACACGUAAUUAUUAAAUAGGUUAUACGUUACAUGUUUAAUAAUUAGGUGAUAUUUUUGAGAAUAUUUUUAACUCAAUUGUUAUCAGUAUUAUAUUUGAGUUGACCUAUUUAUUCGAUCUAUGAUAUGACACAAAAAUUUCAUAUAAACUAAAAGCCCUACAGAAAUUUCAUGAUAAAUCAAAUGAGAGUGAAGAGAGGGUUGUGAAUUGCACUUGGGAUUUCUGCUGAUGAGAGGGAUUUGAUAGAAAAACAGAGCGAAUCGCACCUUGGUAUUGUGCUGGCAGACAGACUCGUUGUAAGCGUGUUGGAGGUUGAAGAUGUAUUGGAGGAAAAAUCACUGGGAAAACAUGGAGAGAUGUUUUUAUAUAUUUAUUUAUUUUUGUUCUCUGAAUAGUAGGAAAAACAAGGGAAACAACUUUUUAUUGUUAUCCGAAAAUGGAGAUUUGAAGGAACCAAGAGAACACCCACUUCCCAAAUGUGUUUUUUGUAUUUUUUUGUUCUCAAAAACAAAAAACAGUUAUCAGAAACACCAACCAAGUAGGCCUUUAUUUUAUUUUAUAUAUGUUUUGAAUAGAUUAACAUUGGUGAAUAAAAUCAAUUGAAAAUAAGAGAUAAGAAAAAAUAAUCUUUUACAUAUUAAAAUUAAUAUAGAAAUUAGGGUGUAAUUAAAAGAAGUUAAUUUGAGAUUAGGUUAUGAUUAUAAAAAGUAGGAAAAAACACUAUUAAACUAAGAUUUUAUUAAUCUCAAUUGUGAUGAUUAUAAAAUAGGGUUUGGAAUUAAUUGUUUUAUUUUAAGUACAAGAUUUUGAGAGGGAUAAUCAAGAAGAUAUAUCAAGGUUGUAAGGAAUCCUAGAUUUCUCUGUUCUUAAAUCCUAAAUCAUAUAGGUGCAUGAAGAUCUACCCUAAGCUUCUCUAAAAACUAUUCUAACGGAAACAACAAUAAUAAAAACCAUUUAGAAUAAUAAACUAAAGAAGAUAGUAGUCAUACUUGGAUCUGGAUGUUCGAAGAUCAGUUUUCUAUCAUGAAGGGGAAGCCUAAAGAGUCUGAAUGUCAUGUCCACCUAAGAUCUUCCGCUGGAUGACUCAAACCACAAUUUUAGCACUCAAAAGUGUGGGCUUUGGAAGGGUGACUACCUUGACUCUCUCUAUCUCUUUAGAAGUGGAAGAUGAUUAUCAAAAGUCUUGGAAAUCCUAACCUUUAAAGGGGUAUUUUUAAGAUUCUCCUAUUGGGUUUAAGUGACUUCAGCUCAUCAAGGCUUAGAUCACUUAGUCUAAUAUAAAUUGAGUUUUAAUUGAUUAAUUAACUACAAAAGGUAAUCUAAUUAAUCAAUUAGUCAAUUCUAAAAACCUUGUUCACUAUCCCUUUUGCAAUCUUGCGUGAUUACCAAGACGCAUUUAAGCACAAUAGUGAACUUAGAGUCAAUCCAAUUCUCAUAAAAUCAUGUUAUCAUGGAAUAUGAGUUUAAAGCAGGGACUACUUGAACCCGGAGGAUUAUUGGCUUCCUUAGAAUCUAAUUUUAAAAUUGAUUUAACACUACGUUAAAGAGAAUCAAUUGCACUCCAAUACCUUAUGUAAAUAACAAUGAGACGAAACUCAGGUUCAUGACCUACUAUCUAUUACAUGUAGACUUCCCAUGAAUUGUUGUCCAUAAUCUGACAAGAUACUACUACCUAUCAAGAUUACAUCUCCAAUCAUUGAGUUACAAAUCUUACUUAGUAUGUGAUCAAUUAACAUAUUCUAGCUCCAAGAAGCAGAUGUUAAAUUCUCACAAAAGGAAAUGCUAUGACCAUAGUUUUCUAGAUCACAUGUUCUUUGGAUCACCUAAGGGGACACACUAUCUCAAUUCUAUAAGAUAUCAAGUAUCUCUAUUGAGAAUCCCUAUUGUCACUAGCCUCCAUCAACAAUGACUUAAUCAAUAGGAAUAUAUGACCACCAUAGGAUCUCACCCAUAGGUCAAAGCCUGUUGUUGACUUUAAAACAAACUCAAUAUUAUUUCAAAGUUGAGAGUCCAUACAGUAUAGUAACUUGGUAAAUCAUGAUAAUUGAUAAACUUACAUCAUAAUUCACUAUAGGUCUUGUCUCGCGUACAUAACAUAUACUAGUGCACUCACCAACUUCCUCACAAUGCAGAGCUUGUGAGAGCUCGAAAAAACUGAGAGCUCAAGAAUUCAAGAGUGUUCCAAAAAAUCCUCUCUCCUACUUUUGUAAUUUUCUCUUUAAAAAAUGUAGUCCUUUGUAUUCAUCACUUUGAGUCAUCCCUCUGCUGUCAACAAGCUUGUAUCAACAACUCUCUGUAAUCAAGGUAUAUUUUCAAUAAAAAAUAUUUUUCAGAUUCAAAUAUCUGUGUUUUUAUGAUUAAAUUUCUACAAUAAAUUAGAAAGAAUUAGAAAGUAAUUAUUUCUGUUUUUAUGCUUGGAGUUCUUUAGAAAAAAUUAAUUAUUGCGUGUAUGAAAUUUCUAGCCCAUUUAUCUAACUUUUUUUAUUUUAAUAUUUUUUUAUUUAAGAUAAAACUAUUAAUUUUUACUUUUAAAUUUUAAUUUAUUUAAUACUAUUUUAAACACAACUUUCUUUCUUUCUUUUUCUUUAAACAGGACUGAACAUCAUACUAAUUUGGUCAAAGAAAUUAAAUAAAGAGUCAAACGUUUACCAUGCAUCAGUAUCCCUCAUCCAAAUGCAUUGCUCAUUGUAGAAUCAGAUGCAUCUAAUUUAGGUUAUGGAGGCAUAUUAAAACAAGAAUAUAACAAUCAAGUGCAUAUAGUUAGAUAUCAUUUAGGGAUCUGGUUGGAUGCUCAAAUAAAUUAUUCAAUUGUCAAAAAAGAAGUUUUAUCUAUAGUUUUGUGUAUUUCAAAAUUUCAAAGUGAUUUGAUAAAUAAAAAAUUUGUUUUGAAAAUUGAUUGUAAAGUUGCAAAAGAUAUUUUAGAAAAAGAUGUUAAAAAUUUAGUUUCAAAACAAAUUUUUGCAAGAUGACAAGCUUUACUUUCAAAUUUUGAUUUUGAAAUUGAAUUUAUCAAAGGAGAGUUGAAUUCCCUUCAUGACUUCCUUACUCGGGAGUUUUUGCAGGGUAAGGAUUCUCCUCCAUCCUAAUAGGUGCUCCCUUUAGGCCUCAACUUCCUUCAUCAUCCAAGAAAACCAAAGCUUCUUAUGCAAUGAUUUCAAAAUUUUCAUAUAUUCAUCCUACUUUUCCAUUACAAACAUCAAAUUCCUUUCAAGUUCUAGGUCCAGAUUUUCCUCAUCUUCAACCUUCAAAAAGUUGUAUUCAAGCUUCUAAAUCAACCCCUAAAAUUUUUUCUAUUUAGAGUCAAUCCAGCCCUAACACUAUUUCAUUAUUACCUUUUCCUUUAUUUUUAUUUUUUUCAUAUAGUCAAUAUGUCAAAAAGCCCAAAACCUUAGAAAUUGCUUUUAUUGAGCCAGAGUUCAAUUAUGAGAAGAUUCCUAAAAUUCUUCCUUAUAUAUUUCCUCAAUGAGUCACCUUGAAUUCCAAUGAUCCUUUGAAAACUAGGCAAUUUUAUGAGUUCAUCCUGGUGGACACGGAUUUAGUUGAAAUUACUCAUAACACUGAUAAAAAUAAUCCUCAGAGGAUUGCUUUUUCCAAAUGUCAAAUUUUCAGAGUCAUGACCAUUGCUAAUUGGAAUCAAAAGCCCUUCACUUGCAAGGCGUUUAGUCAACAUUUCCAUCCCAUGAGCGACAAUUACAUAAAUUAUAUGGAUGCUUGGUACAAUAUGUUUUAUUUGCAAAGCUACCAACAUUCCUGAUUCAUCAAAUUCUCAAGAAAUUGUAAUACCAAAUUUCUUACUUGGUUUCAAAAAUGGUGGACUUUCUUUGGUCUACUAGACUCCAUAUUUCCUUCUGAAAUUCAAGAAAAAUUCAACUUCUACAAGAGCAAGACUUCAUCUCUAUCUAUCACUCAACCAAGACUCUUGAUGUUCUGUUUGAGAUUAAGAAUUCCAUGGAUUCUCUCAUGGAAUAUUAUCAAGAAGCAAGAACAACCUCAUCCUUUUCCAUUAUCUCUCUCUAGAGAAUUCAACAUCAAAUGGUGGGAAAAAUUCAAUCAUGAUUUUGUAUGUCAAUAGAAGACUUUGCAAAUAAUUUUAACAAGGUCAGGAUCAUCAAAUUCAAAAUAUUCAAUAUUGAAGAAGGUAUCAUGAAUGUCGGGCCCCCACCAAAGCCCUAAUUAAUUUCUCAUGAGUUGAUUCCAUAAAUUCCAUGACUUGGAAUUAUGGAGUUUGUUCAUGCUUGAGAAAAUUGAGAAAAAUCAAGAAAAUCGAUUGAAAAUCAAAUAAAAUAGUGAAAAUGCAUGCCGGAAGGAAAAUGACAGCAAGAGUAUGUUAGAAUAUGGAUUUUAUACCUAGAAAGGAUCUAAGAUGAAUUUUUCAAAGCUAGGAAUGUUUAGUUGAACAAUGGUUCAAAAAUUCAAUUUAAAACAAUAAGUUCCCAAUCAAAGAAGCAAAUAGAGGAGAAGGUGUGUAUAGCAAGGUUGCCAUGAAGUGAAGCCGAGAAAUUCUGGAUAGAAGGGACCAAUUCACUGCAAGAGUGUUCAACUGUCAAAUGCUUCAACUUAAAAGACAUCUUGAUUCGUAAGCUCAAUUGGAUUCCCCUCAACAAAAAGUCAAAUACUGGAUUGAAGGUUCAGAAUUUCCAAUUUUCUGCAUUGUUGUAUUUCCUGCAUUUUGAGUUAUUUCCCACCACCGAGACUUGGUUCAGCAGUAUUGUCGGAGUUUGCUUUUUGAUUGUGGGUGGAAAUGGAUCUGGCGAAUCGUGAGUAUCUGACGAGCCAAGCUAUCCGGGUGGAGUGUGAAUCGUUGGCCACAGAUGCUAUCCGGAUAAGCGUUAUCGAAGGAUCCGGACAUGUCUGCCCGGGAAAGUUGAAUCGUCCUCCUCUCUCAUUUGGCGGCGGGCGCUGGGUGUGAAAUAUCCGGAGAAUGUGGAACGUCGGCCGGAUAGAAUUGUGGCUGUGAGAUAUCUGAAGAAAAGUGGCGUCAGCCGGACAGAAUUGCGGCUGUGAGACAUCCGGAGAAAGUGGGAUGUCGGCCGGAUAGAAUUGCUGCUGUGAGACAUCCGGAUAAGGUAAACGUUGGCCGGAUAGAAUUGCUACCCGGAUGGAAUUAGCGAUGAUCCCGUUCGGGUGGAAUGAGCGAUGAUUCCGUCCGGGUGGAAUGAGCUGUGAUUCCCAUCCGGGUGGAAUGAGGGUGGAAUGAGCUGGGAUUCCCGUUCGGGUGGAAUGAGCUGUGAUUCCCAUCCGGGUGGAAUGAGGGUGGAAUGAACUGUGAUUCCCGUUCGGGUGGAAUGAGGGUGGAAUGAGCUGUGAUUCCCAUCCGGGUGGAAUGAGCUAUGCCACACGUCGAAAGGGGGGCGGUCUGCGCGGCCAAGAGAGAGGGAGCCACGUGGCAAUUUUUGGGGAGGAUCCCACAUGUUUAACCCCAAGAAAACCCGUUUUACACAGCCUUAUCAGGUUCCCACCUUUCUCAGAAUGCUCAUGGUCUCCAUAUCUGAGAAUACCAAGGUAAAGAAAGGGAAGAAACGUAGAUACAGAAACACAUAAAAAGACCAAGAAAGAAAAGAAAAGAAAACAGGGGAAAAGAAGAUAGUCGGUGGGUAUUUUGAAGCCAGAUUGGGAUAUAAAUGGGGGCAAGACCCAUAACAUCAAAUUCAAAGGUAAACCUAUAUUCAGAUUGCUUUCACAUGGAACCAAAGACAUUAAAAGGAAUAUUAAAAUAGCAUAAACAUGCAAGCAAACCAGUCUCAACUAAUCAAAUUGUGGCCCUUGCAUCCACACCAAACGACAAGAAUGAAUCUUCAGAAAACUAAGAAGUCAAGAAAGAUUGAAACUAAAUGGUGAUAUAGCAAAAAUCUGGAAACAUACUUGCACGUUCUUCCCUCCAAUUGCUUGGUUCCAGGCUGCUGCACCUUUUCCCGACGGAGAAAUCUGCUCCCCAAUCCUUUUUCUGUCCACCAAUCUUCUCCCUCUCUAUACGUGUUCCAAGUCCCUAUUUUCUAUGCCUCUCUUCCAGACGAUCCUCUCAUGCGUGCUUUUUCUCAUUCUUUUUCUUUUCUCACAUAUAUAUAUAUAUAUAUAUUAGCCUCUCAAACUCAAUUUGAUCAAGAGAAACCACUUUCCUUUCUUCUAUUUCCCUUCCUUUUUUCAAAAAUCAGAAUGUUCCUCUCUUCUCAUGCAGGAUCUUCUCUUUCCAUAUGUAUGCAGCCACAUUAAUUCCUUUUUCCUCACAAAAUAUUUCUCUUACCUUUUUGAGUGCACAUACCUUAGUGAGAGUUGAAUAGCAGCCCCUAUUCUCUUAUCAAACAAUAAAAAAAAUGAAAAUAGAGAGAAUAAAAAAUAAAAAGAGUUAGCAAUCUUGCAACCUAUCAAAGAUUAAAAUAAAAUAAAAAUAAAUAAAGUAAAACAAAAUAAUUGAAUAAAAUAGUCAAUCCUAUGCGGGCCAUGCAAGUUGAUUACUACUCAAAAAGUGCUAUUUCAUAGCUUGUAAUUAACUCUUUUAAACACUUUUGAGUAGUAGUUAUUGCCUUUUAACCCAAUUAACAUGUUAAGGACCCUUGCAAUCAAUUCUAAUCAAAUUGUGUAAGUUUUGGUGUUUUUGUUAGUAAUUUGAUCACCAAAACAAUCCAAGAUUGAGGAGAGUUAUUUAGAAACCAUGGCAAAGCUAUGAAGAGCUCAAAUUCAUGAAGAACCAAGCUUUGGAGCUCCAUAGCCCUUUGCCAAAGUCGUUCAAAGUAUGCAAGGAAAGAGCACUGGAGAGAGGAAAAACAGAGUGAAGAAAACAGAGGAAAGCCAGCUGCAGUCUUAUUUUGCAAUUUUGGAGCACUUUCUGAAGUCCAUUUUCUACAUUCUAUAUACCAUUUCAAAGCUCAGGAAGUCAAGAAUCCAAUGCUUCAAACGGUGCGCGAUUCGGAGUUGAAACGAAGAAGUUACAGCCACUGCAAGUCAAUCACUCUAAAGUGUUGCGGAAUCAGCCUUUUGUUGCGAGAAUUUCGCAGCCUUUUUGUACAGUGUUGUGGAUUUCCUCCUGAAGUUGCCCGAUAUAUGCCGCAAGCUGGAAGCUGAGAACUUCAAGGUGGAAGCCAACUUCGCAGCCCUGUGAGAAUAGCUUUUUGUUGCGAAGUAAUUUGGCAGCCCUUCAUAAGUGUCUGCGAAAUCUCGCAGACACCAUUUUCUCCUGCGAAAUGGUCCUUAGUGCUUCCCGAUAUUUGCCACCGACUCUUUUGGAUAUUUUUCUUCAGAUAUUUUUGUCUAAAUUUCCAUUUUCUCCUUGUAUUCAGCCACUCAUGUAAUUCCUUAGCUAGGAAGUAUCCAAGGAAGGGUAAAUUACCUUCCUAUAUAAACUCUCUUGUAAACACUCUCAGGAGACGCUCGGGGAAGUAUGUAAAAUAUAGAUAUAUCAUAUAUAGAAUCAAGGAACAGAGCACUUGCUCUGUUUUUCAUAUAUAUUCUUGUCUUCUCUUUCAUUUUCAUUUUCUAGCCAACCAAUCUCUGAGGAUUUUUCCUUAGAAGAUGAGAGGCUAGGCUCUUUGUCUCUUGGAGUGAGGAAAGCCGGGUAAGUUUCCACAUGCAUAAAUUGGAAGUUUUGUUGUUUUAGUUUUUAAUGAAGAGAAAGUGUAACCCGUUAGUGAUUUCUAUGUUUUUAGUUAACUUAAAAUGCCUUUAAAUCACCUGGGCCAACACUUGGUAAGGCAAGUGAUCUCCGUCCAUGGAGAUGCACUAGUUUACCCCUUGCGAGCCUUUGGGAGGUGACUUGAAGGUAGGAUUUUCUAGAAUAGCCAACACUUGGUAAGCUUUUGGACUCCAAGGAGACAUCCAUUAGUUAUCUUUUGUGAGCUUUUGAUGGGUAAUCCAAGGUUAAAGAUCACCUUGAAUGGCAAGUGCUAGGUGAGAGGUAUGAGUCAUUGCAAGGUGCAUCAGUGAGAGGGAUUUAGUGUUUGAACCCAUUAAUGGGAAGCAUCUGUACAACACCGGUUGGAGAAGGAACUAUAUGUUAAUUCUCUAAUGCGAGGAAAAGAAACAAGUGACCGGAACUCCCAUUUUGUAUGAGGAACGAGCCUAGUGAUCUGAACUCCAAGAAACACUUUUCUUUGUAAGUAAAAUCAGUUACUAUUUUUGGUUAGUUUAAAUCUAAACCUUUUUCAUUCAAACAUCUUUAUGUUUUCUUUUAAAGCUAACCUUGAAAUGAAAAGACACCAAUUCAGCUUUGAAUUAAUAUCAUUUGCAAAGUGAAAACCCAUCCCAGUGAACGAUCCUAGAGCCACUAUGCUAUAGUAGCUUUGUCUUUGCUACCCUAGUAUAUGGUGUAAUAGGUUAUAAAUUUUGUUGAUUACUCCCUCAAUCAAAGAGCACCAGCUGGACACGAAUCAGCUCAGACACCAAUUGAGCACGAAUCAAAUGGCGCCGUUGCCGGGGAUCGAACCCCGAAUCAAAUGGUGUCAUUGCCACUGCCGCUGCUAGGGACGAAUCACAAGUCAUACAAAAAGUGAGUCUAAAAGUGCUUACUGGGCCAAGUGUGUCUAAAUGGGCCUAGAGCGGUGCCUAAUGGGCUAAGUGUACCUAAAAGCUAUCCUAAAAAUGAACGAAAAAGGCUAAGUAUAAAUUAGGGCUACCAAGAGUCACAAUAAGUGGUCAGAUAAUCCCUCAACCAAAAUCUCCGAGGUGUCUCAGAAAAAGGUAAGUUGUACGAGUAGUAAUAGGCCACCAAGGAACUACUGUGGAGCGCUGAAAAUGAACUUAAAGACAUGUGCUAAAGGGACAAAAUUGAGGGUCUACAUCGAUAUUUUGAAAGAAUUGGUGAUUUUUUUUUUACAAUCUUCCUCCAUUGCUUCGCGCAUCUCUCCACAACGAUAUAUGGAAGAAGUUGGAAUUAGCUUUCGUUUUCUCAUACAAGCACAAGGUCAAUGAGUAAGGAUGCAAUAUUAUCUUUCAUCACUUUCCCAACAUGAGUGUAUUCAUCAUUUUCCUUAUAAAUGAUGUCUACCACUCGUGUAAGAUUGAGAACUCUGAUAAGGAUCAGGAUCGGCAUGGAAGUAGGUACGAGGAACCCUUGGUUAAUUUCAUUCCAUGCAUUCACAAUUUGCUUGUUAAACUCAUCAUAAGCCUGUUGCUUUGAGACACUAUAUUGCUUGACAUAGCAUUCAAUGGUUGAGGCAACAUGCCCUCUCUCUUGUUCAAACUGCACACAUAUAUAUAGUAAUGCAAAAGAUGAAGAAAAAACUACCAUACGAAUUAUCACGAAUGAACUUAUAUGUAAUAUAUUCUACACAUAUACCUUAUGUGUAGUCAUAUCGUUCAUGAGCCUGGCAAUUAAACAUGAUGCUGCCGUAAAAGGGUCUUUGUAAACCCAAUCAAAGGCCUCUUUUGUUAUCAUUUCUCCUAUUUCAAUGAAAGAGAGGGUUGUGGCUAAGGGAAGAGCUGAGCUUACUCGUGCAACUUGUAUGUAAUUCCUCUAUGGAACCAUUGUACUUUGUCAAAGAGCCAACCUGAAUUUUCAACCGACAAACAUUUGUCAAUGUUACAUACUUGUAGAUAUGCUUUAAUUUUUAAUUUUAUGUGAUUCGCCUAUGUAACUCGAGCCCAACACAUUUUGUCAAGAGAUUGGGUUGAGUAUAAGCCUGUUUGAGUUAAAUUUGUAUUGACCAAUGUAAUAUAUUGAAUAAAUAUGUUGUUUUUUUUUAUCAAUUUGCAUGAAUUUGACCUUAAUUGAAGUUUUUAAUAAUUAUGUUGAUUUGUCUUAUUAUCACUUUAAUCUAUUUAACCUAUAUUUGACUUAUUUCAAUUUUGAUUUUGAUAAAUAAGUUAAAUUGAGUUAAGCAUAUUAGGUUGAGAGAUUAACACUUGAUUAUUAGAUGAGUUAAACAAGUCAUAUGAUGUAUUGCAUGUUUAAUACUUAGGUUAUGCUUGGGCUUAUGUUUGAGUUGACCUAUUUAGUCGAAUGUCUGACCCACUACAGAACACCAUCAAAUAAAAAAGGCUCUUACCACUUCUUUUACAUAGUAGAAGCAAUAUGUUUUUCCUUCUUUAUCCAUCUCUUCCCCAAUUUCUUUGUAGACAUCUGAGAGUGCCUGAUAGGUCACUUCCAUGUAUUCUGGCAGUUGAUUGAUGCUUUUGAUAUCCCACCUGAAAAUAAAAGAACAUCCACCUGAGAAUUUUGAUAUCUCCUCGUUCAUUCCUUCCAUGAGCUCUUUGACUAAGGAAGGCUUGAUUACGGUGUGGUUCAAUUUUCUCUUCUUCCUUUGCAGUAGCAAUCAUUUGUUCAUGGUUUUGUAAGGAUGAUAUAAAUUGGUUUAAAGUUGGGUAUGGAAGCUUGGAAAGCAUAGUAGUUUUUCAAAUUAUAAUAUCUAGGUGUAAGGGCUUUAGUUAGUUGGAAGAGUUUAUCAAUUUCAAGAACAAACUAAUUUAUAACAAAUGUUAUCACAAAUAAACUUGAACUUGUGAAUGUAUUCGUCAUGUUUUAACAACAAACCUUUUCUUAAUUGAUAGUGACUAUCCUUUAGAGAACCCCUUCUUUCUCUUUUGUUUCAGGCCGAAGCUGUUCUUCAACUGAGUGCCUGUCCCAUCGUGUAGUGUGUCCUUUGACUGUCAUGCCGAGUACCUCCUUAAUCAUCUUUUGUAUGAGCCAAGACAUCAACAAGCCAUCAUUUUUUAUCCAACUUGUAUAUUUGGGACUGAUAGUUUACCUACCAUCUUCUUCUUCGAUUUGUUGAUUUGGCUUCUCUGCAUCUCCUACGUGGUGUUCUAUACCUAGACUCGUUAUUAGAGAUAGAAUCUGUGAUUUCCAAAGGAUGUAAUUAAAGUUUGACACCUUGAUACAAACAAGGCUUGGAUAUUGAUGGAAAGCUUGGAUUGAUAUUUUUGGCUUCAUAUCUUUCUGCUUUGAUACCAUGAAAAAAUUUGUAGAAAAAUGUAAUUGAAGAAUGAUUCACGAAUAAUAGAAAAACUCGAAAGGAUUCCUUGGUUGAUUUAUUUCAGUUAUGGUAAUAUAUACAAGUAUAUCAAAUAGCCCUUGGAGUUGGUCAACAUCAAUUGGUUGUCUAAGGAAGGCUGCUUAAGAAGGAAUUCUACAUAUUACAUUGAUCGAACAACUAGGGAAGAUUGGUCAAUAAAAAAGAAAAGAAUUCUAGCAAUGCUGACAAUGAUCUUGCUGGCGGUGAUUAAAAGAAACGAAAUUCAAGCAAUUCAACAGUGGUUUUCCAUGAAGUAAUCAGAGGGAAUAAUUUUGGCUUGUUGAAAAUAAUCAACGGAAGCAAUUUUGUCAAUAAUUUUGGCAGUGAUGGCAAUAUUCAACUUUCUACUUGUCAUAAACUUUCAAUGCCACUACAAAACACCAUCAAUGCACUUGAGAAUAGAACACUGCAAAAGCCAAUACAAUCCUAAACUUGUUCAGCAUUAUUAAGGGGUGUUUUGUAUUAAUACAUCCCAUUUGUAAUUACCUUACAACAAACUAAAAAAUCUUACAAUUUUAGAAAUAAUAUUUGCAUCGAUCGGUACCACAAUCUGACCUCAACUUUAUUCCAUUGCACCCAACUAAUUUCUACAUGAAUUUGUUAUGACAAGUAUAUGAUUGAUAAGAAUAGGUGUUUAAGAGAAUGUUUGACAGUGAUUUUAGAAAACAUUUUUAACCUUUCUAACACUUAAACUAUACAAAUUUUAAAGUGUUAAAAAGUUUAAAAACACUUUUUAAAAUCAUUAUCAAACGGAUUUUAAUAUUAUUAUAAGCUAAUUAUUAUUAUUAUUAUUAUUAUUAUUAUUAUUAUUAUUAUUAUAUCAAACAUGUUAAAAUUUUAUUAUAUACCUUAUAAAAAUAAAAGUUAUGAUCUUAUAUAAGGUUGCAAUUUGAAGUUCAAGUUCAUUAUACUAUGCAGACUUAAGUUUUAAGUUAAAAAUAAAAAAUUGUAGAGAAUCAAUUCAAUCAAUUCAUUAUUUUCCAAGCAAGGAUUAAGAUAUUGAAGUAUUGAGAUGGUUAUAUUUUAGAAACAAAAUAAUAAUGCAUUAAUAAUAUAUAUCUAUAUAUAUAUAUAUAAUGAUAUUUGAUAAUAAUUCAUAAAUCUUGAAAGUACAUUUAAUAUUAAAAUAUCAUUCCAAGUAAUUCGGAAGUAUUCAAAGAUGUAAAUUAAAGAAAUAAUAAUAUAGGUAGAAUUAUUUUUUAUUUAAAAGUAUUAAUAAUUUCAUUUACAACUUUAUGUUGUCUAUCAAAAGAAUUAUAAUAAGAAAGCUUUAUAUUUUUAAUAAUAAAUUAAAUUAAGGUGGUGUUUAUUUUUUUAUUUAAAUCUAAAUGAAAAUUAAUUUAACUUAAUAGAAUUAAAUAUUAAAUUAUUUGUUUUUUGUCAUUUUAUUUUUGUUAAGUAUUAAAUAUUAAUAGGGUGAAAGCCUUGUUGAGGUUGUGCAAAAAAAUUAUUUUUAAUAUUAAAAAAAAGUUAAAUAUUUUGGUUUUUGCUAUUCAUAAAUAAUUUUUUAUUUGUAUUCAAAAUAGUUGAUGGAGUUUGAGUUGGAUUCUAAUGAUUACUUGAAAUAAUAAAAUUAAUUUUUAUUAAAAAAAAUAAGAUAUAUAGAUAAUUAUUUUAAUUUAAAUGAAAAAUAUUUUAAAAAAAAGGAAAACAAAAUAAGAAAAAAAGAAGAGAAAAACCUUAUAUAACUCCUUAUUUGAAAAAAAAAGAAGAAAAAAGACAAGUUCAUAAACCAAGAUUGAGUUAAAAGUCAAAUUACCUAUUGAGAAAAUACGGCGAUAAGUCAUACAAAACAACUUUCUAAGCUUAUGUACCUAUAGUCUUUACUAAGCAAAUGAAAUGAAUUAUGACGAUUAAAUAAUUGAUUAUGGAUACUCAAGAAAAGAAAAACACAAUUAUAAAACAAGUCAUGGUGUUUGUUAUGUUACAAAAAUGUAAAAAACAAAUGAUAAGAGAAUUUGCAUAAGUUGAUUUAUGAAACUAAUUAAAAACAUGGGUUUAAUUAUUUCUAAAUUCAAAGGAUUAAAAAAGUUAUUCCAAUUUGAUGAUUUCAAUCGAUUUUAAGUACAAAAGAAAGUUUUGAUUUCAUUUUUUUUUAAGAAAAAAAUGCUUCAAAUUAUUCUAUUUAUAAAGAAAUGGUUUUUAUUUACUUUUUCUUUAAAAAAAUAUAAUUUACACAAAUUCUAUUUACCUUAACAUUCCUUUUUUAUUUUUAUGCAGAAGAGAAUACUUUUAUAAUUUUUGCUACAACAUGAUUUUUAUAAUUUUAUUUUAAAAGAAAGUGUCCAAAUCUAAUCUUAUGUGCAAGAGAAUCUUUUUACAAAUUAUUUAAGAAAAGGAUUUUUAAAAAUUUAUUUACAAUUUUAUUUAAAAAAUAUUUACAAAUUACUUUAAAAAAGAUUUGUACAAAUUUAUUACAAAAAAGAAAUAUAUUCAGAUCCAAUUUUAUUUACAGAAAAAAAAUGAUUUUUUUUUUUUAGUUUUUAUUCAAAAUAAGACUUUUACAAUUUUAUUUAAUUAGUAUGAAAGUCCAAUGUCAUUUUAUUAAUACUAGAAAAAAUUUAUUAUUAUUUUUUAUUAAGACAUGAUUUUUAAAAUGUCAUUUAUAAAAUAAAAUAAAAAGUUUACAAUUUUAUUUACAGAAAAAAAGUUUACAAUUUUAUUUUAAAAAAUAUUUUGCAAUUUUUUUUUAUAAAAAUAAAAAAUGGUUUCAAUGUUUUAUUUAAAACAAAUUGCUUUUUAGAUUUUAUUUUAAAAAAUGCUUUUCACAAGUUAAAAAAAAUUAUAGUUUUAUUUUUUUACAAAAAAUAAUGAAUUUCCAAUUGUAUUUAAAAUUUAUUUAAAAAUGGAUUUUAUAGUUUUAUUUAGAAAAACACUUUAUAAAAAAAAAAGAAGUUCAAAUCUCUCUCUCUCUCUCUCUCUCUCUCUCUCUCUCUCUCUCUCUCUCUCUCUCUCUCCAUACGCUCAUUAAUUUUGAUGUUAAGGUAUCAGCCCAAUUGACAUGAUUUAUAUUGACCUAGUCUUUUGGUCUAAUAGGUAACUUGAUGUAAUAUAGGAGGUCAUGAAGGUGAACUGUGAACCUUACUGAUAUUACGCAAACCCUACCAUUUAUUUAUAAUAUUGUCGUCAUAAUAUUGAAAUAUGGGAAAUUUUAAUAGACCAGACAGACAUCAAUAGACCAAAGCCACCAAGCAGGAAUUGAAGAAACCAGAAAGCGUUUGUUCCAAACAUAGUAUACUGUAGAACAUGAAACAGAAGCUAGAGUAUACUAUCUUUAUUUGUGUCACAUAUAUCUCCACUCUCAUAUUGGCACAGGGUCUAUGAGCAGCAUUGAAAUAUUAUUUUUCGUCACUUCUCCAGGAUGUGUGAAUAUAUCUUUGUGGCUCUUGUACAUCACAUCUCCUGAUCGAGCAAAAUUGAGAAGACGACUAAGGAGAAGCAUUGGAACUGCAGUAGGUCUGAGGCACUCUUCAUUUAUAUCCUUCCAUGCAUUCUCGAUUUGCUUGUGAAACUCAUCAUAUGCUUGCUGCUCCGACACACCAUGUUGCUUCAUGUAAUAUUCGAUGUUUGAUGCAAUAUGCUCUCUCUCUUGCUCAAACUGCAGAAAUAGUAAUAUAAGGUGUUAAAAAGAAAUUGAUAUAUAAUAGAUUUUCUUUAUCUUUAUGGGAUUGAUAUCCAAGUAUCAGUAGGAAGUGUUGUUUCAUUGUACCUUGUGGGAAGCCAUGUCAUCCAUGAGCCUAAUGAUUAUGUAGGUAGCUCUAACAAUCUUAGGGUUUUGUAGCAGCCAAUCAAAGACUUCCUUGGUUGCAGUCUCUCUCAUGCCAAUAAAAGACAGGAUUGUUAACACGGGGCCAGCAAUAGUUACCAUUGCGAUACCAUUUGGCUUGGACCAAUUUAGCUUAGACCAAGCUUUUAAUUUAGGAUAAAAAUUCAGCCAAGUAAAUAUAUCAUGCAAGUGUUAUAUAUAGCAUUUUAUUUACAGUACAAUAUAGGAUAUCAUAAACACAAUAGAGUUCAGCGAAUCCUACUGCAUCUUUUGUAUGGUGGACACAGUAUGAUCUUUCUGUGUUUUCCAUCUCCUCAAUUUCUUUGUAGACAUCUAGGACUGCCUGAUAGCAUGGCUUCAUGUAUUCAGGAAGCUGAUGUAUGCUGUUAAUAUCCCACCUGAAAAUCAAGUACCAAGUUUCCUUUUAAAGUACAAAUAUGAAAUCAAUUCAUUGGUUGUGGGUAAUUUGAAUCUAGCAUAUAUCAAACCUCCCGAUUGCCUCUGUAAAGAGCUCCAGUUCUUCAAAUGUUCCAUAUGCAUCAAUUAUAUCACCCAUAGUUGUUACCAGAGCAACUACUUUGGUCUAUAUUCUUCUAGCAUAUGAAUUCUGGGGCUUAGAACAUGUUGAUGUCCAAAAGUAUGUUUCCACCACUCUUAUCUCUGGAAAAAGGUAGCUUUGAAGAGAAAUCUAGGUCUUUCCACCACCUGAGAAAAUACAUUAAUCCACAUAAAAGGCCUGGUAAACUGUUAAUUUAAAUUUAAGUGCAAGAAUGAUCUGAGAACUAACCUCGAGAUAUUGCUCAGCUCUCUCUUAUGCAGUGACUGCAGUAGGUUGAAGUGUAACUUUGCAAGCUUCAGUCAAGCUUUACUAUGUGAAGCUUCAUCCUGGUAGAUAGACAUGAAAGGCCUUGCCUCUAGUCUCUCCAAACCUUUCCUAAUGGGCCGGUAUAGGGCAUGAGUUACUUGUGCUGCAAGAGAGUAUUCUAAAUGUUCUACCAUAGACUUGAGGUAAGUGGUGGUGAAAGCAAGUGCUUCAUCUAGUAUAUCUUCUUCCCACACCCUGAGAUGUGCAGCUUCAUACAAGCCUAGUAGGCCAUAUGCAUCAUUGAUCAAAGACUCCUUGAACCUUCCCUUUUCAUCUGUGUACCUGUUGAAUAUAUCUGUAAUCAUCACCAAAACAUAGAAUUUUAUAUGUGAGCUUUGCUAGAUGAUAUUCAAGCACCUUAUAAUACAUGAUAUUCAUGAGGCUUACCACAUGAAACAUUGAAGCCUUGUUGUCUUAGUAGUCGAAAUCGAAGUGCAACAUCAUAGAGAUCAUCAUUUAUGUCAUCAAUGCAAUGAUAGUUAUCAUAGGUAUUUUGUAAUGCUUCUUCUAUCUCCUUUUCAAAGUGGUAUGCCACCCCAAGCCGUUGAACUGCAUCAUAGAGAUCAUCAUUUAUGUCAGCUGUUUUGAAGGGUUACUAGCUGCAGCCAUCAGCUCUCUUCUAACUUCCCCUUUUAGAUCUUCCAACUGCUGCUCUUUAUGGGCCAGAGUUAUCUGUAUCAAUAAAUUGCAAGAACAAAAAGUGAGAAAAUCUUUAGGUCUUGUUAUGCAAACUACAUACAUGAUCAGAAAAUCACCUCAUCCUCAGGAGUGUGGCUCACGAUGAAGGUAUUGCCCCAAAUGCUAGGCUGAUAAUUUGCAGUUCGGCGAUUAGUCUCUGGAUUAGCAACUGGGGCUGGAGAAGACCCGUUGCUGGUAGCGAGAAUUAAGGCCAUGUGUAACUCACUCGAGCACUCAAUAUAUGAAUCAGAUGGCUUGCAAUCUUCGGUAUUUAUAGGACGGGAAAUGGUUCAUUACAAUUAUUGAAUAUCAAUCCCAGAUUCCCAGAAGCAUGGAUACUAUUAAUUCAAGGUCACCUAUCAUAUUUAAACCAAGAUUCUUAAAAAUUAAAUAUUUAAAAUAUGGUUUUUGUUCUCUUAGAAAUACGAAGUGUAUCUUAUUCCCUUAAUAAUUCUCAAUAUUCAACCAGCCGCCAAACAGUGAUUAAGACUUUCUCACGCGAAGAUCAAACUUAUGAUUGAUCUUUUAUUGUCCAAUAAUAUCCUAAUAAUAAAAUAAUUUUGAUAUGACUAGGAAACUAAGUUCUUUUAUAUAAAAACCAAAAAUUAUUUUGGUACGAAGCCAUGAGAAACUAGCAGCCAAAUUAAAGCAAUUAGGCCAUGUUUGGUAUGAAGCCAAAGCAAUUAGGCCAUGUUUGGCACGAAGCCAAAACAUGACUAUAUUUGGUACGCAAAAAUGAAGAGUGAGAAUAGAUAUUUUAUCCAUUUUCUUAUUCAUUUUCAUAUUUGAAUGAUUUAAGUGUAGUAAGAAUAAAAUCAAGAAUAAUUUCAUAAAAAAUAAAAUCCCAAUUAUAAGUGGGAUUAUGAUUUAAAAGUUAAAAAUCAAAAACUUAUUUUGGAUAAGUUGUUUUAAAAAUAAUUUUUUAUUUUGAUUUUGUAAAAAAGAAAUUAUAAAUUCAAUUUAUAUAAUAUAAAAUAAAUUUAAUUCAAGUCUUAUAAAAAAAUAAAAAUAAUUUUGUUAAUUAUAAAUAAAUUUUAAAAAUAAAUAAUUUUUAAUAAAACAUGAAUAGGAUUUUAGGGAAAAAAAAAGUUAUCAAUUUCACUUUCAUAUUCAUGCAAUUCCAAAGUUUCGACAUUGAACUAGAAAUUUCUCUAUUCUUACAUGUAAAAAGGCAAAAAAGAAAAACCCUUAAUUAGUAAAAUGAUAAGUUAGUUGAAUUAUUUAAUUAUCCUAUAAAUGCAUCUAAUUUUUUACACAAUUAGUGGACCUAAGUAAAUUGUGUCAUACUUAAACGAACUUGAACUUCCAAUUUCAACCUAAUAAAAGAUCAUAACUUAUAAUUUUAUGAAGUAUAUAAUAAACAAGAAAGAAAAGAUGAAAAGGAAAAAACUAAAAUUAAUAGCUAAUAAUAAUAAUUAAAUAGUAAUAAUAAUAAUAAUUUUCAUAAUAAUGAAUUAAAUAAUAAUAACGCUAGCAACAACAAUAACAUUAAUAAUUCUCUAUAGAGUUAAAUAUUUAAUUAACUUUAAACACACUAGUUAGUGUCCAUUAUAAAGUGAAAAGAAAAUAUUUGGUGAGUAUUGUAGUACUCCAAAACACCAUUACACAUUAACAAGGAGAUCCAGAUUUGUUGUAGGCAUAUAUUCUACAUAUGUAUUUUAAGACUCAGUAUCAAUACUCCUCAUAUUGAAUGACAAUAAUAAAUAUGUAUUAAAGAAUAUAAUAUAAUAAAGUUUAUUAUAUAUAUAUAUAUAUAUAGAUAUAUAUUAGGUGAUUUAAGUAAUACAUAUUCUUAUUUAAAUAUUCAGGUAAUAUUCCAAAGUAAAACACUAUGAACCCAGAGAAACUAGGUGCUUCAUAUAAUGUGUCCCCUUGCCGUAUUACAAUGAUUUAUUUCAUAUUUCUACUCCUUCACCUUAUUAUAGUGAUUUAUUAGAUAUUACUGCUUCCACAAGGCAAUACACGGGAUGGUAAUCAACUACUACAUUUGGUUAUAUUACAGCGUUGAUGAAGACAGACGCAAUGUUAUCCCUCAUCACUUUCCCAACAUGUGUGUACGAAUCUUGCUCUUUGUAAAUGACAUCCAUGGUUCGUGUAAGAUUGAGAAGACGAGCAAGGAGAGGCAUUGAAACAGCAGUAGGUUUGAGGCAUUCCUGGUUAAUAUCCAGCCAUGCAUUCUCAAUUUGCUUUCGAAAUUCACUGUAUACUUGUUCCUCAGAGACACCAUAUUGCUUCAUGUAACAUUCAACAGCUGAGGCCACAUGCCCUCUCUUUUGCUCAAACUGCAUGUAUAAUACAAAAGUUGAGAAAAAACCAGUGUGUUAUAUUCUCCCCAUUUGAAUCAUAUAUUCUUCAUACCUUAUGUGAUUUGAUGUCAUCCAUGAGCCUCGUAAUGAAAUUUGAAGAUGACAUAAUCUUAGGAUCGCUGGUCACCCAAUCAAAGGCCUCCUUUGUUGCUAUUUCUCCCAUUCCCACAAAGGACGUGGUUGCAAGCAGGCAGUAUCCAGAGCUUGCUAGUGCAACACGCAUGUACUCUUCAAAUGCUGGUACGUGUUCUUCAUGUAACCAUUUGGCCUCGGCAAAGUAAGCUCGAACUUGAUUCUUCAUCUAAAGAACAUUCAUCCAAGUUAUAUCUAUGUAUAUAUGAGACCAUAUAAAAUAUCAUCAAUGAAAAAGGUGGGGAUCCAGAGUAAAAGAUGUCCUACUACUUCUUUGGCAUAGUGAACCCGAUAUUGGUUUCCUUCUUUCUCCAUCUCUUCCUCGAUUUCUUUGUACACAUCUAAGAGUGCCACAUAGCAGAGUUUCAUGUAUUCUGGAAGCUGAUUUAUGCUGUUAAUAUCCCAUCUGAAAAUAAAAUAAUGACCCUUGAUUUACGUAUAUAUAAAUACAUCUAUUAUACACAAUCAAGGUUGGUAAUGUGCAAGGAGCAAACCUCUCAAUGGCUUCUAUGAAGAGCUUGAGUUCUUCAGGUGUGCCAUAUGCAUCAUGGAUAUCAUCUAGAAUGGAUGUCAUGGCAAUUACUUUGGUUAGAAUUCGUCUACCCCGUAAGUAUUGGGGCUCAAAAUACACCCCAUGCAUCCAAAAGUAGCCUUCAACCAAUCUGUCUCGUGCAAAAGGUAACUUUGUAGCAAAGUCUAAUUCUUUCCACCACCUAAAAGACAUUAAUAUGAUCAGCAUACAGGAAAGUGAUAAGAAUGGCCAAGUACAUGUGGGGUGAUCUAAACACCAACCUUGCAAGAUUGCUUAGCUCUUCCUUGUGCAGUGACUGCACUAGAUUGAAAUCUAAUUUUCCUAGCUCUAGUAAAGUUUUAUCAUGGAAAGCUUCAUCUUGGUAGACAGAUAUAUACCAUCUUGCCUCUAGCCUCUCCAAACCUUUUCUAAUGGGCCGGUUCAGGGCAUGAGCAACUUGUUCUGCAAGAUGAUAUCCUAAACUUUCUACCAUGGCCUUGAGAUGAGUGGUGGUGAAAGCAAGUGCUUUUGCAAGUAUGUCCUCUCCAUGAACCCUCAGAUGUGCAGCUUCAUACAAGCCUAGCAUGCCUCUUACAUCGCUGAUCAAAGCUUCCUUGAAUCUACCUCGUUCAUCCGUAAACUUGUUGAAUAUAUCUACACAAACAUCACCACUUGAAAAUAAGACUUAAAUGAUAAGCGAUGAACCUGUGUACCUGUGGAAUAUAUCUGUAAUCAUCACCAAAACAAUGUUAUAUGUGAGCUUUGCUAGAUGAUAUUCAAGCACCUUAUAAUUCAUGAGGCUUACCACAUGAAAUAUUGAAGCCUUGUUGUCUUAGUCGAAAUCGAAGUGCAACAUCAUAGAGAUCAUCAUUUAUGUCAUCAAUGCAAUGAUAGUUAUCAUAGGUAUUUUGUAAUGCUUCUUCUAUCUCCUUUUCAAAGUGGUAUGCCACCCCAAGCCGUUGAACUGCAUCGAUAAACUUCAGCUGUUCUAAAGGGUGACUAGCUGCAGCUAUCAGCUCUCUUAUAACUACCUCCUUUAGAUCUUCCAACUGCUGCUCUUUAUGGGCCAGAGUUAUCUGUAUCAAUAAAUUGCAAGAACAAAAAGUGAGAAAAUCUUUAGGUCUUGUUAUGCAAACUACAUACAUGAUCAGAAAAUUACCUCAUCCUCAGGUGUGUUGCUCACGAUGAAGCUAUUGCCCCAAAUGCUAGGCUGAUAAUUUGCAGUUCGGCGAUUAGUCCCUGGAUUAGCAACUGGGGCUGAAGAAGACCCAUUGCUGGUAGCGAGAAUUAAGACCAUGUGUAACUCACUCGAGCACUCAAUAUAUGAAUCAGAUAGCUUGCAAUGUUCGGUAUUUAUAGGAUGGGAAAUGGUUCAUUACAAUUAUUGAAUAUCAAUCCCAGAUUCCCAGUAGCAUGGAUACAAUUAAUUCAAGAUCACCUAUCAUAUUUAAACCACGUUUAUUAAAAAUUAAAUAUUUAAAAUAUGUUUUUUGUUCUCUUAGAAAUACGAAAAGUGUAUCUUAUUCCCUCAAUAAUUCUCAAUAUUCAACCAGCCACCAAACAGUGAUUAAGACUUUUUCACGUGAAGAUAAAACUUAUGAUUGAUAUUAUUUUUAUAAAAACACUAAAAAACUAUUUUUUGCUUUUUAACUUUUUGGCAAAUAAAUGAAGAAGAAUACAAAAAAAAAUUGAAAAAAAAGUAAAUAAAUAAAGAAGAUGAUAUUUUAAUUUUUAUUUAAUAUCUUAAUUUUUAUUAUCUAAAAUUAUUUAAUUAUUAUAAUUAAUGAUAUUUUGAGUUUAAUUAUGAUUAAAUAUAUAAUUAAAUUAACUAUAUAUAAAAGUCUUAAAUUGAGAUAAGUUGAUAAAUGAUUGAUUGUGGAUUGAAAUUUUACUCCUAAAAUAUGCAUGUGGCUUUCGGUUGUCAAGGCAUAUGUUGGGAAGCAGUUAUGCUUGGUUACGAGUUAUAUAAGCUUACGGCUUUAGAUUUGCAUGAUUAUCUUUCUUUGAAUGAGACAGUUACGAAGAAGGGGGCUUGCCAUUCCACUUUUAUUCAAACUGUUUGUCCUUAUUCUCAACAAAGGAAGCAUUUUAUUCAAAACAGAACACUCUAAAAGUUUGAAAAUCUAGCAGCCAAAUUAAAGCAAUUAGGCCAUGUUUGGUACGAAGCCAAAGUAAUUAGGCCAUGUUUGGCAUGAAGCCAAAUCACGACCAUGUUUGGUACAUAGAAAUGAAGAGUGGAAAUAGAUAUUUUAUUCAUUUUCUCAUUCAUUUUUAUAUUUGGAUGAUUUAAGUAUGAUAAGAAUAAAAUCAAAAAUAAUUUCAAAAGAAAUGAAAUCCUACUUAUAAGUGGGAUUAUAAUUCAUCUCUAGAAGGAGUUAUUUUACUUCAUUAUUACAAGUUAAAAUUAUAAAUAAAUUAUAAAAAUAAAUAUUUUUUAAUAAAAUAUGAAUAGGAAUAUCAUAAUAUAAUCAUAAAUUUUAUUUUUAAUAAAUAUUAUAAAAAUAUGGAUAUUAACAUCUUAUAAAAGCAUAAUUGAUUUAUUUUGUUAAAAAUAAAUAAUAAUAAUUUAAAAUUUAUAAUUACUUAUACUAUUUUUUUAAAUUAUUAUACUUACUACUUUGUUUUAAAAAAUUAUUUCGAGAACAAUAACUGGCAGUGGUAUUAAUUUUUAAAAACAAUUUUAUUUUUAAAAGAAAAGCCUAAAUAGGUUUUUAUUAUUUAGCAAAAAAAAAAAACCUCUCAAAUAUUUUCUUUUUUAAAUGAAAAUAAAAAAAUUAAUUUAAAUGAUGUAUUCUGUAAGAGUUUUUUUUUUUUUUUUUUGAAAUAAAAAUAAAAGAUUAAAGACACUAUAAAUUAUGAUUAAAAUAAUGAAAAUUAAUAAAAAGAUAUUGGCUUUUUUCUUAAAUACGAAAUAUUAAAAAAAAAAAGAUAAAUAAAUAAUAUAACUAUGUAUUUUUUUUUUUCUUACAAGAAUUUUCAUAGCUUUAAAAAUAGUAACCUUUUAAUUUUUUUGCUCUUAUUUAUUAUUAACCGAGUUGUAUAAAUUGCAUUAUAAUAGUUUCCUUUAAAACCAAAAUAAAAAUCAAAACAUGUGCUUCAUGACACUAUUGGAUGAAAAAGAAUCACUUAAUUUUCAUCUACUAGAUCCCAGCUGCCACCUAAUAUUAAUGACUUGUUUGGAUAUGUUGAGUUAAUUUAACCAAAGAGACUCUAGAAGGCUAAUAUUUUUCUUGCCAUCAGUCUCUUCCGUGCACAACCCUUUCAAAUCAUGGGCCCCAAAACUAAACCAAAUUCCACAUACUUUUCAACUAAAUACAACCAAUGAAUGCCAGUGCUGCCCUAUAAAUAAUAUGGAGCUUGCCAAGCUAUUUCUCUCAUACUUACCAAUUCAUCAUUCAAGGUAUAAUACUGUUCUAUCAUUGUUCCAAGGAAUUAACAUGUCUACUCAAGUCUCAGCAUCUUCUCUAAAAACAAAUGUUGUGUGCUACAUUUCUACACUGACUUUUAUGUUUUAUGAUAGCGCUUGAAGAGCAGUUCAGGUACGCACCCUAACUCUCCUUUAUUGCAAUUUGAUCGUGUUUGGCAUGCCACUUUUUAAAAUCAUCUAGCCUAUUUAGGUAUCUAUAAUUAGCUGAUUAAUUGCCACACUUCCCUUAACUUUGUCAGUAGAGACCUUUAUAGGGCUUAGAGGGGUGCUACCUUUUAAAGGUACCUUCCCAAUAGGUAACCUGAUCCUCGGAUUUAGACUCGGGUUUUUCAAAGAUACGCUUUUCUAAAAUUUAUGGAGUCAUUUCUUAGGGUUUUAUUUCUUGUUUUAUUUUCCCUUUAAAAUAAAAAUAAAAUAAGUGGUGACUCCAACUUUUUUUCCAAAAAUCAAUUUUUCACCAAUAAAAAGCAAGUCUCACCGAUCGAGUGGGGGCGCACAUGAAAAAUGCGGGUCCACAAUCGACAAUAAAUCGACGAUUUUUUGGGCAAUUUUUUGAAAUUUCUUCCUACUGCAUCCAACGGUCAGAUUUGAAUUUUUGACGAUUCGAUGGCCCAGAUUUCACCUGUGUUUUUUAUAAAGGCAUCCAAUAGUCAGAAAUUGGUUUUCAACAAGAGUUUUAAAUUGGAAAAAAGUGGAGUAAACCUGAUCCUUAGUGAGGAGCAAAUAGAACCAUACAAACCUAGAGUAAUCAUCCAUGAGCAACAGAAAAUACCGGGCACCUGUGGAAGAAGGAACAGGUGCUGGUCCCCACAAGUCUGCAUGGAUGAGUUCAAGAGGAGAGGAGGCCCGGGAAAUGGACAAAGAAAAAGGAACUUUGUGACUUUUGGCACAACAACAAGCAUUGUAAACAUCAACUGUUUUAUUUGAGUUAUGUGAAAUAUUACAUGUAUGAAAAAUUUUCUGAAGAAUUACAGCAGAAGGGUGGCCAAAUUGUUGAUGCCACAGCAUAGUAGUGGGUUGAGUUUUUGUGAGAAAUACUUGAUGUUUAAGACUGGCAGUAGGUGAACUGAUAGAUGAGGUAGGAAACUUGUAGAGUCCACGUUCAAGUUGGCCUUGGAGGAGAGUCACUUUGGUGUCCUUAUCCUUGACAAAAAAUGAAGAAGGAUGAAAUUCCAUAAUGGUAUUAUUGUCAGUACAAAAUUUUGACACACUGAUGAGAUUUGAAGUGAGUUGUGGAACAUAGAGCACAUUGUGUAAGACAAAGGGUUUGGCAGAAGUGUGGAGAAAGGAAUGACCAACUUGGGUUAUGGGUAGAGACUUACCAUUGUCAACCAUCACAGAGUCAGUACCAUUGUAGGGAGUACCAUUGUGGAUAUUAGCAGCCGUGUGGGAGAGAUGGUGGGUGGCGCUUGAAUCCAAAAACCAAGAGUCCAUUAAUGUUGGGGAAGGUGCUGCCAUCAUAGCUUGAGCAAGAGGAAUGGGACCAAUUUGAGAGGUUGAUGAGGCUGGUGCACGUGGCCCUUGAUAAUUCACAUCAAAUCUGUGAUAACAAGAGAGGACCAUGUGCCCAAACUUGCCACAUAACUGACACUGCGGUCGGUUAUUUGUCCGGGAUCGAUUAUUGUUGAAUCGGUUAGGGCGAUAUCCUUGAGGAUAUUGCUGCCGUGAAUCCAGAAGAGUGUCAGGUCGUAUGGUUGGCAUGAACGACUGAGGUGGUUUCCCUUGAGAGGGUUUUUUGGACUGUGACCUUCGUGGUCUAUUAUGAGUUGCAAAGUUGGCAAUGAGGAGGUCUUCUUCAGUAGGCGUGGUUUGAAGAGGCAGCCUCUGUUCAUGAGUCAAAAGGAUGCUAUGUACUGCAUGAAGCUGAAUGUCAUCAUCUCUAGUAGUGAGAGAAGCUAUGAUGGGGUUGUAUUCAGCCCCUAAUCCACUCAGUAAUUGAAGGAUUUGAUCCUUUUCUGGCACUGGUUCUCCAAUAGCUGCCAGACUAUCAGAGAUGUGUUUGAGUUUUUGGAUGUAUUCCAUCAUGGUGAGAGAGCCUUUUUUGUUUGUUUGAAAAGCAAGUCUCAACUGCAUUGUUCUUGCUUUGGUGGAAGCAGAAAAGCUUCGUUGGAGGGCUGUCCAUGCUUCAUGGGAUGUUUGUAGCCCAACAAUUUGACCCAUAACAUCUGGGGUGAGAGAGGAGUAGAUCCAACUCAGGAUCAUACGGUCAUAUCUCCUCCAAACCAGAAAAUCUGGGUUCACUUCACCGGUGGAUAUUGUUUUUGGAGGACAUGGUCUCAGACCUUCAAUAUGGUCCUCAAAUCCAUUGGCAUAUAUCACAUUUUCCAUUUGUGUAUGCCAAAGGAUAUGAUUAUCUCUAUCUAGUUUGAUAGGAAGAGGAUGAUUCAGCAUGCUCAUGUUCAGGGUAGGGAUUACCUGAGAAGAGACAAUCUCCAGCGUGGUCUGUGUUGAUGAAGCCAUCGGAGUAGGUACAGUAUGUUCUUGAAGUGAGUAAGCAAAGAUCAAAAGAAAGUUGCAGCAGAAAAUGUUGCUGGAGAUUUCUUAAUUGUCUUGCUGGGAGAGAAAUCAGAAAAAAAAAUUCAGGAGCCUAUGGCUCUGAUACCAUGAAAGUGCUCAGGCACGGAUUUAGCAAGAAUAAGGAGUUUAUUCUAUUCACAACAUGAUUGUACAGUAUAUCAAUAGCUAUAUAUAUAUAUAUAUAUUACAGCAUCUAACUAAUCUAACCAUCUAACUAAUCUAACCACUUUCUAACUCGGCAUAACAGCAUCUGUUAGAGAAGACUCAGCAUAACAGCAUCUGUUAGGGAGGAGAAGAAUUAGCUACUAACAUGGGUGUUUGUCUAUCAAUACUUGAAAAAGCACUUGCUUUCACCACCACUCAUCUCGAGGCCAUGGUAGAAAGUUUAGGAUAUCAUCUUGCAGAACAAGUUGCUCAUGCCCUGAACCAACCCAUUAGAAAAGGUUUGGAGAGGCUAGAGGCAAGAUGGUAUAUAUCUGUCUACCAAGAUGAAGCUUUCCAUGAUAAAACUUUACUGGAGCUAGCAAAAUUAGAUUUCAAUCUAGUGCAGCCACUGCACAAGGAAGAGCUAAGCAAUCUUGCAAGGUUGGUUUUUAGAUCAUAUUAAUGUCUUUUAGGUGGUGGAAAGAAUUAGACUUUGCUACAAAGUUACCUUUUGCAUGAGACAGAUUGGUUGAAUGCUACUUUUGGAUACUUGGGGUGUAUUGUGAGCCUCAAUACUUACGGGGUAGAUGAAUUCUAACCAAAGUAAUUGCCAUGACAUCCAUUCUAGAUGAUAUCCAUGAUGCAUAUGGAACAC